rnacentral:lncRNA from 1 species
UUUUUUUUUUUUUUUUUUUUUUUUAAGGAAAAAAAAAAAAGUGACAACAGAUAACCUAAGAAUGACAAACACAAAUAAUAAAGGAUGAAAAUGACUGAGGGGCUUGAAAACAAAGGACAAGGGUUAAAAAUGGUAAUCUAACAAAGUUGGUGUGUGCCCAUGAUUUCAUCACAAGAAGCCCAAGCAAAAAUAAACAACUUUUCUAAAGUUUAUACACAUAUAUGCUGCAGCAUUUAUUAUUUUCCAGUAUGAUAGAUGAUUGCAUACACAGAUUGUACUACUUUGAAAGCUAUUAAACCAUUUCUGCAUCAUCUAUUUCACUCUCCCUGCUCUCCUGCCAUCCUGCCCCGACCCUAAAUUUACAGACAGGGCAUGUGCCUUGUUGUCGCAGCCAUGGAUCAAUACAGUUGGCAUGGAACUGAAAAUCAUAAUAGCAGUUACAAAUGUCAAAAUAUAAAACAAAUUGAAUGGCAUACAUAUCAAGAUAAACUUCAUUUCCAACCUAAAGUUAGAUGCAAAGUAAGUGCAAUGAUAAGAUUCAGCAAGAAUUUUGGAGAACAUUCCUAGGAAAAGAGAGGAAGAACAAGCUUCAGGAGAGGCAACACAUGUUCAAAAGUAUGCUGCAGAUGGAUAGAUAGAAAAAGGGGCAUAUAUCAUCCUCAAAUGAUGGAGAAUAAUUCAUUAAUUUUGCAGAGAAUAGAGGAGUAAUUGGCGAAAUUUGACACUCUAGGGUAAAAUUUCAAGAAAGAUUAUUUAAAAAAAAAAAAAAAAAAAAUUGUUUGUAGCAUUUGUGGUAAUUAGCAAAUAGUGCAACAUGUUAUCAAAUUAAGUAAACAAAAAUAUUAAGCAUGAUCAAAGGCUUGAAUAAAAAAAUCCAAUAAUGCAAAUGGGACAUUAAUGUGACAUUCUGAACCAGAUUCAUCAACUUAUAUUAUCACAAAGAAACAGAAUAAAUAAAUAAAUAAUUAGUGGCAUCACAGUAAGAAGAUGAUGAACCUGGUGCAAGCAUGGCAAGCUACGUACAAGCUCUCCCCUGUUGACUUGCUCCAAGCAAAUGCUGCAUGUCAGUUCAUCUUCUGAACCCUUCAUGCUGCUGUCCCCCUUUCUAGAGUCUUGCCUAGCCUUCUCGUCAAACUGGAAGUGAGAAAUUAAAAACAGUACACAAGAGAGUAUCCAUAAUGAUUAAGAAACAGAUGCCCACUUCCUCUCCCAACCUCAAUGCCCACAUCUAUAUCCGCAAACAGACAUGUACAAUCAAAGAUGCUUUGUGAAACAAAAUUAACAAAGGAAGUUUCUCCUAUACUCAGUUCGACAUUUACCCAGAGGGAAUAAACUAGAGAUUAAAUGCAGGCAUGAAUGCUAUAACAGAAGUCCUAUACUCAGUAAGGUAUGGAGUGAGUGGAUGAAAACACUGUUUAUACUUUAUAUAACCUGUCUAGAGGUUCUCUAUUAGAUAAACUGUCCUAACAGCCAAAUGAGCCCUCCACUGAUUAAUAACCAUGAAAUAUAAACCUAUUUUAUGUUAUACCAUCUCCCUCAAGAAAGAAGGGUGGGUUGCAAGGUAGGAGGUUCAAUGAAGAAUUCUGGAAAGGCCAGUUUCUGACAUAUGAAACCUGACACGGAGACUUAAAGGGAUUCCAUGAUCAUAACUUCAUCCAGUCACCAUGUUUAUAAUAAGAACUUUUUAAUGAGGUAUGCAGAACAUGAUUCUUAUAAUAUUGCAACUUUUCUUUUCCUCUGGAUUCUUACUUCUUAGCAACUGAUAGAGUUUUAGGGAUAAUGUAUUACCACCAGAACACCAGUAACUUGUCAUUGCCUUAUUAUCACUCUCCAUGUUCUUAUUGGUCAUGCAAUCAUACCUAAGAGAACAAAAGAAGAAUACCUCAGCUGAGGCUGAAGAAGAUGCAGCCUGUUGCAUUGAUGACCCCUCACUGUUAACAAAUUCAAAAUCAUAUCAAAUCAAUAGAAUUCCCAUUAAAAAAAAAAAGUGAUUUCUCAUCAAACCCCACAAUACUCCUAGAGAACUUCAAAAAAAUUGAAAAUAAUAAUUCUUGAUACAUCACAUAAAUUUGCAAGAAAAUAGACUACCAAUACAAAUCCUCUCAAGUUACCUUUGUGGACCAGUGACCUUAUACUUGUGAACAGGUAAAGCAUUGAUCUCUUCCUCACUCAGUGAAGUUGAGGAAGUAUUAUCAGAAUCUAGUGAUCUCAAGGUUUCAUAAUCUGUGGCAGAAUGAAUAAUUCAUGAUAAGUGCAAUUUCAAAAUAAACCUCAGCUAGAACCUUCUGAUAAUUUCUAAAGAAAUGCACGAAUUCAACUUCAAGUUUGAAGCAUGGCAUAUGUUGCACAAUAAUUGACUUGACCAUACCCAGGUCAUCAAAUUCGCGAUCAAGAAGUGCAAGCUGGAGUCGCAAUCCUUGUAAUCGCCCUCUAGUUGCAAAAGCUAUUGAUGGUGGCAUACGCAAACGCAAUUCAGUAUGACCAAGUAGGCCACUGGCAGCUGCAGCAUGAGCUUGGGCAUGAGCUUGUAGUUGUUGACAAGUUGCAUACAUCCUCAAGCUCGUGGCCAUAAAAAAGAACCCCACAACUAGCCAGAGCUACACAUAUAGAUUUACAUGAAUACCUCUUCAAUUGCUAUUUAACAAAUUAUGCUUCAGAAUUUUCAGAAAGACUAACAUGCCCACAUUAGAUGCCAGUGAGAAAAUACCAGAAAGUUUGGUGACAUCUGAUGAGAGUUCAAAAUCAUAAACAGCAAAAGCACUGCCGAGCAAACAGAUAAGGAAUGGAUUAGAAAUGAGCACAACUAGAAUAGUAAACAAUGGAGAUAGAGCAAAUAGAUUGGAAACAUUACCUGUGACAAGAAAAGCCAGUGAAUUAGUGUUAACUGGCCGAGCUGGAUGAAGACGCUGAUAGAAAUAGGGAGAAGAAUUGGCAUCACAAUGGAUUAUGUCUACCAUUGCAUAAUCUCAAAUAUAUAAUCACUGACAUUGGAAAACACAGUACAAUAAGACAUAUAUAUGCAUGUGAGAGGAAACGCACCACUGCAGGUCUCUGAGGAAUAAAUCCUGGAAGUCCACUUUCUAUAUCUGCUCGAGACCCACGAAAAACAAAACUCAUGGUCGCAGGAGUGACCGCAAACCUCCUUACCUAAAAGAAUCAAAUGAUAGGGGAACACAAAGUAUAUUAGUUAUAAAUAUGCUAUCCACACCUUCGAGAAUCUGUAAAAGCUUUGAAGCUUAUAAAUUACUCAGCUAAAUUCAAGCAUAACCAACCCCAUAUAACGGCAAUUAAGGUUUUGCUUAUCCUCACACAGGAAGUACGACCCAAAAUAAUAAUAAUAAUAAUAAUAAUAAUAAACGAUAUUAAAAUGAUCAGAUCACAAAGCAAGAAGCCGCAAUCCCUUAUCUUCAAAAUGUUCAUGCCAACCAUAUGUGCUAAAUGAAACCUUGAUCUCCCACUCUCCAAUCAAUAUAGUUAAAUUAAAAUGAACUAAACUCAUCAUCUAGAAGCAGUAGUCAACUUUAAUUCUUAUUAAAGAAUUCUAGAUCUGUUUACACUUUCAAAGCAUCAUUUUCCACCACAUUGCAAAACCAUUGCAUAAAAAAUCCCAGACCUACAGCAUUACUUCGAAACAAGGUCAAAACCGCUCCUUUAGAGCUACAAUUUUAAUUAACAGCUACAAUUGCAACAUUCAACAAACACACAAUUUCCCCAUAUUUUGCCAGGAGAGGAAGAAUCCAGUAAAACCCUAAUCAGUAUCCCUCCUAAAAAUUUCUCCAGAACCAGCGAUUAAUACACCCAAAAUCACGACCACACCUCAACACCACUGAUGGACAACGACAACUACUUCUACUAGCGCUAGUACAUCUCCAAACACCGAUUCCAACAACACAAGAUCCACAUUGUCCCGAUUCUUCUUACAAAAACAUUCACAUCGGAAAUCCACACAACAACAUCGAAACAAACCUCCGUUUGGCCGCCGAGAAACAGAAGGAAAAGCAGAAAAAACCUGGAACCAUGGGAGAGUGAAUUCCAGUUUUCAAGAUUCCGAAUUUUGCAUCUCUUUUCCCUGAGAUUUCUCGACAACCAAAGAGAAUCUAAAGAAAAAAAAAAAAAAAAAAGCGUUGCACGAAACCUGAAAUCACUGGAAUUCGCAGAAUGGGGGACAGAUUCAUUUGCGGGUGAAUUCCCUGUGUUUCCUGCAGUUGCAGUGUAUUGUUUAUGGUAGAUUUACUUGGAGGCCUUUCUGGGAAAUGCCACGACACGUGGACUUGCAUGUCACCGGACCGCUGCCACGACAUCGAACAGCAUGUCAUGAGUGAACCGCACAGCACUUUGGGAUUUGGACCAUCUGCAGUCGCUUCUCUGAUCGAUAGUCGCAAAAAGGAAAGUGGGAUUUCAAUUUCAGCAUGUGGGGUGGGCCUUCCACCUAAAUCAUUAUUAAUCAUUUUAAAUUUUAUAUUUAUGAAUUAUGUUCGUAUUUAUAAUUAUUUACCAUAUGAAAUUGGUAUCAUUAUUUUUUUUUGGUUUAAAGGCAUUGUGAUUUGUCAAUUGUCAAUGUCAAAUUUCUGAUUUCAGAUAAAAGGUCGGUAGAAGGGGACGAAACCGCCUCCCACCUCCAUAAUCACAGACGCAUUAGCCUCCAACUCCAAGCAUAGGCUUCCAACACGUUACUAACAGUGAGGUGGACCUUGGCCACAGAGUGCCUGAGAUAUUAUUUGGUAUGGGAAUCCCAAGGAUUCGAGUCAUAUGGCUUCCAUUCGGACAUGUUUGCUGGGAACUCAACUAUUGGGUAAUGAUUAUUCGAUUUUUGGGACCGACCAAACAAGUUCCAGGGCAUCUCUCUCAACUCGGCAUGGUGUGGCAUUGAAGGGAAAAAAGAAAUUGAUUAUGGUCAGAAAAUCAAUAUUUGAAAUGGGUGGACUCAAAGUACUGAAAUUGCUUACUAAGGAAUCAGCGUAUAAAAUGAAAUACACCCAUUGGGUAUGGGAUUCGCAUGCUUCACAAUUUCGUACACGGCCAUGCGAGCUGCUCAAUGUCCUCUUCAAGCAAGACACCCAAUCGGGAAUAAAAGCCUUUUGGGCGAUCUAGCAUGGACCUUGUUCGCCAUUGUUGGGUCAAAUCGCUGUUUCGAGUGAUUUGUAAGCAUCAAACACUUGAACACGGGGGUAUGAACUUGAGAACUUGAUCAACUAGAAAGUUGUUCGAAGAUGGAAAUGGUGCCUCAAGUAGAGCGUCAGGUUGCUGCUGGGGAGCUGCUUUUGAAGGUAAUGGUCAAUUCCUGGACGGGUAAAAAGGGUACUUCAGGGUUUAGGGUUUUAGGUACCACACAGAUGUUUGUAUAGGACUUCUUGACGCUUGCUUUCUGUUCACUUCUUUUUGGCUAUUUGCGAACCGCCUAAUUGGAGAAAUUGCCCUGGAAAGAGGCCUCUCUACAUCCCACCCACAAGGCACAUGACUAAAGGCUAAAGCUGAGUGAUUUCUUCGCAAACACCAAACACAGAAGCCAUCAGAUGGGAAAACAAAAGCUUCUCCUUAGUCCCAAAAGGAGAAGCAAAAAACCAGAACCAACAAAGCUGCAACUCCAAUCACAUCAUUUACGAAUCUUUGUCAUGUUUUGAUUUAGAGGAGAAUAAAAUAGGCCAACAUUCCACCAUAUCCCACUUUCACCCAUAUUAUACCAACCCCAAACCCCAUAAUCUGAACCAUCGCCAGAAAUUCAGGAGGUUUUGAAGUGCACAUUUAAGUCGUGGCAGAAGCCAGUUGCUUUAGUAAAAGGGCCAGACAUGGAUGACAAAUAAGGAUGAGAGAGAGAUGUGAGAGAAGAUGAAAACUUGAUGAAAUGAAUACAAGGAAAAGAAUUUCUGACGAUAACUGGAGAUUGGAAUAGAAGCUAAAAACAAAUUACAAAAUUUUUUGUUUUGGUAGGAACACAAAUUACAAAAUUAAGCAAGUAACGAAUGCUUUCUUAAAGCUUUUAUGCCAUUAGAUCCGCUACCAAGGCAAACCCAUUUUCCUCACUUCCCAAAGCUUUGCUGCAAACCUUUCCUUCUUCUCCUGCCAAUUCUUAAUCCUUGAAAACCAAUAACGCCCAACCAUUUAUGUAGCAAAUGUAAGACCCCUUGAAAAGGAAAAAGAAAAAGCUAUUUACAGUGAUCCCAUCCAGAUUGCGAAACAAAAAAAAAACUGAAAUUUCUUAUAUUUUCAUUCCCAAAUUCACCAUCUUGAAUUUCCACUUUGAUCUUCCAGUACCCAAGCUCUGCUCCUCCUCCGAACGUAUCUACUGAAAACCGAACUUGAGUGACUGUGACUUCUGGUAAUGGACCCAGGUUCUGAAGUUGAACGAGAAGAUGAUGAGGAAGAAGACCUAAACCUCCCUAAAAAUGAGAAAAUGUUGCGAAAAGCUCUGCCCAGUGAUCCGCCGCUCUCUCUGGAUCGGCUUCGUCUGGAUGCCCAUGAAAUCCUCCUUGGAGCACCACUAUUAUUGAACCCACCAUCCAUUUCUGUGUACACCACAGGAAGCUCACGCUCGCCGGCUCUUCUUCCUCCGGAAAACCUCCCCACGGCAAACCCACCGCCAGGAAGCCUCCAUAUGGUCAGCCCCACUGUCUCUUCUUCGUUUGGUGCCGGAGAAAGUGCUUCAUUUCCAGAUACCGGCGAGUUCCUUGUUCCGGGAACGUCCGUCGGCAACUCGUGGCGGCAAACAGGGCAUGAAUUGCGGAGAGAUAGCCAUGGGAGAAUACAAUCGGAAUGAUAGAUAUGCUUACAGGGCAUUUCGCGAGCCUCCGAACCCAGCUGGAACGCCUCUUUGCAUACCGCACAGUGCAACUCUGUGACGAUGUGGCUAGACACGAUCUCGAUCGUCGGCAUCGACUCCACGGCCGCCUUUGACGCCGGAGGGUGCUCGCCGCGCCCAAAACCAUUGAUUUCAAUCUGCGAAAGCUGUUCCAGCAACCGAUCAAACCCCGACCCCAUCAAGAACUCCGACAUGGUCGCCGGCAACGGCCGAAGCCCGGACCCUGCCCCGUCAUCGUAGUACAAUUCAAAACUACUCCUCUCCACAACACCACCUUCACCACCACCUCCAUCAGCCGGACCGCGGAGCACAAUAACUGGAUUAAACGGAGACCGAUCACCGGCGUUCCUCCUGCUCCGCCGCAACCCUAGAUUCGCACUUUGCUCCGAAUCCGGCCGGUUGUUCCCCAGCAUGUACAUCGCAGUCGCCGGAAACCGACGGUGGUGAUUCUCCGAUCUCGGCGUGGCCUCAAUCUCCUCCAAGAAGCCACUCUCGCAGUACGGACACACGAUGCUAUCUUGAGCCCAAACUCUAACGAAACGAGUGCAUCUGUGACACCAAUAAGACGUCGUCGAAGCCAUCUCCAUACCAGAAACCCCACCAAAAGAGAUCGAUCCUUUUUCAGAUCCUCGGUUACCUGAACAAUUCACAACCCGAGUUGACUCUUCCAAAGAUCCCAAGAAUUGACUCAACAGAUCUGAGCCAAGAAGCCCCAACUCGCCGGAAACGACCCAGAUCCGACGGCUCAGAAAGAGCGAAACUUUGAGGGAAGAGAGGAGAGAGAGUACGAAGAAUACAAAGAAGAAGAAGACGAAGCUGAGGCUUUUAAGACUCGUCGUGGAGGGUUAACGGCGUAGUCUUGACGCGUGAGGCUGAGAAAGCGAUUAGACGGACGUUCCCUACGUGGCGGCCAUCGAUUGGAUGGACAUUGACGGCGUGAGUGGAGCGUGGAAGUGGACUGGUCAGCGGUGCGAGCACAUGGUAAUAUUUGAGAUAAAUUAUAUGAGGAAAAAGAAUCGGGGCGACUCCCGCGUCCAACUUGAAUCGUGGCUGGCGACGGGGGCAGACGUUGACUUGAAGGCGAAAUGUGGUGUUCAAAAUGCCGACUUUGAAAUUCAAAUCAUCGCCGUUUCGUGGUGAAAAAGAUUCCCAACCGAGGCUGAAGCCGGCUGACACUCGCCUUCUAAUUAAUAACAUCGGAAUACGACUGAAACGAAGGAAAAGAGGAGCAUCCUUCUCAUUUUGAUGUCUUGUACAAAAAAAUAAUUGCAGGCUGAUGUGUGAGAUGGGUCUCAUUCAAUAAAUGUACGGUACAAGAAAUUGAUUUUCUAUACCUAUGUGAUUUGGAGGAACUGGUUAUUAAUUUCACUUGUUUGGCAUAGUUAUUCUUAUGCUAUAAAUUUAAACCUAAAGUUUAAAUUGAUAAGGAAUAAACCGAUUAUGUUUAUUAAUUUCACUCUAAUUAUUGUGCGAGCGAAAAUUUUAAUGCAAAUAAUAUUAGUUUACUAAUACAAACAUAAAAUAAUAAUAAAAACAUACCCACGAGAUUUUAAUUUUAACAUGAUUCGUAUCUACAUCCCUGAAUGACAGAAAAUCUUUCUAUCAUACCAUAAAGAAUAUUAUAAAAAGUAAAACUAAAUAGAUUUCCAUAAAUAUCUUUUGUUUUUUAACUUUCUUUUUACAUCACCCAAAGUUUCAAUAUAUUUUAAAAAAUACAUGAAAGUGUCGUGAAUAACAACACCCUAAUCACAAUCCCUCUCAAAUAAAUGUUAUUGUAAAAAAAAACUUUAUAUUUGAUUCGAAAGCAUUUUAGUAAAUAAUAUAUAGUUGAUAGGACAUAAGUCACGAUGUCUUGUAACUAUUAACUUUUAUUUUUAAUAACAAAAGGAAUAAAAUGAUGAAUAUUCUUACCCUAUGUUUGGGAAUUAUUAUGACUUAAUUAAAGAAUAAUUAGGUUUUUGACAUCACCUAUGAAUAACAAAAGUAAGGACUUUCCUAUUCCUUGAAAAUAUAGGUAAAAGAUAUGAAAUAAAAUGUGUAGUCAACAUUUGACAAACCUCUCACAAUAUCUUAAGAGUUGUCUUCGACAUUCAAAUCUUGUUACCUAAUCUUGAUAAGUAUGGGAAAGGCAUGUUAAACAAGAUGGGGAAGAAAAUAAAGAAAUUGAAAAAUUAAAACUUUAAAUUUCUGUGGCCUAAGGCUGCAUUAUGGAACACUUUCCCUUUUCCCAUCUGGUUUAAGGUGGUAGGGUACACUUGACUUGCUUGAAAAACAAAACAGUAUCAAAUUUGCAAGAGAGCCAUCCAAAUGGAAGAUGGGCUACAAGUCAAAAACAAAAGAGAAAAUGACAAGGCAAUGGUAUUUUCUACAACAAAAAGUUUUACCAUCACGCCAAGAAAAAAGUUUGUAUAGUAUGAGUUGCACUUAAGUAUCUCCACAUGUUUUUAUAGUUACGUGUACAUAUUAGAAUGAAUAGUAUUUAUAUAAUUAAGAAUCAAUUAUUAUAAAUAAUAUUAAAAUCGAUCAUUAAUCCUGGGUCUUGUUUGACGCUGAAAAAAAUAUAUUUAUUUAUUUGAUUUCACAAUUUUAUAAGACACGAUAAAGACAUUAUUAUUAUAUAGAACGAAUAUGAUAUUUUACAUCGGAUUGAAAAAAGUGUUCCUAACACAAUAUCUAAACAAUUGAAAAUGGAUAGUUUCAAAUAUGGAGAUAACAAAGAAUGGAGCUUCCCUUAUUAGAUGCUUCCAUAUUUUUUAAAAUAAAAGUUUAUAUUGGAAUUUGUAUUAUUUUUAACAUUUUUUUAAAAUUUUAUUUAUAAUGCUUUAUUUUUAAUCAUUUGAAUUACUUUUUAAAAAACUUUGAAAACACAAAUUUCGAAAUUCCAUUUUCUAAAAAGAAAAAUUACCAAACAUGUUUCCAACUAUGGAAAAAAAAUUGAAAACAGUUGGGAAAGGCUCUGUUAUAUCUCCCUUCUCCCACCCCCCAUUUAGAAGUAGCUAAAAGUACAAAUUGUGUUUACUCUUGACCUUGGGGGACAGACCCAAAAGAAAGAGAUCAUUGGUUGCCCACUCCUCUCUGUUUCCACCACCCCUUUCAUUUCUAAUAAACAGCAUGGUCCAUAAGUUUCUGUUGAAGUGCACGCUAGAAAAGUACCCUUUAACUCCCACAUGGCCCCUUUCUUUUGGUACAUUUCUUAGGUAAAAGGGAGUUGCUUGUUUUUAUAGCCAUGUAAAGUUCAGUGUGCAUCAUUAGGUAAUAGUAUUUUUCAGUUCUUGCUUCAUCUUCAUAGUUUUUCUUUUUAAUUUCCUUUUUUUUUUUUUUUUUGGUUGCAAUGAGUAAUUUGAAAGAUUUGGGAAGGAAGAUGAAUGUUUAGUGGACUAAAGCUUUCACUCUCUGCAAUAUCCCACUUUAAUAAUGAGUGUAAGGUGGAAGUUAGAGUCAUGAGGUUUCUUUAUGAAGGCUGAGCUAGUCACCACACAAAUUCAUGGAAAAGGAAAUGAAAAAGGGAGGAAACUAGAAAGAAAGCUUUCGAUAAAGAGAUGGUAAUGGGAAUCUCAAACCUUUUCCAAUACCAUUUUGUCUCAAUUUUAAUGGCUAUGCUUUUCGUCUCUCCCUCUCUUAGUAUUUUACCCAAUCAAAGUUUCUUUCCCAAAGAAUAAUAACCUGCAAGAAAAGCUAUAUACUUGUGGUGUUCUUGUGAUAGAAAUGUCCAAAACCCAAAAAAAAAAGCAGAAAACCCACUUCAUAACAGGCCAGAAAUGAGAUAACAUUCAUGUUGUUUGCUGUCAUUUUCUUCUAUAGACCAUCACUACAACGUAUUGUAAGGGAAAAUCAACAAAAAUGGGGUCCUGCUUUGUGUUGUGCCAUUUUCUGGGUCCAAUAGAGUAUAUGGAAAGGUGAGGAAUAUACCUUUGCUCAUUCCUUGGUUAGAAAUAGCUAGCAAGGAACAAGAUCACCUUUCCCUGAAAGCACAAAAAUAUCAAAAUAUUGUAGUGGUGCUUGGAUGAAAUGCUGUGAAAAAUACCCAAUCUUUUAACCAUAGAAGGUAUUGGUGCUGUGGUCCAAUGCUACUUGCAUUAUGCAUUAUAUAGAAGGUUGCAAAGUAGAUGUAUUGUUUGAACAUUUUUGCCACUGAGUGGAGUGGUGGUUCCCCUCAUGCCAGCCUUGCACCUUGCCUCACCAAAAAGAAGUUUUCUAGUGCAGCUCAUUCGGACUCUAUCAGUUAAUCACAAACCUACUUUUAGCUAUAGAGAAUUUAUGAACCCCACUCCAAUUUUGCACUAUUUCUUAUCAAGUGUUGGUUGAUGAGCAUAGCAUAAAGUAUUGCAAAGAAUUUUAUGAUUCAUAGGAAAAUUCUAAUAGCUUUAAAACAUGUUUACAUAAUUAAAAGGGGUUCAUUACCGAUGUACCAGACAUGGGAUGUCAUAUUCUUUAUAGUGUACGACAACAUCAGAAUAGUAAUGAGGACGGGAAAUGCAUGUAAAAUCUCUUAAGUAGCCAUUGAUACAUGUUCUUGGCCUACGGAUUGGGUGGGUUCCUGAGUAGCCAUUCAUUGCUGACAAUAAUGUUGGCUUGGUUGCCCCAUGACUGAAACUUCACUUUCAGCAUUGAUCAAAGUUCUGUAUACUACACGUCUAUGAAACAUAGCCAAUCUCUCUCAACAUGCUCCGGAUUUGUCCAAGCUUCCCUUCUAGGCCAAACAUCAAGGACCUCAUGGAGAAACCCAAGAAACUUUGCUACCGAAAUUUCACUUUCAGCAUUAUCAUAAAGAUGUGAACAUACCUUAUAGGAGAUCAAACCAAUCUAAUUUGUAAAAUUAUUCCUCUACUUUUUUUUUAUCUUAAAAAUAUCCAUUUUGAACAAGAAUAUUCUUAAUUUUUUUUCUAAUAAAAAUAAUCUUUUCAUUUAAAAACACAUGUAAAUAAUUAUAAUUUUGAGGGGUAUUAAUGUCAAAAUGGGUUGUUUUUUAAGUUAAAAAAUUGAAAGAGAUUAGUUUUAUUUACAAAGCCACCAAGCUUGAUAUAAGGGAGAAUUCAAAUAUCCUAAGUUAUGUUUGGUUUCCAAAAAAUUUGAAGAAAAAUGCAAGAAAGAAAAAUACAAAGAAAAUAAAAAAUAGAUUAAAAGUUGAUAAAUUAUUUUUUUUGUUACUUCAAACUCAUUUUAUUUAUUUUAACUCAUCAAUAUAAAGAUUAAAUAAUUUAAAAAUACAUAAAAUUUUAAUUAGUUUUAAUCAUAUUCGAUUUUCUUUGAUAUUUUUCAUAGGACAACCAAAUAUGAAAAAAAUUAUUGCAUUUUUUUUUCUUUCCUUUAAAGCUAUGUUUGGUUCUAGAAAAAUUUGAAGGAAAAUGCAAAGGAAAGAAAAUAGAGAGAAAAAGUAAAAGGAAAGAAAAAGGAAGGAAAAUAAAAAAUAGAGUUAAAUAUGAAAAAUUAUUUUUAUUUGAUACUUCAAACUUAUUUUAUUUAUUUUAACUCAUCAAUAUAAAGAUUAAAUAAUUUUAAAAUAUAUAAAUUUCUAACUAAUUUUAAUCAUAUUUAAUUUUUUAAAAAAAUAUUUUAUAGGAGAACCAAACAUGAGAAAAUCGCUUUUCUUAAUAUUUUUUUUUCUAUCUUUUAUAUUUUCCGGAACCAAACAUAACAUAAAUGUCAUAAAAAAAAAUUGAGCUUAAAGUCCGCAAGAUGGAUAUUUGAAUUGGGCUUGGAUUUUAGUGGGUUCCUUCCAUUUCAUACGUGUAUGCACAACAGCAUUGAGAUACUUGCAUGUUCUUAAGUGGCAACUCACCAAUAGUGACAUGUAGCCAAAAAAUUGUAACCGAAAAUAAAGCAAAGCUGGGGUUGACUGUUGCCUUGCUCCCUUUCACAUAUGGUGCCAAAUGCUACCAUCAUCAGCUGCUCACGAGAAACUACAUUUUCUUCAACAAAAGACGCCACCAGUCAGCCAUGAAAGUCUCUACCAAGUUCCAAGCCGCACCCACCCCCACCUACAGGUUUGGUUUCAAGGACUAUGAUUUAUAAUAUGUAGUGUUUAAUCAUACCUAACUCCUAAGACUAUUAUUUAGCUUGGGUUUUGGACCAAAUAGCAUUGAGAACUAAUUAUUUAUUGCCGGUUGUGUUCAGGGAAUCCGAUAAUAGUGAAGCUAAAACUAUCAUUAAUUUAGGUUUUGGACCAGUGGCAUUGAGAAUUAUAAAUCCUAUGAUUUUAAGAAGCAUUUUCUUUUUUUCUUUUUUGUCUAAAAAGUGUUUUAAAAAAAAUUAGGUGUUUAACAAAUUUUUAAAAAUAUUUUUAAAAAUCUGAAAAAUCAUCUAUAGUGUUAAAAAAUCACUUAGAAUCCAUUUGGUAGUGAUUCUAAAAAACGUUUAUAACAUUUCUAAUACUUAAAAGAUAAAAAAUUUUAUGUGUUAGAAAUACUAAAAAUACUUUCUAAAAUCACUACUAAACACACUCUUAUAAUGUUUUUUAAAAAGCACUUGAUACUCAUAAAAAUACUUUCGAAAAAAACACCAUUAAACACACUUUAAGUUAUUUUAAAAUAGUAUAAAUAAUUUUUCAGAUCUUUAAAAAUGUUCAUAAAUUUUGUUAAACAUUUAUUUAAAAAAAAAUUUAAACUUAAAACAUUUUCUAAAAUCAUUAUCAAACGGAUUGUUAACGGGUUAUAGCCGAUUAGGUCAGAGGAAAUGUGAGAAGCAACAAAAAGAAAAAUAAAAAAGAAAAAAAAAAUAAAGAGGGAAAAAAACCACUUGCAUAAUGCGAAUAAAGAUUGUUGAUGUCCAACUAGUUUUUUAAAAUUUUGUAGAUGAUUAGUAUUUGGAUUUAUAAUAUUUAUUAUCAUUUUCAACAAAAAGUGAUUUUUAUUUAAUAAUAAUUUUAAAUUUACAAUUUUUUAUAAAAAUUUACUAUGAAAAAAGAAAACCAUGGAUUUAUUUAAAAUAAAUUUUGUUAUUUAGUUCAAUCUUAUUCACGUAAAAGUAAAUCUCACUCAUUUUUGGAUUUGCCACAAGUAAAAAACCAUGGUUUUUGCAUUAAAAAAGUUUUUAAAAGUUAUUUAGGUGUGCAGAACCAGAAAACCUAAAAAUUUCAAAAAAUGUUGUUAUUCUACCCUAGUUCCAAGAACUCUCAAAAUCAAGAUUUCGGUUAAUAAAGCUUAAAAUCACUUUUAGAGAGGAAAGAUAGAUGUCAAACAUUCUAAGUAACCAAGUGGUCAAGUCUUAACAUAUUUUUAAGGUGAUUCACUAAGGAGUGAAGAGAUCCAUGUCACACAUGAAGAAUAUAUAUAAGUAAUGUAAAAUUAUGUAUGAUUCCUUUAAAUUUGGUGGAUUUUUAUUUAUUUAUUUAUUUAUUUUAAUGGUGGAUAGACAUGUUUUGUAUUUAUGGAGGUUAGAAUAAUCUCCACAAGUGAUUUUCUAUAUAUAUAUAUAUUUUGUUUUGGAUGCAAUUGGAUUUGUUAUGGAUUAUUAGGAUUCAUAGAAUUUCUCAAUACAAAUUUUAGAAUUGAAUCCAAAUAGUUACAAAGGGGGAUAAUUGAUUUAAUUUAAUCAAUCUAAAAUAAGUUUAUAUCAUUAAUUUAAAAUAUUCUAAUUGGGCAUAAAAUAAAGUAUUAAUUCACUUUCUUAAAAUAGCUCCUUGAUUCUAGAAAACGGACUUACAAAUAGUAUCAAUGCUAGUUAAAAUUUUCAAAUAAUAUUUUUUAAUAUUUUUUUUUAUUCCUGCUAUAAUUCUUGGAUCAUGGAAUCAUUAAGAAUUAGAUCAUUCAAGCUAUAUUUGGAUCUCGAGAAUAAUUUUUUGUAUUUUAGAAUAAAAAAUGAAAAUAAAAAUUAUUUAUUAAUCAUUUCUUUGUAAAAUUGCUUUGAAAAACAAUGUUUUAUGAUAACAUAUUUUAAUGGUUUUCAAUUGUUUUGGGGGAAGUGUUUUAAAAAAUAAUUGCACAAAUAUAAAAAAAAUGAUUGAAAAUAGAACAUUACAAAUAAAAGUUACUCCAUAACAAUAUUUUAAAACACAAAAAAUAAGUUAAAAAUAUCACGAGUUUCUAAACUGACAUUUAUUCAAAACACUUAUCAAACAAACCCUUGUUAAUUAUCCAUCAUUUUUUUUAUGGCAACAACGACCCAUUAGAAAGAACAUAUGAAAUUCUUGAAAUUGGAGGCAAAUUAGUUUGGAAUGUAAUGAAAUUUUGGUGGCUAAUUACCACUAAUUACAUUUCAAUUGAUUUCUUAAAUGAAUUGAAUGUACGAAAGUUGAUCACUCAAAUAUUCAAAGCCUAUAAUAUUAUUCAAAUAAUCAAUUGAAUGAGAAUGUCAUUUACUUAUACGUAGAUUUUGUUUAAUAAUGAUUUUAAGAAGUGUUUUUAAAAUUUUUAAUAUUUAAAAGGUAAAAAUUUUAAAGUGUUAAAAAUACUAAAAACGCUUUUAAGAAUCACUAUCAAACAUGCUCUUAGAGAUUUUUCAAUCAACUUUCAAUUGAGUAUCUUAUUUGAGAGAUUGAAAAUUAAAUUGAUGAAAUUUUGAGAAAUUUUAUUAAAUCAAUGCCCUUGUUCAUCAUAAAUUCUAAAUUAUCUUAAAUCCUACAAUAAUUCUAUUCAUCCCCUCUACUACACCAUUGAUAAAGACUAUGGAAUUAGAACGUGGGCUUUCUUCUAUACAUAUCUAGAAUUCCUCCAUGGCUAAGAAUGGAUAUGAGUUGAGGCAGAGAAUAUAAGAGAUAAUGUAAACAAAUGGGUGCACGUGACUCACCAUUAAUUCACAUAAAAGGAGAAGACGUAGAGCAUAUGAGGGCAAUGGAGGAGAGUGGAAGAGCACAUGAGUCCCUUUCUUCUUUUCUAAUAUUAACUCAUCUUUUCUCACUGACAUAAAAUCUUUUCCAAACUUAAUUGGAUUUCCUAAUUUUGGAAUCCAAUUCCAACCCACUUUUCUUCAAGGGCGAAGUCACUUUCCCAUGGAUUGGAACUCGGCUUUAUUGAGGAAGUAUGGCCUCCAACCAAUUCUCCCUUUGUCUCCCCAUUUGGUUAGUCUUUUAGCCUUCAAUUUGUUUUGUCAUUUCCACUUUUCUUUUUUUCUUUUCAAUUAUUUUCCAUCACAUCAAGAAAGUUAAUAUAGUAAGAAUUCAUAUACUAUGACAAGUGUCCCAUGCAAAUAUCCCAAAUUUUUAAUUAAUAAAGAUUUCAAAGGAUAUUGUAUGAAAUAUAUUUUUAAGUUUAUGUAUAAUUAUAAUAUUAGAUUUUAUUAUAACAUAUGAAAAAUGAUGGAAAAUAUCGUUAUAAAUAUUAUAGGUUGUAAAGGAAAAAAGUUAUUAUACGAGAUGACUUGUAGAAACUAUACGAGGUGAACGAAGAGGAAAAAAUAACAUAAAAAACCCGAUAAAGUGAGAGGGGUUUGUAACAGGGUAUGGAGACAAGAAGUAAAUAAAAAUGAGAUAUUUCGAGAACUUAACAAUUGUAUUCGGUUAUGUCCUUUAUAGCAUUUUCUAUUGUAUAGUGGAAAAAUUAUUUCUCAUCUGACAGUAUAAGUAUAGUUGUUAGUUCGAACUACAUUACAAUCUUGUGUAUUUUUUUAUUGAUUAUUUUAUUUUUGUAUUCUUGAUUUAACAUUAUUUGCAUUAAAACUUUUGUUGACACAAUAAUAUUAAAAUUGAUUUUUGACCUUAAUACAAAGUUUGGAGUUUCAUUGAGCAUCUAUUUAUACAUUUUAAAGUUGUAAGGAUUUAUUCAAUCACGAUUUCCAAUAUAUAUAUUUUGAAUGUUUUAUAGAGUUGAAUAAUAAUUUAAAUUUGGUUCAUGAAAUGAAGAAUUGGUAGAGGUUGUAUUUAAAAGAAAAUUUAUUUUUUAUAUAUGAAAUAAAUAAUCAUAAUGGAUACAUUUCAGAUUCAAUACAACUCAUGACUCUUAAAACAAAAUCUUAUUUAGACAAAAAAAAACUAAAAAAAAAUAUAAUUACAAAAACAGAAGUUGGGUUUAUGUGGCUAAAAUCAGAUAUGGAAGAUAAGAAAUAAAAUAAAAUAAAAAGGAGAGUGGAAAAAAAAAGGAGAGUUAAAAGAUAAAUUUACCACAGAGUUAACGGUCGACUUUUACUGUGCAAAUGAAUCUAAAGUGAUGACGUGGCAGUCAGUUUUUUGGAACACGAGGAAAACAAACAUCAUUAAUAUCUGCAAUUUUUUCAACAUCAGUCGGUUUUCACUUAGUCAGUUGCCACCUAUUUUUUUGGAAUAUUUCCAAUUAAUUAUUAGAAAAUUAAAAAUAAUUAACAAUUAAUCACAAGUUUUUGAGGUGUAUAAAAGAAAAAUAAGAAACCCCCCCCCCCAAAAAAAAAAAACAAAAUCCCAAAAAGAAAAAUCCAUUACUGUAUUUAAUUGUUGAUGAGGAACAAAACCCUAAGGGGUUCUUGUAAGAACAAAUCGCCGCCGGAUUGAUCUCAACCGUCAAUACCGCUCCUCUUCUUCUUGAUCUCAGCUCACUGUCUUUUUUGGGUUUUUGUUUUUCUGGUUUCUCGCAACGACUUUCUUACACUGCCGUUGUUUUUGUUGUCGAGGUUGAAGGAAAGUGGAAAAAUAUGUUGUGGGGAAUUUGUUUGGGUAAUUCAUGAGACGGAGUUCGCGGGAGGAUGGUUUGUUUUGGGUUGUGGUUUCGUGUUUUGAUCGAGGGGGGGUUUCGGUUUUAGGGUCCGAAGUGGUGAAGUGGAGUUGAAAAAAUUGGUUUUUGGUUAUAAAGUCUUGGUUUUUUGUUAUCCGUUUGGAAGAGGAGAUUCUGAGGUUGUAAGCAUGGGUUUUAGGUGUUUGGGAGCAUGGCUGUUGGUUCUGGAAGCUUUUUAGGGUUUAGGGUUUGGUUUUGGUUUGUUGGAUGAUCAAUUGGAGCCGGUGAAAAUGUUGUCUGAAUUGGGGAGGAGGCCGAUGCUCAAAAACGGUGACGGAUCGUUUGGGGAUGAUUUGGAGAAGGAUAUAGGGUUGUUGCUUCGUGAGCAGCGGCGUCAAGAGGCGGAUGAUUAUGAAAAGGAGCUAAAUUUGUAUAGAAGUGGGUCUGCUCCGCCAACUGUUGAGGGUUCUAUGAAUGCAGUUGGGGGUUUGUUCGGUGGUGGAGCUGCCUUUCCGGGAUUUCCAGAUGAUGGGAAUGGGAAUGGGUUCGCGUCUGAGGAGGAGCUUAGGUCUGAUCCAGCUUACCUUUCUUAUUACUAUUCAAAUGUGAAUUUGAACCCACGGCUCCCACCUCCAUUGCUUUCCAAGGAGGAUUGGAGGUUUGCUCAAAGACUGAAAGGAGGGAGUUCUGGAUUGGGAGGGAUUGGAGAUAGAAGGAAAAUGAAUAGAAAUGAUAGUGGUAGUGUUGGUAGAUCGAUGUAUUCGAUGCCACCAGGGUUUAAUUCGCGGAAAGAAGAGACUGAGGCAGACUCAGAGAAACUUUGCGGUUCAGCAGAGUGGGGUGGCGAUGGACUCAUCGGGUUGUCAGGGUUAGGACUAGGGAGCAAACAGAAGAGUCUUGCAGAAAUUUUUCAGGUGAGUUUCUUCUGUGGUUUUGCUGCUUAUAUGGUUUAUGUCCACUUCUUACUUACCAUACUGUUUCUGAAUAUCCAAGGUUGAGAUCUUCUGAUUACAAUGUAGAUUAUCACUUUUUGAUCGGUGCUAGUUUGACUAUCCAAGGAAAAAUUUGCCCUUGUUGCGGCAUUUAUGGUUUCCUGUUGAUAUUUGACAUAUAUCAUAUUGUAUCUCUAUGGGGAAUCAUCAGAAUAAAGGUUGUGGUAUGUCAUGUGCUUUAAAGGGAUAAUUUGUAUUGUCAUGUUUCCAAUGAUUGUGGUUUGAGUAUAAUUCCCUUCCUUGGAUUGUCUAUUUUGACGGUUAUUGUACUGGCAAUCUUUGCCAUGUAACAAAUUGCAUCUAUAUGGGAAGUUUGAGUCAUCUUUUUAAAAUCUUGUUUGACACGUGUUUUGAACGGAUGAUUAUGUGCUCCCUCUGUACAUGUCAAGAUUAUGAGUUUUUGUUUACAUAGUUUUGUUAUAAGGGGCGGACAUGUAAACUAUAUAGAGAAGUUUGUGUCAUCAGAUUAAAGAUCUAGGUUUGACACGUGUUUUGUAGGGAAAAUGAUAUUCUCUCACUCUCUUUGCUGAUGAUGAUAAUUUUUUAUGUUUCAUGUCAAUUUGAAUCCUUUAUGUUGAUUUCUUGUUCAUGUAGUUUUGUCUCUUAUAGGGUUUGGGCAUGUGACAAAUUGCAUCUAUAUAGAGAACUUUGGGUUGUCAAAUUAUGCUAUGGUUGGCACAUGUUUUGAAGGAAAAAUGAUAAUUGGCUCCCUGUUCUUUCCCUGGACUAUUACACCUUCAUAUAGUUAAUUUGAAUCAUUUAUGCUGAUGUCUUGUUCUUGUAGGUUUGUUUCUUAUAAAGGCUGGAUUAGUUAAUCUAUAUUUAGCAUAGCUUGGGAAAUAAUAAAGUAUUUGUCAUAGUUGUUACAGGUCCGCUUAAAGCGCGCCUAGGCUUAAGGUGCAAUCAUUCUCUAGCUAUAACGCUUCACCUACUAAUAGGCGCACCUUGUUGGAGAGGCUUUCUUCGUUGUUUCCUUUUUCUUUCUAUAAUAUUGUAUUCUUGAAAUUUCUGACAGUAUAUUUAAGCUUUAUGUGUAGGGUCUUGUUGAGGAGUGCUGUUUUUUGUUAGUCCCUCUUUGUUUUUUUGGUUGUGCUUUAGGCCCCCUUUGUAUGCUCCCUGUGUUCUUUGGGGCGCUUUUGGCAUUUCUCUUUUUAAUACAUGUUUUUUCUUUACCUAUCAAAAAAAAAAAAAGGCUUUAUGUAAUUUCAUUAGUUUUUUGUAAGAUGAUUCUUCUAAGGUUUUGAAAUCAUGAAGUUUUUGUUAGUUUAAUUGAAAUUUGAUGAUAUUUAAUAUUUUAUAAAAUCGACAUGCAUCUGAAGUUGUGUCUCACUUCAUUUGGGUGUGCACCUUGUAUUGCGCCUAAGCCUUACAAGGCUUUUGCACCUUUUUGAACUAUGGUAUUUGGGUUCUUCCUAAAAUGGUGUGGUUCUGAAGGUUUUGUUUGUAUGGACAAAUGGGGGAUUAGGUUUGGCUACUUUGCCCUUAUUGGAUCUCAGUGAUGGAAUGGGGAUUGGUUUUAGCCAGUUGGUGUUAUUGAUCACUUUCAUUCUGUUUAGUAUGUGUGCUUUUUUUGAUAAGUAAAGCAAUUGUAUUAAAAGCGCCAAAAAAAACGCCUAAAGUAUACACGGUGUAUACAAGGCCAAAAAAAAGGAGGGAAUUAUGUGCGCUGCUUGUAUACUUUGUGUUUACAUGGGUUGGUGCUCCCCUUUUUCUGCUAGGCACUUUCAUUAAUGUACUUAUCCUAAUUUUCCUAUAUAUAUACAUAUACUAAUACUGCUUGUUGAGGCCUUUCUUAAAAAUUCUAACUUAUAUGUUAGAACAUGAGAUUUUUAAAUACUUGGGCUAGUGUCUUUGCAUUAAUAAACCUUCUUCAUCCAUACACAUAUUUGAUUGAAGCUCUAUUAUUAGGUCACCUUAUAGGGAUCUCCCAAAUUCCCCCCAGAUUCACAAUUUUUUAAUUCUACUUUAUGGUGUUAAUUUUUGCUAAUCAUUUGAGGCAUCUACUUCAACAUCUUUACUUGGAUCGAACAAAUGUGCUAUGCUUUAUCAGCCCCAAUUUGUGAUGCGUGAAGAAUAACUGGUGUAUUAGUGAUGAAAAAUUUGGAUUGUCCUAUUCACAAUUCAGUUUGUCCUUUUGCAGUCCAUUUUACUAGUGACAUGAGGUUUUUUCAAACAUACCAAACAGAGGCCAAUAAGGAAAAAGUGGAAAAUACCACUAUAUACUUUUCCUGUAUAGUUUAUAUGAAAAUAAAUUUAUCAUGUCACAUUCUAUAUGUACAUCUCCAAUUUAACAUCCUUGUGAGGAACAUUUCCCUUGUGAGGAGCAUUUCCCUUGUGAGGGGCAUUUCCCUUGUUAUCUACAUAGAACCAUGCCCAAAAAAUGGUUGUCUUUAAGGUAUUUAUCGCCAUCAAUAUCACCUCAUCUUGAUUCUUGGUUUUCCCAUAAAGUUUUAGUAAAUAUUCAAAACUUAUUGACCUUUCAACUUCCAACGCUGUGGUGCAGUAAUGUCAUUUUGGUUUGUGGCGAGAUUGCUAAGUCUACAAACUGCAAAGUUCUACUAAUGUGAUGUCUGAAAGUUGACCUUUAUAAUUUGUGAUGCUGGGUUAAAGCAUAUCAAAAUGGUAUCUUUGGUUGUAGCAUUUCUCCUUAAGAGGAGCUAUUAAGCAACUGGCAGUGUGGGGGGAAAAGUAGGAGCGAUAUCAGUUGAGUCUAUCCUUUCUAUCUUAUCUAUAUAAGAAAAGGGAGAACUUAUGACCUCGCAGAUAGAGAGGUAUUCAAACCCCAGUAUUUCUAUCAAUAUCUUGGUUGUCAAAACUGACUCUUUCAAUUGCUCAGACAUCCCUUCCCUUUGUGCUUUGCCUGCCCUAUCUAUCCGCUCGCUGGCAGGCAGGGCUUAUCUAGGUGAUUAGCAAUGUUUGCUUAGGCCUAUAGGUGGAUUCUAUUACCUGCUGGUUAGUGAAGCGUUUCAGGUAAUAUGAUGGCUAGAUGGAGCUGUUUGUGGUUACUUUGAAAUAUUUGUUCCUUAAGUCCUUGUUCUCUUGGUCUAAGGAAUACUAUUGGGAUGGUAAUUUGCCCUUUUUAACCUCAUUGUUAGGGUGAUUGGGCUGGGCAUUGGACUGGGUCCUUGAUUCCUGUCUCCUCUUUCAUCUCCCUCUAGGAGGUGGAGUAUAGAUACGUUUCAGGUGCUAUGGUUUUCUCCUUUCUGUAUUUUUAAUACAUUACUUUGCUUAUGAAAAGGAAUUUCAAAAUAUUAAAUAAUGUUUCUAACCAAUUUUUAUUUAUUUAUUUUUAUUUUUAUUUUUUUAUCAGAACCAACUGAAAAUAAUAUAUAAUAAAAUAAGAAAUGUAUGCUGAAAACCUAUUAGAGAAUUGACAAAAAGAAUGUGGUGCACAAAUGAUAUUGAACAUAAGAAGCAGCCUAACUAAAAUCAAUAGCCUAAAAGGGUGGGUAUAUAUGUGACAUGCCUGUCCAGAGCAUGGCUCCAAAAGAAUAAAGAUUUAGGCAAACUAUUUAAUAUGUAUUUGCUUGUUGUUUGAGACAGUUAAUCACAACGUCAAGCUGUUAGUUUUGUUCUGAAGGCAUGUUCUUUUUAAAUGCUUUGUAGAAAUUCAAAUGUAUUGUUAAAAUAUGCCAACUUUGAUGAGUUGUUAGCUUGUUCCUUGUUGUAUCAUCAUUCCUUUGAAUCAAGUUUGAUUGAUAAAACAUUAUGAUGAGGCACCAUUCAUAUUUCUGCUAAAUUAUUGUCAUAUGAUUGUUUUGGUAAACAAUUAGUUUGGUAUUGAAGCAGGAUGAUUUAGGGCGCACCACUCCUGUCUCUGGACACCCUUCUCGUCCAGCAAGCCGCAAUGCUUUUGAUGAAAAUGCUGAACCCUUGGGCUCUGUUGAAGCGGAGUUGGGUCAUUUACGCCGUGAAUUGAAAUCUGCUGAUGUUUUACGAUCCGGUGCAAGUGUUCAGGGCUCAUCAACGGUCCAAAAUAUUGGUGCACCUACUUCAUAUACUUAUGCCUCUGUGUUGGGUGGUUCCUUAUCAAGAAGCACUACUCCUGAUCCCCAACUCAUUGCUAGGGCUCCUAGCCCCUGUCUUACACCCAUUGGAGGAGGGAGAACUGCCAUUUCUGAAAAGAGAGGAAUUAAUGGUUCUAGCUCUUUUAAUAGUGUCCCUCCUAGCAUGAAUGAAUCUGCAGAUCUGGUGGCUGCUUUGUCUGGUAUGGAUCUGUCAACAAAUGGCGUGAUUGAUGAAGAAAAUCAUUUGCCAUCACAGAUUGAACAGGAUGUUGAGAAUCAUCAAAGCUAUCUCUUCAAUCUACAAGGUGGUCAGAGCAAUAUUAAGCAACAUUCAUACCUGAAGAAAUCUGAAUCUGGGCAUUUACAAAUUCCUUCUGCUCCUCAGUCAGGAAAGGCAUCAUAUUCUGAUUCAGUUAAGAGCAAUGGUGUUGGUUCAGAGCUGAACAACUCCUUGAUGGCUGAUAGGCAAGCUGAAUUACACAAAUCUUCUGUUCCCUCCGGUAAUUCGUACUUGAAAGGAUCAUCUAUGUCUAGUCAUAACGGUGGAGGUGGCUUGCCUUCUCAUUAUCAGCAGUUUGUAGAUAGCACAAAUUCAUCAAUUCCUAACUAUGGUUUGGGUGCAUAUUCCAUGAAUCCAGCUUUGGCUUCCAUGAUGGCAAGCCAGCUUGGUGCGGCUAAUUUGCCACCAUUAUUUGAAAAUGUCGCUGCAGCAUCAGCUAUGGGAGUCCCUGGGAUUGAUUCAAGAGUUUUGGGAGCAGGCUUGGCUUCUGGGCCAAAUAUAGGGGCUGCUACAUCAGAGUCACAGAAUCUCAAUAGAAUUGGGAAUCACAUGGCAGGGAAUGCUCUUCAAGCACCUUUUGUGGAUCCAAUGUAUCUUCAAUAUUUGAGGACGGCUGAAUAUGCUGCAGCACAAGUUGCUGCUCUUAAUGAUCCCUCUGUAGAUAGGAACUACUUAGGUAAUUCGUAUGUUGAUUUACUUGGACUCCAGAAAGCUUAUCUGGGAGCUCUGCUUUCUCCUCAGAAAUCACAGUAUGGUGUUCCCUUGGGCAGUAAAUCUAGUGGUUCUAAUCAUCAUGGUUACUAUGGUAACCCGGCAUUUGGUGUUGGCAUGUCAUACCCUGGAAGUCCCCUAGCAAGUCCUGUUAUUCCAAAUUCUCCCAUUGGACCAGGAAGUCCUAUCAGACACAAUGAUCUCAAUAUGCGAUAUCCAUCUGGGAUGAGAAACUUAGCUGGGGGAGUCAUGGCACCCUGGCACUUGGAUGCUGGUUGCAACAUGGAUGAAGGCUUUGCCUCCUCACUACUUGAAGAGUUCAAGAGUAACAAAACCAAAUGUUUUGAGCUUUCAGAAAUUGCUGGUCAUGUUGUUGAGUUUAGGUAUAUGUUGCUCAUAGAGAUUUUUGUGCUACGUUAUUCUAAUAGUAUCCUGCAAUUGAUAUGUGAUUAACAUCUUCUAUGAGCAGUGCGGACCAGUAUGGAAGCCGAUUCAUUCAACAAAAACUUGAAACGGCCACAACAGAAGAGAAAAACAUGGUUUACCAGGAAAUCAUUCCCCAAGCUCUCUCUUUGAUGACAGAUGUGUUUGGUAACUAUGUUAUACAAAAGGUAUGAAAUUCUCUUUUCGUUGCAUGAUUCUUGCAUGCGCGCUAUAUGUGUGUGUAUCUGCACACAUUAUUAUUAUUAUUAUUAUAUAAUUUUAAAUGGUUUUACAUUUGCAACUGUUUCUAAUUUUCAGUUUUUUGAGCAUGGACUAGUAUCCCAGAGAAGAGAACUGGCUGGCAAGCUUUAUGGUCAUGUACUGACACUUAGCCUUCAAAUGUAUGGUUGUCGAGUGAUCCAAAAGGUACCAUUAGUUUUGCCACUAAACCUCAACUUGACUUUUGCUGUGUGAUAUUGUGUGUUGUUCACAUAAAGGUCUCUCUAUCUUUCAUUAUCUGCAGUUGUAGCACCAGUCAUUCGCCUUGAUUGUCAUUUGAUUUACAGAUGGCUCAUUAAUGCUGUUAGUAUGGUAGGAAUGAUAAUGCUAUCAUAUUAAGCUUCUCUACAAUAGAGUGAACUUUCUGGAUAUCUUAAGAACAUUAUUCUCCAAAAACAUAGAAUAGUUCUUAGAUUGCUCAAUCAAAAUCAGGAAUUUUGAAUUUUGCAUCUAGGAAAAGAUGUACAGCAAGUACACUUCCCUCGGCCCACCCGGACCUGGCCCGUCCCUUUGGGCCUGGGUUAGGGAAGGCCCAUUCCUCAGCCUCUCUGGGAAACACUUAUAUACCCCUUGGCCCAGCUUCUCCCAGUGACUUAGGGCUUGGAACCCCUACCUGCUCCCUGCGCCGGAGGAGAGGAUCCCCCCCUGAGAGCCCCCAGUUGGAAGCGCCGUCCCAUUUGGAAGUAACGUCGGCAAAUGACCUCCCUCCCACUGUCGAAGGCCGCAAUCCUCAAGGUAUGCUCUUGCCCCCUCCACCCCCCUUGAGUGGGAUGCUUUCUUCUCCUUCUUCUACUCCAUUCUUGGUUACGGGAUCCGAGAGGGAAAGGGGAUGCUCUGGACAGACGGACCCGACGUCAAGAGAGACUGAAGAGACGCCGAUUCCUCUGUCCUUGAUGCUUAGAGAUGGGUCGAUAAUGGUCCUGAGGCCCGACCCCCCAAACUUUGCGGCGAAGCAGAAGGACCACACAGCUAUCUCCCCGCGCGAAGAAGUAUGGUCAGAGGAGGAGAUUUCCAAUCUCUUCCAUUUUAGCAAAGUCUUGGGAAUGCCUGUCGAAGGACACGAGGUUGAAAUUCUGAAUUUACUUGAGAAAUUGAAGCUGAGGACGGGAAAUAGUACCCUUUGCAAGCGACGAAAGAAGAAAAAAUCUUGCACCACCCGUUUCGAAAGAGAGUUAAAAAGGUUGGAAUGCUCUGUUAGUUACGGGGAGACUUCAGGGAUAGCUAAAAAGUCCGGCCACAAUUCCUGGGAUUUGGUUCCAGUUGACUAAUGAGAAUUAAAAUUCUCUGUUGGAAUGUUCGCGCGGGCUUAAUGACUCAGAGAAAAGAAAGUUGAUCAAGGGCGUGGUAAGGAACCAAAAACCAGAUUUGGUUUGCCUCUUGGAGACGAAGGUGAAAGAGAUGUCUCAGCAAAUGGUCAACAGUGUGGGUAUUGGAAGAUUUCUUAAUUGGGCUUCUGUGGAUGCUAGGGGUGCGGCAGGAUGUCUAUCCGUUUCAGAAACUGUGUCGAUGGUUUCACUUGGAUUUUUUGUGGGGUAUAUGGGCCGGUGAUUAGCAGUGAAAAGGAGGAUUUUUGGGAGGAACUUAGUGCCAUCCGUGGUCUCUGGGAGGACCCCUGGUGCUUGAGGGGACUUCAAUGCUGUUAGAUUCCCAGAGGAAAGAAGGAACUCCCUUAGGCUCACAACUGAAAUGAGAAGAUUCUCAGAGGUUAUAAGGGAACUGGGGCUAAAGGACCUCCCUCUGGCUGGAGGCCCUUUCACUUGGAUAGGGGGUUUGAACUUUCAAGCUGCCUCUAGAUUGGACCGUUUUCUGUUUUCGGACCAGUGGGAAGACCAUUUCUCCGCCAUCACCCAAGCUGCUCUCCCUCGUUUGAUUUCUGACCAUAGUCCUAUAGUCCUUCAAGCUGGAGGAUUCUCCUCAGGCAAAAGCCCUUUCCGUUUUGAAAAUAUGUGGCUAAAAAUUGAUGGUUUCCAAGACCUAGUCCGAAGCUGGUGGAAUGGGUAUUCUGUUGAAGGUUAUAGUAGCCACUGCAUUGCCGAGAAGCUCAAAGCGCUCAAGAAGGACUUGAAGAACUGGAACAAGGAGGUGAUAGGCAAUGUCUCUCUCAAUAGAGCAGAAGCCUUCUCUCGCCUGCAGCGAUGGAAGACCAGGGAGAAUGACAGCCCCCUCACUGCUAGUGAAGUAGAGGCUAAAAAUCUGGCUCUUGAGGACUAUAAGAAAUGGGCUCUGUUGGAAGAAACUUCUUGGAGACAGAAGUCAAGAGAAAUUUGGCUAAAAGAAGGCGACAAGAACACCAAAUACUUCCACAAAAUGGCCAAUGCUAGGGCAAGGAAGAACUUCCUGUCUAAAAUUAGAAUAAAUGAGGUCACUCUCUCUUCUAGUGAUGACUUAAAAGAAGGCGUUUGUAGGGCUUAUAAAUCCCUUCUCUCAGAACCAGGGGAUUGGAGGCCUAAUAUCAACGACCUUAACUUCAAGGAGCUGGGAGAAGGCUUGGCCAGCAGCCUGGAAGUUGUGUUUUCUGAGGAGGAAAUCUAUGCAGCCCUAAGCAGCUGCUGUGGCGACAAAGCUUCAGGCCCGGAUGGCUUUACAAUGGCCUUUUGGUUGUUUUGCUGGGAUGUUGUUAAAUCAGAAAUUUUGGAGCUCUUCAGAGAGUUUCACCUCCAUGGGACCUUCCAGAGAAGUCUGAACUCCACGUUUCUUUUGCUCAUUCCCAAAAAGGAAGGGGCUGAAGACCUAAGAGAUUUUAGACCAAUCAGCCUGGUAGGGAGUGUAUACAAAUUACUAGCCAAAGUCCUUGCUAAUAGGCUGAAAUCAGUGAUGGGAGAGGUGAUUUCUGAUUCGCAGCAAGCUUUCGUCCAUGGGAGACAGAUUCUAGACGCUGUUCUUAUUGCCAACGAAGCCCUUGAUUCUUGAUUAAAAGACAACGCGCCGGGCCUCCUCCUUAAAUUGGACAUUGAGAAGGCUUUUGACCAUGUCAAUUGGAACUUCCUCAUAGAUGUGAUGUCUAGAAUGGGAUUUGGGCACAAAUGGAUUAAUUGGAUGAAAUGGUGUUGGUCCACGGCCACAUUCUCGAUCCUCAUCAAUGGGUGCCCCACGGGCUUCUUCCGUAGUUCUAGGGGAUUGAGGCAAGGCGACCCUCUCUCCCCCUACCUCUUUCUUUUUGCCAUGGAAGCUCUUAGCCAACUGCUAUCACGUGCAAGAAAUGAGGGCUUUAUUUAUGGCUUCAAAGUGGGAGGAAGAGGUAGAGAGGGGCUGAUCGUUUCCCAUCUCCUGUUCGUCGAUGAUACCUUAAUCUUCUGCGACGCCGAUGCAGUCCAGUUGCAAUACCUUAGCUGGACCUUCAUGUGGUUUGAGGCGAUUUCAGGGUCUGAGCAAGUCUGAGGCCAUCCCAGUGGGGGAAUGUCCCCCCAUGGAGCCCCUCGUCUCAAUUUUGGGAUGUAAGAUUGGAUGUUUACCUACUUCCUACCUGGGUCUUCCCCUUGGAGCCCCCUACAAAUCCACUAGUGCGUGGGAUGCAGUGGAAGAAAGAUUCAGGAAAAGAUUGUCUCUCUAGAAAAGGCAACACCUUUCCAAAGGUGGUCGUCUAACCUUAUUAAAGAGCACCCUCUCUAGCCUCCCAACCUACUUCCUCUCUCUCUUUGUGAUCCCCAAGAGAGUUUGUGCAAGACUUGAAAAAAUCCAAAGGGAUUUCUUAUGGGUUGGGGGCGCUUUAGAAAACAAACCUCACUUGGUGUGUUGGAAGGUUAUUUGUGCCGCUAAAAAGGAUGGAGGCUUGGGCAUCCACAACCUAGCUAUUUUUAAUAAGGCCCUUCUUGGUAAGUGGUUGUGGAGAUUUGCCAAUGAGAACGAGUCCCUUUGGAAGCAAAUUAUCUCUAGUAAAUAUGACCUUCAGGAUGGGGGAUGGUGCUCCAAAGGUGUUAGAGAUCGUUAUGGGGUGGGUGUUUGGAAGGCCAUCAGAAACGGUUGGGAAAACUUUCGAUCUCACUCCCGCUUCCUUGUAGGGGAUGGCACCAGAGUGAAGUUUUGGAAGGACUUGUGGUGUGAAAAUCAAUCUCUGGAAGAAGCUUUUCCCAUCUUAUUUAAUCUCUCAGUCAACAAAAAAGGCUUGGUUGUUGAGGCCUGGGAGGAAGAUGGAGUUGGGGGUAGCUGGGGACCUCGUUUCAACAGACACCUCAAUGAUUGGGAGUUGGGGGAAGUGGAAAACUUAUUAAGCAAACUUCAUCCUUUGGCUAUUAGAAGAGGUGUGGAUGACUCGCUUAGGUGGAAAGCAAAUAAGAAUGGGACCUUUUCUGUUAAGUGUUUUUAUAGCUCACUCUCAAUGGGCAUCAACCACCCCUUCCCAGCUAGUAUUAUCUGGACGUCUUGGGCUCCAACCAGGGCUAGUUUCUUUGGUUGGGAGGCGGCUUGGAACAGACUACUCACCAUUGAUCGCCUAAAGAGAUUUGGUUGGAACAUCCCCAACAGGUGCUUCUUGUGUAAAAAUGAGGAGGAGUCUAUUGAUCACCUUCUCCUGUUUUGUGAGAAGGCCAGAAUGUUAUGGUAUCUAACCUUCUCCCUUUUUGGGGUGCAAUGGCUGAUGCACUCCUCUAUGAAAAGGAAUCUCCUAGGAUGGUAUGGAUCUUUUGUGGGCAAGAAAAGGGAGAAAGCAUGGAAAACUGCCUCCCUUUGCCUAAUGUGGACUAUUUGGAAAGAAAGGAAUAGAAGAGCCUUCGAUGAUGUGGAAAGAAACGACCAAGAUAUCAAAUCCAUUUUUUUGUACACUUUUGUGAAUUGGGCUAGGGUAUAUAUUAAGGAUCAUACUUUAUCGUUGUUUGAUUUUGUAAACUGGUUAGCCACCAAGUAAGGGUCAGAACCUUUUGUUUCUUGAUCCUUUGUAUCUUGGUAUACUCUCUUUAGCCUUUUGGCUUUUAAUGAAUUUCCUUUAUCUAUCAAAAUAAAAAAAAAAAAAAAAAAAAGGAAUGGGUCUUAAGUCAUCCCUAUGGCUUCUGUAGUCUUGACUCAAAGGUGGAUCUCUUUGCCUUUAUAUUUAUCAGCUGAAUUUACUGUGUACUACAUGAAAGUCAAAGAGAGGCUAAUCUUGAUAAUUGCUACGUGCCCAUGCUUGCAAGUUCAUCAAAGUUCUAAUCCUAAUUGAACUGUGACUGAUUUGAGUUCAUUGGGGAUGGCAAUAAUAAAAUGUUUCUAAUCAUGCAGGCAAUAGAAGUUGUUGAUCCAGACCAAAAGAUUAAAAUGGUUGAGGAGCUUGAUGGUCAUAUCAUGCGAUGUGUGCGUGAUCAGAAUGGAAACCAUGUCAUCCAAAAGUGUAUUGAAUGUGUUCCUGAAGAUGCUAUUCAGUUUAUCAUCUCAACAUUCUUUGAUCAGGUUGUGACCCUCUCAACCCAUCCAUAUGGGUGUCGUGUGAUACAGGUUAGAAACUUUUUAUUGCUUAUCUUUUACAUCUUGAGGGUUCAAUUUGAAGACAUAAGGAAGAAGUGCUUCCAAUAUUUUUCAUAGGCAAAGAUCAAAUCUAUUAAAAGCAUCAGACAAAAGAGUGCACAAAAGUAUAGAUGGUGUAUACAAAGAUGCCAAUAGGCCAUACAAAGCAGAGAAAAAAGAAGUGUGUCUAAUAUGAUGUGUCUUUCAUGUGACAGAGAGUUCUGGAGCACUGCAGGGAUCCAAAAACCCAGAGUAAAGUGAUGGAUGAGAUUUUAGGAUCUGUUAGCAUGCUGGCACAAGAUCAGUAUGGCAAUUAUGUUGUUCAGGUUUUUAAUCUUUUCCAGAACACUACUGGUAUUGGCUUACAUUUUCUUCUAUAACUAGCUGGCAGUGACAUAAAGUAUCGUUGUCAUGUUAAGUGUUGUUUGUGUGAUACAGGCCUUCUGAGAUGACUAGAUGUGGUGAUUAUGGUUUUCAACUUUUUUCUAUUGUUUCUGUAUGAACAUUGUACUGACAACUUUAAGCUCUUCAAGCCUGGUAUUUCCCAUUUUACAGCCAUUUUGCAUUUUUCUGUUCUAGUACUCUUACCACUUAUAAAACUUUAGCAGCAUAGAUUCUUUGCACUUGUCUGUCAACUGCAUUGUUUAGUCUUUCUCUGUCUUCUCAUUCCAGAUGGGUUUUAUUUUUUAUUUUUUAUUAGUAAGUAAUGACUUGGUUUUAAAUGCCAUAUUUGCUCUGUUCUGAACCUCAUCAUAUACAUAGGGACUGUUUCACACUUAUUUUGUGAUGUAUCGUUGUAAUCCAAUAUCUCUGUGGUAAAUAAAUUAGAUAACAGAUCAAGAAAUUGCGAAGUAAUUGAAGUCACAGCUCAAUAGAAGAGCUUCUAGGGUUAUAGGUCCUAACAACAAGUUCCCAAUUUGACUCUGUUAUUAGGUGACAAGAACUGCUAGAAAUUCAUUAACAAAGAUUAUAUAUGAUAGACUACGAUAGCCUAUCAAAAAAAUGUGAUAAGACUGCAACAACUAUUCUUGGUCUUCAAUUAGUCACACAUUACUACUUCAAGGAUUUCUAAAUAAAGCACAAGGAGACAACUGAGACAGAAAGACUCAGUAAAAGAUGAUACUCUGGUGCUCUAGGUUACAUUCAUGCAUUUUGGGCCUUGAUAAACCUUUUAUGUGCAUAUGCAUCUUGUAUGAGUUUGAAGAUUCAGAGAAUUCCUAGACUUCUUUUAAAUGUUUGUUUGAUCAUUCUAUGCAUAUGCAAUGAGUCUUUUUUUCUUAGAUGUUUAUUGAGUAUAUCAACCAAGUCAUCAUUGAUUUAUCCAGCAUUAAUGUCUGUAUACUUCCUUGGUGUAAGGCUGCUUUUACAUUUUCUUUUCAUUACAUCAAGAGUUCAAUGUUUGUUUGCCCAUUGUAAGUUACCCAACAGAGAAUCACAACUAUGGUUGAUGGUUUGACUGACAAGAUCUCUGUGGCUAGUAUUCAAAUUUUGAUUUAAAGUUACUACUAAAAUUUUAACCCAAAAGUCCUUCAUGUCUUACUCAAGUGGCAAGGGGUGGGUUUAUGAGAGGUUUGAGGUCCAAAUCCCAAUUGGGAUAAUAAAAAAUAAAAAAUAAAAAAUAAAACAGUGGCAAGGGGUUGUGGAGAGGAUAUGGGAAGUUCUAGGUUUGAGUCCCACUAGGGAUAAAGAAACUGAAAAUAUGUUUCUUAUCCAGAAAGUAAAAGAACCAAAAGAAAAGAAUAGAUGAAACAUAACUCAUAUGUGCACACAGUUGUACAUGUUUAAUACCUCAAUCUAUUUUACUUAGUCAUUUUUGUUGGAAUGGCGCAACCAGUGCCAAGACAGGCUUAAUCUUUGCACUGACCAACAAGAACUUCCUAUAAAGUGUUUAGCUUGAGAUGUACACAUACCAGUGACACUUGGGGGUGCAUAAAUUGUACAUGUUUAAUACCUCAAUCUAUUUUACUUAGUCAUUUUUGUUGGAAUGGCGCAACCAGUGCCAAGACAGGCUUAAUCUUUGCACUGACCAACAAGAACUUCCUAUAAAGUGUUUAGCUUGAGAUGUACACAUACCAGUGACACUUGGGGGUGCAUAAAUUGUUGAUAUUAUAAAUUACUGUCACUUUCAUGCGAUCACUAAGUGUGCUGCUUUGAUAUCUUUCUUGAACUGGCCAAAUCUUGCUGGGUGAUGCUAGUUUGACUUUUGAGCCCCCUGCUGUUGGUCUAAAUUGAUAUUCAAAUGUAUGUUCUCCUGGAUUACCUGUCAUGGCGUUUCUGUGUGUGUACUUCGUUGUUUCUUAGUCAAUCUUUUGCUUUUAUUUUUAACAGCAUGUUCUGGAGCAUGGACAACCACACGAGCGCUCUGCUAUAAUUAAGGAAUUAGCUGGAAAGAUAGUUCAGAUGAGUCAGCAGAAGUUUGCCUCCAAUGUUGUGGAGAAGUGUUUAACUUUUGGCGGUCCUGCUGAGCGCCAGAUCCUGGUGAAUGAGAUGCUUGGCACUACUGAUGAGAAUGAGCCUCUUCAGGUUUGGCCAAUCACUAUUUACUUUUCUGCCACUAGAUGGAAUGACCAAGUCAAAUGGGGGAGUGUUUCUAUAUAAGGCCUUUGAUUGGUAGUGGAGCCAGAUCAGAAACAUUUUUCUGGAACCUGUUAUUUAAUGUCUCUGUCCUGCCAUGGUAAUGCUGUACUUGGCACCUCUGAAUUCUCUUAACCAUGAAUUUUGCAUGGUAAGCCUAAAGUGGAACUGCAUCUAUUGAUGUAGCGGCUUAUGGGAAAUGAGCUUUCCCCAAGCUUAACCUCUAGCCGGUUUCACAAGAUUUAUGAACUUGAACUUAAUGUUUUAUGUCAUAUUCUAGGUAAAUAACAUUUUUUUUUUUCCGUAUUUUUAACCAGAGUUAAAUGUGGUUUGAAAUUAGUUCUGCUUGUAGUGUUUUUAGCAAUGGUUCUAGUGUUCCUUUCAUUUUCCCAGUACAGCUGUCUGUCGAAAAAGAAAUUGAGAAAGGAAAAAUCCUAUGAUUCUGAUGCUAUUAAAAUUUUGCUUAUUGCUUGAUUUCAUGGUUACGUCAACAUAUAGUUAUUUCCCACUUUGUUGUUCUUGUUGCUUGUGCAUCUAGGCUAUGAUGAAAGAUCAGUUUGCAAACUAUGUUGUACAAAAGGUGCUGGAGACUUGUGAUGACCAGCAGCGUGAGCUGAUCUUGUCCCGAAUUAAGGUUCAUCUUAAUGCACUGAAGAAAUACACUUAUGGAAAGCAUAUUGUUGCACGUGUAGAGAAACUCGUUGCUGCUGGGGGUACCUAUCCUUUCCCUCAUAUUUUACUUUAGCAUGCAUAUUAAAUAGUCGCUCAGGCUGCAUUUUUUAAGAAAGAAAACAUGUCUUUGCAGUUGCCUUUUUCUGUGUUUAUUCUUCAUUCCUUUUAGGAUGUGGACGUGCUGCUUUUUUGCUAGAUAAACACGACUAACUGACAAAUUGGGAUUGGUGGAUAACACAUGGGUUAAACUGCCAUAGACAUACUUGUUUAUAUUGGCAGGAGUUUUUUAGUAGUUCACUGAUAAUGGAAUUUGUAAAUUUUGGUUGGAGAUCUUUUGGUUCAGCCUUGCUAUGAAAUAUGGACUUCUGAUGACAUUUUACUGAUUAGAUGGCAUGAUCACUGCACUCAUAGACAAAAUGCUAAGGAUUGCAUACGUUCUUCCAAAUGCCUAAUGGGAACAUUGGAUAACCCUUGUGUAUGGAAAUGAUCAAUGCCUAGUUCCUCAUUCUGAUUUUGUUCUUAUGUGUUAUGAAUACCAUCUUAACAUAUGCAUGAUUCUUCCAUGUUCAGAUAGCUCUCUAACCCUUUGUACAUCAAAUUGUUUGCAGAAAGGAGAAUUGCUAUUCAGUCUCCACACCCUGCUUAGGUGGGCAUAGGAAAGAAAGAAGUUGUACAGCUAACUGAGGCUAGUGUGAGCUUCCUUUCUUCUUCUCUUUCUCUGGAAUCUAGAGCUAUGGUUCUACUAUCUCUUUAAGAUAGAUAUGAGCUGAUUGGCAAUAAAGCUGUUCUUGUACUGGAAAACUGUACAUUGUGUAGUUUAAGGUUUAUACAUAUAAUCAAGCAAGCUGAGAGGUUCGGGUGUUCAAUACACUUGAAGUCCAUGCAGAGGAGAUAAAUGACUAUACAAGUUUUUAAGGGUGUAAAAAAUGAUUAAAAUGGUGAGGUAGUUUAUAUGUUAACGCGACUGUACAAAUUUCGCCAUGUGGAGAGCUGUUGAUGUUUAGGUGAGGCCAGGAUAUUUUUGUUUAAUGUAUGCUUAUUGACUACUUUCUUUCUUUUAAAGUACAAUUUUCUCCUGUGCUCAAAGUAUCUUGUUUUGGUCUACUUUUUCUUUGUAUUUGUUCUUGGUGGUGUUAAUAUAUGGUUCAUUUUAUGCAAUCUAUUCCUCCAAUUAUACGUAGUUUCUCUGAAUGAAGAGAUGUCGACCUUUCGGGUAGUUUCAUUCUUCCCAAUUUCAGCCUGGGAUUGCACCCAUUGGUUGCACCAUACUCAUGGCAUUGCCUCAACUCUGAAUUAGCAGGGACCAUUUGAAAACCAAGUAUGUCCAAUUGUGAUUGCUUUUAGGGAGGGUAAGAUAAUAAUGCGAGGAUGGUAGAGAGUAGAGUGAUUGUAGCUGGAUUUGAAAGUGGAAUAGAGCACACUAUUGAAUCAAAAACCUUAACUGUUAAACAUGUUUUGGGAAUGAAUAUCUGUGGUUAAAUCCAAAGCCCAUUUUCCUCCAAAGGGGGGUUAGAAAAAAAAAAUGAGAAUGCUAUUUUGGGGGCAAAAUUAUUUCUUUGAAAUUUCUGGAUUUGGGGUUUGUCAAACCUGUUAGAGGUGUCAACUUAGCUUAGGAGUGUGGCUUUGAUGGCUCAAAAUCUGAAUCAACAAUUGAAGUCUGUUCUGCAAAUUGGAAGAGCCAAGUAUUACAGGUAUCUUAUAGAUGCUACAUCUUCUUGCUUUCCCUACAUCUUUCCAUAAUAAUGUUGAGUCAAAUAAUGACUGUUGCUAAACACAAGUUUGUAGGGAGGUUAAACCAGUUAGCCAAUUUUGAUGCAUGUCUCGUUUAAAUUAACUUGAAAAUUCAGGUCUUGCAUUCCAGUACUCAAGGUCUCUCAGAUGCCACAAACAAAUAUUGAUUUUCAGGAUGGUUGGAAAAAGCCAUGAAUCACAAGUUGAUAUGAAUUUUGUGGGAAUGAUAGUUUUUCAGAUAUUUUGUAAAUAAAAGUUUGUUUAGGAAUUAAAAUGUUUUUAAUAUAUAUUUUUUUAUAUUUUUAAAAAUAAUUUUUACAUGUGGUGCUUAAUUUUUAUUUAUUUUUCAUAUUUAUAUAAUUAUUUUUAAAAACAAUCAUUAAAAAAAUGAAGUGAAAACAACUGAAUGACUUUAUUUGAAAACAGUUACAGCAGGUAGCCUCCCAAUCAAAUUUGUCUUGCUGCAAAAGUACUAAUUCAGAUAUCUGUGUUCUCAAAGAGGAAGGCCUCAACAGUUCAUAACAAUUUCAUAAAAUUCUAAUUAAUCUCCAAAAAUGACCCAAGAAUUUGUUUUUUCUUUUGUCGUAUGAACUUCACAGAAUACAUUGCACAAUUCUCUACCAUUUCUUAAGGAUGGCAAAACUAGUGGUACAGAGACAUCAAGAAGCUUACACAGAAUCUCUCUUUUGAAUUCUAAUCAUCACCACUCUCUUCAUCAAUCUUCUGCCCAAAACCCCUUGGCCCAGCUCUAGCUCUCACCUUCCUCUUCUUCCCAUUCUUCUUCUUGGCUGACUCUUCUUUCUCAAACUUCUCCUUCUCCCUCUUCUGCAAGAAAUCUGACACAGCUAUGUAUAUAACCUGAAAAACCCCAAUCAUAAUUUCAGCCAAAAACUACAAGAACCCAUCAAUUCCGACCAAAAACAUGAGCAAAUUUCAGAAAUUUACUUUACCCCUAUAGUGAGAAUAGUGAGAGCAACAAAAGCAACGAAGAGAAGAGCCGAUAUAACGGUGGAGACACCCUCAUCACUAGUGGACACUAUCUGCUGGGAAUUCUCAAGUGGGGUCACCUCUGAAGGCAAAGCAUCUUCAGAUACAGCGGAUAUUCUCCAAAGUUGGGUGCUUUUCUGAGGAAUUGCAUGAGGCGGGUGGUGAAAAUUGAUGGUUUUCUUUCGAGGGGUAGUGGUUCGUAAGGCAAGAAGUGGGAUGAAUGGCAGAGAUGAAUUGUGGAUGUGAAGCGAAUUGGGAGGUUUUGAGUUGAAAAUGGAGGGGAAAGGCAGUGGAGAUAGAGAUCCACAUACAGAUGCAGAAGCCAUGGUUCACCUACUUCCACUUUCUCUCUCUCUCUCUCUAUCCCUGCUCAACUUGCAGAAGUGCUGACUCUAUAGAAGGGGAAUCUUAGGGUACUUUUUGAAUGUACAGUAAUUUCUGUAUAAGCUUGUGAUUAUUGAUUGCCAUAACCAUCAGAACCUCAUGAUGACCCCAUAAUAAAAUAAAAUAAAUUAAAAUAAAAAAACCUCUUUAUUUAAUCCUUUAACUCUAGGGGGUUGCAGGUUUAGUGAUUGUGCUCCACAAGAAUGUGACCAAGCCUAGAUGAGGCCCAUGACAGUUUUCAAAUGAGAACAACAGCCCAAGUCCUGGUAACAUGGCACCUUGCAACAUUAGAUUGGGCCUUUAAAGGCCCAAAAAUGAACAAAAUGUGUUCGGCUCCCUUCUCGGUAAGCGUUGAAAACGCACCAUCAAUUAAGUGACGUCACAUAUGCACUUUCAAUGUCUUGGUUUUGGUACCGUAUCUCAUUUCCUUAAUCUCAUUGAUACUAAAUGGUCGGAUAUUUUACUACCUUAAAUAAUUUAGUGUAUAUCUCGUAGCAGUGUAUGCCAGUUGGCUUUCAUGCCACUUGGUCCCUCCUCACAUGGCGCCUCUUCAUCAUUGGACCCUACUUACUAAAAAUUAUGCCCUUUAUUCUCCAUCGUCCCAUAUGCCAUGCCAACUACAAACACCCUAAAUCAAACAAAAUAUCAACAUAACCCCCACCCAAGCUUACAUGCUCAUGCCUAACUAAUGUAUAUUACUAACGAAAAAUGUCUUUUAAUAAAAAUUUGAAUGUUUAAUAAAAUUAAAAAAUAUAUUUAUUUUUAAAAUUUUAUUAAAAUGACAUAGAAUAGACAUAUAGAAAUUUUUGAAGACAGAUCGUUAUACCCGGAUAUCUUCAUUAAAAUCUAGAUUGUUAUAAAUGAAUAAAAAUAAUGAAAAAUCAUGUAAUCAUACAUCAACUAACAAAAAUAUGAUAUUUUAGAAUUUUGUUUUUUGUAUUUUAAUUUUAGUGUAAAAUGGAAAAAAAUAUUGUCUAUUUAUGCACUCCAAUAAUGCUUUCAAAUUCGUUCUAUAAUUACCCUCAAAAGUAAAAGACAAAGUACACAUCAAUUUAAUAUCAUAUUGACAAGUACAUGUAUAAUUUAUUUUUAUUAUUUCUCUUAUAUCAAUAUAUCUCACUUACCACUUACCUCCUUCUCCAUUUUUUUUCCUCUCUUCCCAUCAUAAUAUGUUGUCACCUAUUAUAGUUUUUAUUAUUAGUUUUCUCUUUUUCCUUUAUAUUCUUUUUAAUAUGCUCAUAUAUUUUCUCAUAAAACUUCUUUAAUUUUUUUAUUUUUUUACUCUCUAAUUUCUCCAUAUUUAUUGAUUUUAAUUAUUUUUUGACAUAUUAAAAUUAAAAUGAUAAUAUAUAAUAAAUAGUUAAUAUAACAAAUUAAAUAAAAAACAAAAAUAUAUAAUGAACAAAAAUGAAAAUAUUAUUCCACAAAUAACAUACUUGAUGAUUUUAAAUAUUAAUUAUAAUAAUACAUUUGAUAAAUUAGGGUUUAAAUUUAAAUAUUUUAUUUUAUUAUUUAGAGGUUUAUGAUAUAAGUUUUUUUAUAUUAAUACUAAACAAAAAAUUUAUUUAUUUGUAAAUUCUUUCACAUGUAAAAGUAAAAAUAUAUUUGUAAUACUAUUUUAUUAUUUACAUAAUUUUUCUUUUAAUUUUCAUUUUAAAUUUAUCAUAUCAAAAUCACAAUAAGUGAUGGUGUUUUUAUCAUUUUUCCUAUGAUUUUAAUUUGAUUAUGAAUCUAACAUUUUGUUUGGUUAAAAUCUUUAAUUUUUAACUAUAAAAUAUAAAAGAAAAUAUAAUUUUCAUAAAAAAAUUGAAUAUAACCUUUUAUAUUAAUUUCAUAAAAAAUAGGUACAUCCUUAAAAAAAAAAAAAAAAAAGAAGGUAAAUUCAUGCUUAGAGGAAUCAGAACCAUUAUCAUACUUAUCAUGGUGUAUAUUUUCCUUUGGAAUCCUCAACAAGUAAUUGGAAGUCCUCACCCAACCCAAAACGAACUUUGGAAUCCUAGGUAUAGCCAUUCUUAGAAGAACCAAGACCCUUAUCUCCAUUCUCAUGACUCAUAUAUAUCUUUAGGAACCUUCGAGAAGGAAUUGGAGGUUGUUUCCCACCCUAUAAUAGACAUUGGAACCCAAGAUACAUAUAAAGAUAAUUUGGUACAUUAUUUACAAAAUUUGGUACAUCUUUUACAAAAUUUAACACAUUCUUAAAACAAUUUGGUACAUCCAAUCCAUGAGCUACUAGGACCUCUAUAUUUAUUAUCCAUGGCUCAUUUAUUUCUUUAAAGAUCUUUAGAGGUUGUUCUUUACUUUGAAAUGAACUUUUGAACUCAAGGUACAUCCUUAAGGAAAGUUGGUACAUCGUUAAGAAAUUUUGGUACAUCUAAUCCUUGGGCUAUCGAGAUCUCUAUCUAUCUUCCCAUGGUCCAAUUAUCCUUUAAGGACCCUCAAGUAGCAAUUGAAGGUCAUUCCCCACCUCGGAACAAACUUUGGCACUCUUGUUACAUUUUUUACAAAAUUUGAUAUAUCAUUUACAAAAUUUGGUACAUCAUUCACAAAAUUUGAUGCAUCCUUAAAAAUAUUUGGCACAUCCAAUCCUUGAACUAUCGAAACCUCUAUUUAAUUACUCAUGAUUCGUUUAUUCCCUUAGGGAUCUUUGGAAAGUGAUUGGAGGUUAUUUGCUACUUCGAAACGAACUUUGGAACCUUAGGUACAUCCUUGAGAAAAUUUGAUACAUCCAAUCCUUGAGCUAAUGAGACACCUAUCUCAUUUUCCAUGGUCCAUUUCUUCAUUUGGAGACCCUCAAGAAGUGAUUGGAGGUAGUUCCUCACCUCGGAAAGCACUUUGGCAACUUUGGUACAUCCUCCACAAAAUUUGGUACAUCCUUAAAAAAAUUUGAUACAUCCAAUCCUUGAGCUACCGAGACCUCUAUCUUAUUACCCAUGGUCUGUUUAUUCCUUUAAGGAUCUUUGGAAAGUGAUUGGAAGUCAUUCCCUACUUUGAAACAAACUUUGCAGCCCUAGGUACAUCCUUAAGAAAAUUUGAUACAUCUAGUCCUUAAACUAUCGAGACACCUAUUUUCCAUCACAAGGCCCAUUUAUUUAUCUGGACAACCUUAGGAAGUGAUUGGAGGUAGUUCCCUACUUCAGAACAGACUUUGACCCUCUUGGUACAUCCUUUAUAAAAUUUGGUACAUCUUUCACAAAAUUUGUUAUAUCCUUAAAAAUAUUUGGUACAUCCAAUUCUUGAGUUAAUGACACCCCUAUCUUAUUACCCAUAGUCUGUUUAUUCUUUUAGCGAUUUUUGGAAAGUGAUUGGAGGUUGUUCCCUAUUUCGAAACGGACUUUGGAACCCCAAGUACAUCCUUGAGAAAAUUUGAUACAACCAAUCCUUAAGCUAACGAGACACCUAUCUCCCUUUCCAUGGUCUAUUUCUUCAUUUGGAGACCCUUGGGAAGUGAUUGGUGGUCAUUCCCCACCUCAAAAUGGACUUUGGCACCCUUCAUACAUCACUUUCAAAAUUUGGUACAUUCAAUCUUAAACUACUGGAACCCUUAUCUUAUUACCCAUGGUUCGUUCAUUCCUUUAGGGAUAUUUGAAAAGUGAUUGGAGGUCGUCCCCUACUCCAAAAUAUACUUUGGAACCCUAUGUACAUCCUUAAGAAAAUUUGAUACAUCCAAUCUUUGAGCUAACAGGACACCUGUCUUCCUUCCUACGGUUCAUUUAUCCAUUUGGAUAGCCUUAGGAAGUGAUUGGAGGUUGUUCCCCACUUUAGAACGGACUUUGGCCCCCUUGAUACAUUCUUUACAAAAUUUGGUACACCCUUUAUAGAAUUUGAAACAUCUUUCAUAAAAUUUGGUAUAUUCUUAAAAAAAUUUGAUACAUCUAAUCUUUGAGCUACUGGAACCCCUAUCUUAUUACCCAUGCUACGUUUAUUCCUUAGGGAUCUUUGGAAAGUGAUUGGAGGUCUUUCCCUACUCCGAAACAUACUUUGGAACCCUAGGUACAUCCUUGAGAAAAUUUGAUACAUUCAAUCCUUGAGCCCACAAGACACCUAUCUCCAUUUCCAUGGUCUAUUUCUUCAUUUGAAGACCCUCAGGAAGUGAUUGGAGGCCAUUCACCACCUCGGAACGGACUUUGGAACCCUUCAUAUAUAUUUUUCAAAAUUUGGUAUAUCCUUCACAAAAUUUGAUACAUCCUUAAAAAAAUUUGGUACAUACAAUCCUUGAGCUAUCGAGACCCUUAUCUUAUUACCCAUGAUCCGUUCAUUCCUUUAGGGAUCUUUGGAAAAUGAUUGGAGGUCGUCCUCUACUCCAAAAUACUCCAAAAUAGACUUUGGAACCCGAGAUACAUCCUUAAGAAAAUUUGAUACAUCCAAUCUUUGAGCUAAUGAGAUACCUAUCUUCCUUCCUUCUCAUGGUCCAUUUAUCCAUUUGGAUAGACUAAGAAAAUGAUUGGAGGUCAUUCCCCAUUUCAAAACGGACUUUGGCCUUUUUGGUACAUCAUUUAUAAAAUUUGGUACAUCCUUAAAAAAAUUUGAUACAACCGAUCUUUGAGCUAUCGAGACCCCUAUCUUAUUUCUCAUGCUCCGUUUAUUCCUUUAGGGAUCUUUGAAAAGUGAUUGAAGGUUGUUUCCUACUCCGAAAUGGACUUUGGAACCCUAUGUACAUCCUUAAGAAAUUUAAUACAUCCAAUCCUUGAGUUAACGAGACACCUAUCUCCCUUUUCAUGGUCCAUUUCUUCAUUUGAAGACCCUCAAGAAGUGUGAUUAGAGGUCAUUCCCUACUUCAGAAUGGACUUUGGCACUUUUGAUACAUCCUUUACAAAAUUUGGUACAUUCAUAAAAAAAUUUAGUACAUCUAAUCCUUGAGCUACUAAGACUCUUAUCUUAUUACCCAUGGAUCAUUUAUUUCUUUAGGGAUCUUUGGAAAGUAAUUGGAUAUCGUUCCUUACUCUGAAACAAAUUUUAGAACCCUACGUACAUUUUUAAAAAAAUUUGGUACAUCCAAUCAUUGAGCUAACGAGACACAUAUUUUUUCCCAUCGUGCAUUUAUUCAUUUGGACAACCUUAGGAAGUGAUUGGAGGUCGCUUCCCACUUUAAAACGAACUUUGACCCCCUUGGCACAUCCUGUACAAAAUUUGGUACAUUCUUUAUAAAAUUUGGUACAUCCUUUUGUAGACUCUCAAUUUUGUCCAUUGACACUUGCAUGUAUCUUGGGGGUGUCGCCCGCACCCGACCUUUGUAUGUCACGACCAUGGGGCCCUUGUUGGGCUUAAUCGGUUUUCAGACCUCACUUGAGUUCACCUAUUGUUCAAUUUAGUGCAAGCGAUUGGUUCAUUAUGAAAUGAUAUCAUGGUCAAUUCUUUGGUUUGUAUCAUACUACAGGUUAAAGGUUAAGGUCUCCACACAAACUUCAGUUCAAUUGGAGCUUGUUGAAGCCUGUCCAAAUCUUGAGCACUCUGGCUUGUUUUAGUCAUUUCUCCCUCAUCCGAGCUUGGAAUUGCGCACCAUUUUUUUUUUGUUGGAUUCCCUAUUCUUCGACAAACAUUUAUCAAAAUUUGAGAAUUUUUCUCAACUGGAAUGACCGGUUUGUUUUGGCAUUCUUGGCACCUUAGGCCCAUUUAGAUACACCUGACCCGGUAGGUACACUCCUAGGACACUUAUACACAUGUCCUUAAUUUAAUUCCCACCUAAUUCACCUUGGCACUUGCCACUUAGGUCACCUAGGUAAUUUAGAUGUUUUUUUGGGCUUAAUUCCCUAAAACUAAUUUUUUAAUUGAUUUAUUUUUUAGAUUAGGAGAGUAUUUAACGAGAUUUUUUUUGUUUGGAUUGCUUGAGAUGAAUUUUCAAUAUUAAUUGUGUCAAUUUGAUAUUUUGCUUUUUUUAUUUUUUUUAUUUGUGUAUUAGUUUAAUAUUUAGAUUAUUGUUACGUGCAUGUGAUAUUUAUUUCUUUUUCCUGCUUUAUUUAUUUAUUCAUUUACGUAUUUAUUUUCAGAAAAAUGUAGGUGAUUAGGAAUCUUGCAUUAUUAUUAGUUAUUAUUAUUAUUAUUAUUAUUAUUACUAUGUACUUACUGUAUGUUUGGUUUUUAUUAUUACACUUUUCUUAUUUUAUUUUUCAUUUUUUUAUAUAGGUUUGUUUACCUUUAUUUUAUUUUUAUUCUUUUAGUUUAUUAAAAAAAAGAAAAAAAAAUGGGGAACCAGUGGACAGCAUGGGAGGAGGGAGAGAGAGAGAGGUUGGAUUUUUUGCUGAAAAUUAAAAGGCUUUGAUGGGAAAAAAAAAGGGUAGAUUACAAGAAAUGGAAAAAGGGGAGCUGGGUGAGAAUCUUAUUAGAGAAUAAAAGGGAAAUCAAAAGGAAAAAUUUGAGAGGGAGGUUACCAAUGAGCUGCAUGGAGAAGAGACAUGGGCCAUUUUCAAGAGGGAAUGAAGAGGUUUUCAAGAGAGUGAAAUAAAAAUGAGGCUUAGGAGAUAAGAAAAGGGAGUUUGAGAAGAGAAGUUAGGAAGGUUUUGAAGAGGAACAGAUUCGGGGAGGUGAAGAAAAGAGAAAGAGAACAAAGAACAAAGAGAGAAAAGAACGUUUCAGAGAGUAAGAGAGGAGAUUGGAAAUAAAAAGAAAAAAAAUAGAGAAGAUGGGAGAAUUUUAGUUAGUUCUUGGGACUUGGAGAAAGAGAACUUACCGGUCUUUGAAGAAUGAAAUAGGUGUUCUCAGGUAUGAUCACUGUAACUCUUACAUUCAUUUCCGUUUAUGAAUUCUAUUGAUUAUAGACUGAUGUUGGAUUUGGAAUUGUUUUAUUUUAUAUCAUGCUCUUGGGAUUUCAGUUGAGAAUUGAUGUCCACUUUUAUAUUGAAAAUGGUUCGUUUAUCUGUUUUCUCUUGCGAUCAUGCUCUAUUUUAGGAUUUUUUUUUUUUUUUUUCGUUUCUAUUGAAUAUACGAUCCUUUUGUGGUUUUGUUGGGAUCCUUGCCCAGGUUGAGUCACUACCCGACGUCUGUCAGUUCAAUAGCUUUUCCAAGUAUUUAACCUACUGUUGGAUCAAGCUGGGUGUAUGGGUUAACACUGAGGGUCUCCAAAAAGCCCGCGGCCUGCUUUAGGCCUGGCCUGGCCCAAGCCCGCUCUGCCCGAGCCCGUUUCUGGGCGGGCCGACCCGGCCCGUAGGCCCGCCUCUUUAAAAAAAAACUACAAAAAUAAAAAGUAUUAAAAAAAAUAUUCAUUUCAAAAUUUUAUUCAUUGAAUGUAUAAUUACAUUUGAAAAUGUGGGAAAAGUUUACAUCACUACAAAAUAAAUACAUUCCAACUAGGUUGGCACCUAUUUAUUUGUCAAUCAUCUGUAUUUUUCAACCACAAAAAAUAAAAAUAAAAAUAUAAUAUACAUUUAGUCAUUAUUUUCUGGCGGUGAUGGCGAACUAUCAUGCAUCCAUGAAGAUCUUGAUAAUUUUAAAGAUUCCAAAUCGGCAAGCAUCUCUGUUUCUCGAAUGGAAUCGUACAUCCUUUUAUUUGCUAUUUCCCAAUCUUUCACACAUAUCCCUACUUCAAUAACAUCUAGCGCUAAGUUGCAUCGUUUUUUACUAACUACUCUUCCACAUGCACUAAAAGCAGCUUCUGAUGCAACUGUACUCACAGGAACUGUUAGUACAUCACGAGCAAUUAUAGAAAGCACAGGAUAUUUGUAUUGAUGUGAUUUCCACCAUAUUAAAAUAUCAAAAUCUUCUUGAUUUUCAAAUGAAAUUAUAUCAGUAUUAAGAUAUUUAUCUAAAUCAGAUGUAUUAUUUGGAGAACUAUUUGUUGUCUUUUUUUGACUUUUCAACAUUUCUAGAGCUCCUUUAUAAAAAGAUGAGGAGUUUGUAGAUGUAAGUGGUAAUUUAAUAGUUUUAAUAUCAUUACCAUAUUUUUCUUUAUAAUAGUUAUAUAAAUUAUAUAAUAAUGAAUUUAUUUUAUUUUUAAUUUCUUCAAUUUUUAUUUGGUCAUUAAAAUAAAUAAUUGUUAACCAUUCAUCUAAAGCUUCAAAUUUCAAUCUAGGGUCCACAAUUAAAGCAAUAUAAAAAAUUAAAGGUAUUUCUCCCCAAUAUUUUCUAAAUUUUUCUAUCAUUGCAAAUAUUGUAUCAUUAAAUAUUUCAAAACUUAAAUAUUUUUUAAGUACAAUAAAAAUAUUAGUAAUUUGCAUAAUAACUCGAUUUGAAGUUGGAUAAUAUACACCACAAAAAAUGUUUGUUGAAGUAUCAAAAAUUUCAAAAAGAUCUCUUAAAAGAUCCACAAUAUGCCAAUCAUAAUCAUUUAAUGCAUAAAUAUCUGCUUCACAAUCAUUGUUAAUUAAUUGUAUUUCAUAUAAUUCGACUCCUUUUCUAUAUUUUGUAAUAUUUUGUAAAAGUUUAUAUGUGGAAUUCCAUCUAAUGGCCAUAUCCAAAUUUAUAUUUUUUCUUUUCAUAUUUAACAUUUUGCAACAAUAAAAAAAUAAAUCAUGUUUUGCUUGAGAACUAUUAAUACUAUAUGCAAUGCCUCUAAUUUUUUCUAAUGUACUAUCAACAUUUUUUAAUCCAUCCUUUACAAUUAAAUUUAAAAUAUGUGCACAACAACGCACAUGAAAUAUUUUAGCAUGAUCUUCUUUUACUUGCCAAUAUUGUUUUAGUCUAUGUAUUGCUGCAUCAUUAUUAGCAACAUUAUCUAAUGUUAUUAUCAAUAUUUUAUCACGAAUGCCUAAAUCUAUAAUUUCAUCAUUUAUUAAAGAUGCUAUAUUUUUACCACUAUGUAGAGCAUUUAUUAAUUUAAAUGAAAUUAUUCUUUUAUUUAAUUUCCAUUCAUUAUCAAUGUAGUGAGCAGUUAUACAUAAAAAACCAGUGUGAAUUAAAGAUGUCCAAAUAUCAGAUGUUAAACAAAUAUUUCCUUCAAAAUUUGCAAAAAAAAUUUUUAAAAUUUCUUUUUGUGUAUAAAUUUUUUUUUCAUAAUAUCUAUUUUAACUGUAUUUCCAGACCAACCUUUAAAUUGAGGAUUAAUACCUCGUUGAAUUGUUCCUGCAAAAUCAUGAGUUUCCAUCAUGUUGAAAGGUUGUUCUGCUCUUAUUAUAUAAUCAAUCAUUUCUUCACGACAGUUAGAUUCAUCAUAAGAAAAUGUUUUUAAAUUUCCACUUUCAUUUUUACCUUAUUGCAUAUAAUUUUAAUAUCUACAUUAUUUUUAGUUUUACAAUUUUCAUGAUGUCUUUUUAAAUGACUUGUGCCUGCAUUUGAGCCACCAGUAAGAAAUUUAUUACAAAUUUUACAUUUUGCUUUUAUUUCUUUUUUAUUAUUUUAUAAAAUUAUUUCUAUUCUAUCAAAAAAAUUCCAUAUAUUUGAAGUAAUUUUUUUGUUUGAUGAUAUUUUAUCACAUGGACUAGAUGAAGAAGCACUUGUCAUAUUAUAAUUAUUGAUAAAAUAUUAUGCCAAAAAUAAUAAAGUAAUAAAUAUAAAAAAAAUGUAACAAAAAAAUAAGUAGUAGGGGUAAAGUAUGUUACUCAAUUAGAGAACCGAUGCAGAAAUUCCUAGCAAAUUUGAACUUUUGGAGCCACCGAUGCUUGUUUUGCACCACCAAUAAUAUUAUAUAAUUUGAGGGAAAAAUAAAAAAAUUUGAAAUAUUGUAGAAUGUGAGAGAAAUAGAGAGAAUUUGAUGAAAAAAAUGAAAAGGAAGAAAAUGUAUUUAUAGGAAGGUUAAAAAAAAAUUCAAAAUUCAAAAUAAUUGGUCAUGUGACUGUUGGAGGCUUAGCUCCAACGGUCACAUGGGCUGGAGCUAGGCUCCAACGAUCACAUGACCGUUGGAGCCUUUAAUUUUUUUUUAAAAAAAUAAUAUACUUUAUUUUUAUAUAUAUAUAUAUAUAACUAACUCAAUUAAUAAACAUAAAAAGAAUGUAGUUUAGUUGGUUAGAAGCUUAAAGUUUAAACAUGAGGAGAGGGGUUCGAAUCCCUCACUCUCCCUUCCCUUGGCUUUUUUGAAAGCUAUUUUGGCUUAAUUCAAAAAGCCCGUCGGCCAGUCCGCCAGCCCACGGGCUCAUAGGUCGGGCCCGCGGCCUAGCAUUUUAGCAUGACCCAGCCAGAGCUGGGCCGCGGGCCUCCUAUUUACGGCCCAACCUGGCCCGACCCGCCCGUUGGAGACCCCUGGUUAACACCAUUAUAUCUCUCAGCACCUACCUAUACCGCCAAUUGUGUCCUUAGUGUGAUGGGUCUUUCUUCUUGUCUAAGUGCACCCCAGUGCACUCACUAUGCACAACGUGGAAUGUGCAAGUUUGGGCUCACAUGCAAAUUUGAUCACUUAGAAACACAGAGUUAUUGUCCAUUCGUACCAUCUCUAGCUGAUAUGCCAGUUGCUCUCUGUCCUGUGGAAUCUUCUAUGGGUACACUUACACCCUCAUCUUCAUCUUCAGAUUUGAGGCUAGAAUUUAUCUCAGGAUCUAGCAAGGAAUUUCCUUCAACCAGAAUGUCCUCUCUUACGAGCAAACCUAGCGGUUCAGUUGGAUCAUUUCUUAAAAAAAUAAUGGGCCUGAUCAUUCUAGUAUCCAACAGCCUGGUUUAGUUGCGUUCUGGCUAUUAUAGUUUGUUCCUUUGUCACCACCCGAGACCGUCACUCCACCGGUGGCUGCGGUGGCUCCCAUUGUUGCCAUGGCAUAGGUGGCAUUCCUUCGCCUCAACCAGAGCUCUCUUCUACCACACACCCAGUUCACCUGCAUUCCGGAGCUAUUGCGGCUUGUUCCUUUGACCUGGGUUGCAGCCUCGCCGAUAGCUGUGGUAGCUUUCUUUACCGCCAUGGCAUGGACGAUGCCCCCCUUUGGUCCUCCUUACCGGAACAAUCCUAGGUUUGGGGUAGAUUUUUUCCUAGGACGAAAGUCUCGCCGAUGGUGGCAAUAUGACCAUCUUCCAUGCGUCACAUGCAGGAGCAUGUUUAGUCCAUUUGUUUGGCCCCUCUGUCAAAGUUAAAAAAAAAAAAAAAAAAAACUUAUAAACUCAUUUACUUUAUUCAUUCUUCUUCAUUUUUUAUUCUCAAAUAACAUUUUUACAAUCCUUUUUUUUUUUUUUAAUUUUUUUAUUCAAUCUUUAAAUUUCAAUCUUCAAAUAGAUUUUUUUUUUUUUUUUAAACUGAAUUUUUAAUAUGCAACCUUUAAAUUUCAUAUUUAAAUUCCAAAAGUCAAAAUUCCAAAAUUUCAUUUUUUUAAUACCAUUAUCAAAGUUUAUUUUCCAAAAUUCUCAAAAUUCUAAAAUUCCAAAGUUUCAUUUUAAAUAUUAUCUUCGAAGUUUUAUUUUCAAAAUUCCCAAGUUUCCAAAAUUCAGAAUUUAUUCUUUAACUUUCCAUUUCCAAAAUUCCUGAAUUUCCAAAUUUAAUUCUUUAAGUUUUGGCUACCAAAUUUUCCAAAACUCCACAACUCUUAAAAUUCCAAGGUUUCCAAAAUGCUCAAAAUUCCGGAUUUAAUUUUUUAAAGUUUCCGUUCCCAAAAUUUCCAAAAUUCUCAAAAUUCUGGAUUUUAUUUUUUUUAAGCUUCCAUUUCCAAAAUUCUCAAAAUUCCGGAUUUAAUUUUUUUAAGUUUCCAUUUCCAAAGUUCCCAAAAUUUCAAAAUUCCGGAUUUAAUUUUUUACGUUUCCAUUCCCAAAGUUUCCAAAAUUCCCAAAAUUCUGGAUUUAACUUUUUUAGUUUCCGUUCCCAAAGUUUCCAAAAUUUCGAAAACUCCGGAUUUAAUUCUUUAAGUUUCCAUGUAUGCGACUUUCAUGAAUUUGGUGGCCUUUAAUUGAUCAAAUUCAUUUGAUUUUUUUUUAAUGGAAAAUUAUGGAAUUUGUGGCUAUUAGUGGAUGAAAAUUCAAGCGAAAAGGGUGUUAAAUUGCCAGCUGGAAAUUAAUAGAAUUGGAGUAGCUAAAUGUUAGCCACGUAAUAAAGUUUCACAACUGCACUUUGGUGGCCACCGGGUAGGGACUAGAGGUUACAUAUAUAGGGUUGGCCAUGGCUGAAAAUUUUAGUAGAUUUGGGGAUUGCAAAUGUUGUGUGCUUGUGCUUAUUGAUUUACCAUUUUCCGCAACAUAUGGCUAGGGACCUCAAGUACAUAUCAUUAUUCUGAUUGUUGAUUUCCUAUGAAUGCCGAAUACCAGCUAGAAUUAUAUGAGUCUUGUCAUCUAUGUAGCUCGGGGGGAAUUGACUGAUCUUUGACCCAUAUGCUCCAAUGUAUCCAAUUCACUAGUAGAGACCGGAUCUUGGGCCUAGAAAGGUGCUACCUCGCAUGAGGUACCUUCCUAAUAGGUAACCUGAUCUCCGGACCCAGAAAUCUAGUUUUGUGGAUUGUUUUUUCCUAACUGGAGUCAUUGAGGGGUUUUUGUUCUUACUUAAUUUUCCCCAUUUUAAAAAUAAAAAUAAAAAGUAAGUGGUGACUCCAAACAAAAACCGUUCCUCAUCCGGGAUGAAUUUCCCAAAACUCGAAAACCGUUUUUUUCACACAUUUAUUAUUUUCAAUGGCGAGUUGCACUGGUCGAUGGACCGAGGGAGGGUCCACACCUUCGUAAAUUUUGGUACAUCCUUAAAAAAAAUUGGCACAUCCAAUCCAUGAGCUACCGGGACCUCUAUAUUAUUUUCCAUGGUUCAUUUAUUUCUUUAGGGAUCUUUGGUAAGUCAUUAGAGGUCAUUCUCUACUCCGAAAAGAACUUUGAAACCCUAAGUACAUCCUUGAGAAAAUUUGAUACAUCCAAUCCUUGAGCUAACGGAACCCCUAUCUUCCUUCCCAUAGUCUAUUUAUUCAUUUGAACACUCUCAAGAAGUGAUUGGAGGUCGGUCCCCAUUUCAGAACGGACUUUGGCUCCCUUGGUAUACCAUUUAUAAAAUUUGGUAAAUCAUUUACAAAAUUUGGUACAUCCUUAAAAAAAAAAAUUGGUACAUCCAAUCCUUAAGCUAUCAUGACCCUUAUCUUAUUACCCAUGGUCCGUUUAUUCUUGUAGGGAUCUUUGGGAAGUAAUUAGAUGUACCAAAUUUUCUUAAGAAUGUACCUAGGGUUCCAAAGCUCAUUUCAGAAUAGAGAAUGACCUCCAAUCACAUCCCAAAUAUCACUAAAGAAAUAAACGAACCACGGGUAAUAAGAUAAGGGUCUUAGUAGAUCAAGGAUUGGAUGUACCAAAUUUUUUUAAGGAUUUACAAAAUUUAUUAAAUUAUGUACCAAAUUUUGUAAAAGAUGUACCAAGGAGGCCAAAGUCCGUUAUGAAGUAAGGAAUGACCUCUAAUCACUUCCUAAGGUUGUCCAAAGGAAUAAAUGGACGAUAGGAAGGAAGAUAGAUGUCCCGUUAGCUCAAGGAUUGGAUAUAUCAAAUUUUCUUAAGGAUAUACCUAAAGUUCCAAAGUCUAUUUCGGAGUAGAGAACGACCUCCAAUCAAUUUUCAAAGAUCCCUAAAGGAAUGAACUAACCAUGGGUAAUAAGCUAGGGGCCUUGGUGCCUUAAGGAUUGGAUAUACCAAUUUUUUUUAAGGAUAUACCAAAUUUUGUGAAGGAUGUACUAAAUUUUGUAAAGAAUGUACCAAAUUUUGUAAAGUAUAUACCAAGGUUGCCAAAGUCCUUUCUAAGGUGGGGAACGACCUCCGAUCACUUCCCAAGGAUCUCCAAAAGAAGAAAUGGAUUAUAGGAAUGGACACAGGUGUCCAAUUAGCGCAAUGAUUGGAUGUAUCAAAAUUUUUAAAGGAUGUACCUAGGGUUUUAAAGUCCAUUUCGAAGUAGGAAACAACCUUCAAUCAAUUUUCAAAGAUCCCUAAAAAAAUAAAUGAACUAUGGGUAAGAAGAUAAAGGUUUUGGUAGCUUAAUAAUUGGAUGUACCAAAUUUUGUAAAGGGUGUACCAAAGGUGCCAAAGUUCGUUCCGAGGUGGGGAACAACCUCCAAUCAUUUUCCGAGGGUCUCCAAAUGCAGAAAUGGACCAUGAGAAGGGAGAUAGGUGUCAUGUUAGCUCAAGGAUUGGAUGUAUCAAAUUUCUCAAGGAUAUACCUAGGGUUCCAAAGUCUAUUUUGGAGUAGGGAAUCACCUCCAAUCAGUUCCCAAAGAUCCCCAAAGGAAUAAAUGAACCAUGGGUAAUAAGAUAGGGGCCCUAGUAGCUCAACAAUUGGAUGUACCAAAUUUAAAAAUGUAUCAAAUUUUUUCAAAGAUGUACCAAAAUUUGUAAAUGAUGUACCAAGGGUGCUAAGCUCCAUUUUGAGGUGGAGAACAACCUCCAUUCACUUCUCGAUGGUCUCCAAAGGAAGAAAUGAACCAUAAGAAGGGAGAUAGGUGUCCAAUUAGCUUAAUGAUUGAAUGUAUCAAAUUUUCUCAAUGAUGUACUUAAGGUUCCAAGGUCCGUUUUAGAGUAGGGAAUGACCUCAAAUCACUUUCCAAAUAUCCAUAAAGGAAUAAACGAACAAUAGGUAAUAAGAUAAGGGUUCUAGUAGUUCAAGGAUUGGAUGUACCAAAUUUUUUUAAGGAUGUACCAAAUUUUGUGAAGAAUGUACCGAAUUUUGUAAAUGAUGUACCAAGGGUGCCAAAGUCCAUUCCGAGGUGGGGAAUAACCUCCAAUCACUUCCCGAGGGUCUCCAAAGGAAGAAAUGGAGCAUGGAAAGAGAGAUAUAUGUCCCGUUAGCUCAAUGAUUGGAUGUAUCAAAUUUUGUUAUGGAUGUGCCUAGGGUUCCAAAGUCCGUUUCAGAGUAGGGAACAACCUUCAAUUAUUUUCCAAAGAUCCCUAAAGGAAUAAACAAACCAUGGGUAAUAAGAUAGGGGUCCCGGUUAGGAAUGGCAAUUUCGCGGGUUUUCCAGGUCACCCGCCCCUAUUGGGAUGGGUAUAGGAACAUGGCAAUUGGGGAUGGGUCGGGUUCAUGUUUUUUUUUAAAAACCCGAAUUGGGUUCGAGGCGGGGUCGGGUGUAGUUAUAAUUUGACCCGCCCCGCCUCGCCCCGAAUAUGAAAUUACAACUUUGCCCCCCACUUAUAAAUAUUAGCUUCCUCUCCUCAUUUCAGAUCUUCUUCUCUCAGUUCUCGUUCCUGUCGACGCUAGGGUUUUUCCUCCCACUUAAUGCAAAAAUCCAUCAGAUAAUCCAUUCGAAAAUCCAUCAGAUAUUUGCCUCUUCGUAUUCACCAUAUUUGUGGCCUACCAUCCUGGGGUUUUGUGGAGCCAUUUGGACAAUUUCUUUAUUGGGUUUCAUCUCAAGGACUACACUAUUUUGGAGGCAUCGAGGGAUUAUAAGAGGUUGGUGUAUGAGUUUUCAAAGAUGGGUUGUUUGAGAAAAAGGGGCAUGGGGUGUUCGUCAUGCUCUGUGCGAUGGCGAUGAUGUUCUCCGCCUAUAUUUAUGGGGUUCUAGGGUGUGACAGCACAUGGGUUCAUAUCGCUAGUGGCGUGUUGAUGGGCCUUUUCUGGAUUCAGAGUGGGUGGAUUGGGCACGAUUCUGGGCACUACCAGUGAUGAUGAAUAGGCGUUUGAAGUUUGAACCGCUUUGUGCAGGUGCUGAGUCGGAAUUGUUUUGCGGAAUUGGAAGAUGCUGCUGAUGGUCCCGGCGGCAUGGGCCAGCACCCGACCCCACCUCGAGAGGUACGGGGAUGGGAUCCCAUUAACCCACCCCGCCUCGGGUAUGGGACGGGGAUGGGAAAUAGAUUUAUAUAAUUGGGACGGGAAUGAGGUAGGGGUGGCCCUGCCCAAACCCGCCCCGUUGCCAAUCCUAGUCCCGGUAGCUCAAGGAUUGAGUGUAACAAUUUUUUUUUCUUUUUUUUUAAGGAUAUACCAAAUUUUAUAAAAAAAAAAUGUACCAAAUUUUGUAAAUGAUGUACCAAGGAGGUCAAAGUUCGUUUCGAAGUAGGGAAUGACCUCUAAUCACUUUCCAUGGUUGUCCAAAUGAAUAAAUGGACCAUGGGAAGGAAGAUAUUUGUUAUAUUAACUAUUUGUUAUAUAUUAUCAUUUUAAGUUUAAUAUGUCCAAAAAAAAAAUUAAAAUCAAUAAAUAUGGAGAAAUUAGAGAGUAAAAAAAAAAUUAAAAUUAAAGAAGUUUUAUGAGAAAUUACAUGAGCAUAUUAAAAAAAUAUAUAAAGGAAAAAGAGAAAAAUAGUAAUAAAAACUAUAAUAUGUGACUAUGGAUUACAGUGGACAAAGAGGCAAAAAAAAAAACAUUGUGAUUAUAAUAAAUGAUAAGUAAGAGAUAUUGAUGUGAGAGAAAUAAUAAAAACAAAUGAUGUAUAUACUUGAUAUUAAAUUGGUAUAUAUUUUGUAUUUUUUAAUCUUUGAGGAUAAUUGUGAAAUGAAUUUGAAAUCACUAUUGAAACGCAUGGUAAUAUUUUUUAUUUAUUUUACAUUAAAAUUAAAAAGCAAAAAGUAAAAUUCAAUGAUCUCAUAGUUUUUUAGUUAAUAUACGGUUGCAUGAUUUAGGAUUAUGCUACGUGGAUAUAAAUAUAAUCCAUGUCAUCAAUGCCGCCGGACCGGCUUCAAUGGUACUAUCGAAAAGUGCGGUUCAGUACAGUAGUGGGACCCAUGGACCCUGAAAAUAACACAUAUAUUAUGCGAUGUGAUACAAUUUUAUGGGUUUGAGAGGAAGGUGAAAAAAUGCCACGUGGGCAAAACAUUGCUACUUGGAAUGAGAAUAGCGAGCCGGGCCACGUGAGAUUUGGCGGUGUUGUCAGGACCAGACCUGAUGAGAUUAUUUCGGGAUGUCCACCGUGGGAUGUGUUGUUGUGGGGAAUUGUGUAAGGAUCCAACGGCAGAGGCAUUAGGCAGAGGUACUGCUUUGUUGUGCAGCCAUAGAUCGACACGUUUCACUGAACCAGCUGUUCACCAACACUCUCACUUCCUAUUGGCUGGACGGGAUGCCUUUAGACCCUUUCACAAGGGCAAAGGGCGGUGCACCAAUACUGGCUCUCCCAAAAUUACCUUAAUACCCUCUAGUGGGGCCCACUCAUCCACUCACACCUACUCCCCGGUACCCAAUUUCAAAGCAACUUCUGGUGGCACGACCCUCUAAUUAUUUACUUAUUUUAAUGUUUAAUUAAAAAAAAUUAAUUAAUUUAAAUUUAAAAAUGACUGGUGAAAAGAAUUUUUAAAAAUAAAGUAACCUUAAAUUAAUUAUUUUAAAUUUUAUAAAUAAAUAUAAAUUAUUAAAAUGGGGGUUUUAGUUUAUUUUUUGGGGUGGGAGAUUAAAAGUUGUAAAAAUGCAUGGAGUAGGGGUGUUAGGAUGGCAACAGGUGGAGAGACAAGGAGGCGAGUAACUAGUGUAGUGUAGACGAGGGAUUCGACCAAUGAUGAUAGCAAGAUAGAUAUUUAGAGGAUCAAAAAUAUCUGGCUAAGUCGUCCACGUUGGCACCUGGACAGGACCGAUCUGGAAUCAGAUAUUGCACUUUUUCUCUUCUUUUCCUCUCUAAAGGGAAAUUGAAAAUUAUUUUCCUUUUCUUUUUCUCCUUUUCCAAACAGCCUUCGAAUCUUACGAAAUAUCUAAAACAAAAGCCUCCUCCACAUUCAACCCUCCUAACAAUCUCCGUGAUGCAAAACCUAAUUCCCUAAUUCGGAUCAUAAUAUAUCUGUGUUCAUGAUUGACCUGGGAAAGCCCUAGCUCAGUUCAACCAAUUCGAUGGGCGAAGAAGUGAGGAUGAGUGAUAUUAACGGAGGUGAUGGCGGCGAUGACGAGCGAGUGCUCGAGUGGGAGGCGGGGCUGCCCGCUGCCGAUGAUCUGACUCCCCUAUCUCAGCCGUUGAUCCCUCCGGAGCUGGCGUCGGCGUUCAGCAUAACGCCGGAGCCGUGCCGUACGCUGCUGGAGGUGAAUCGUGCGUCGCAGAGUACGUUUUCGACCAUUCGAGGGCAGUCUCAUUCGUUCUCGUCGAACAAUUUCAAGUCUUUCAACGAGGAGCGAAACCGCGAGCCAGCGGUGGUGGAGCCGGAGGAGACCGGGGAUAGGGACGGGUCCGGGUCUGAGUCAAGGAAGGUGAGGAAAGUCGAUUGCGCCGAGGAGGCCGAUUCAGCGAUGAGGACGGAGAAUUCGAACGAUGAUCCCUCUGCUCGGACGCUGAAACGACCCCGUUUGGUUUGGACUCCGCAGCUCCACAAGCGAUUCGUGGAUGUGGUGGGGCAUCUGGGCAUCAAGAACGCGGUUCCGAAGACGAUUAUGCAAUUGAUGAACGUAGAGGGCUUGACUCGGGAGAACGUCGCCAGUCAUCUACAGAAGUAUCGACUUUACCUGAAACGGAUGCAGGGGCUGUCUAACGAGGGUCCAUCUUCGUCCGACCAUCUUUUCGCGUCCACGCCGGUGCCGCAGAGCUUGCACGAGUCUGGCGGAAGUGUGCAUGGGAACGGUCAUGGAAAUGGUCACAUGUCUGUUCCAAUUCCCAUGCCUUAUGGGCAGACGAUGAUGCACAUGCCCGUUCUUGGAGUGUCACAUGGCCAUGGCCAAAUGGGAAUGUCAGGUCCAGGUGGAUAUCAUGGCUACGAGUCUCAUCAUCCUUAUAAUAUGUUGCAGCAGAGAGAUUGGUCAGUUGUGUCGUACCCAAAUGUCGGUCCUAAUGAUCAAUAAGAUGAUACCCGAGGUGGCUUUCUUGAUCUUAUUAAAUUCUGUAUGCUCUGUUGUUAUUCUUUCUGAUGUUGAGUUAUUUGACGGUAAUAAAGAAAUGAUAUUGGUAUACACGGAUUGGAAUUGUGUCUGGGCGUGUCAAACUAGGACUUGCUUAUUCCAGACUGCUAAUUUGUGGCUAGGUUCGAAUGGUGUCCUCUAUGUUGCAUAAUCGUGUUAAAUUUUCCUGUUGUUAAUCUAGAUUAUGGAAGGUGCCAUUGCUUGGUGUGGUGGCAACUUCUUGGGGUUUCAAGUCUGUGAAUGCUGGAUGGUUUUGUAUUUUGGUCUAACACCAAUGUCAUCACCAUCCUCCCCCACAACCUGGAGAUGGUACGCCAUUAAAAUUUGAUAAUGAAACUGACUUUGCAGAAAAGGAAAAUUUUGUUGAGCUAGGAGUUGAGUAUUCUUAACUGUUGCUUUGGUUUGAAGUACAAGAUUUUCCAGGUAGACAGUGGAGGUAGUAAGCAAAUGCUCUUUAUAUGAGCUGAUUAUUUCUUUUGUGAUAGGUGCCUUUGUUUUCUUUCUAAAUAUACUUAACUUUCUUAUGGUUUUAUAAUUCUGGAUGAUUCUGAGUUUGUUUCUAUGGAGUUUUGACCGGUAAUGGAUUAUGAUGGCACAGAAAUGUUAAUGGAAACAAUGCACUGGGUUGAGAGGUGGGUGGCUUAGAGGUUAUUGAUGGAGGCACGCAUUUCAUGUUGCUCGAUUUCAUGUUCCUCUUCCUACAGCAAGUUAUCUAGCUUUAUGGGUUUUGUUGCUUUAUAAGAAAGUGUGUUAUAAAAGAGGACAGAGAUCAAGGAUUGGAUCAAGUAGAUGAUUGAGAUUUCUGUAGCUUCUUGGAUUUGUUUCUACUUUUAACUUAUUAAAUAUCAUUUGCAAGUUGUAUGUGUCAAUCUAGGAUAUGGUUUGAUAUUUACUGUUAUAUUAUGCACAAUAAGCACCUCCAUCAACUUUCUAUUUUGCCUUAUAUAGACUUUCAUUGAUAAGUUUUUACUGUGCUCUUAGUUCUUCUCUUUCUGAACGCUCUUAGUUCUUCUCUUUCUGAACUAAUCCAUGCUCACUCCACUCCUGCUGUUGACCCAAACACAAGGAUACUAUUCAAUUAUCUAUCAUUUCUGUUGCAGAUAGAGUGGCUUUUUAAUGCUUAGUUUUGCAGGUAAUUUCUUCUGCAAAUAUUUUCUUCCAAUCCAGUUUUGUUGAUUCAAUAAAUACAUUCUGAAUCUCUGAUUCAAGAAAAACUGCACACCUGUGUGUAGAAUUAGUCAUAUAUUUAUAUGGAUUAUUUCAUGUUACUUCAUUAAUUAUCCUCUUCAGUUUGGUUUACAAGUCUGUUCUUUUUUCUACUUACUGAAGACUAAGGUUUUAUACUGCAGCCAUAUUUCAUGAUGACAGAUUGAUGCAAUUAUUACCUUCUUUGGAGUGUUGUUUCACUAACUUCUCUCUCUCUCUUGCUUUGUCCCCCUCUUUUUGAGUUAUGGAAACUCUAUAUUUGCCUUGCCUAUUCUUGGUCAAUCAUGCUUUAACUAAUAGGUGUUAGUAUGUUACAUGCCAUUUGAGGACGUGGCAUCGUAUCUCGUGUAAGUUUCUCAUCCACUUUGUUCAUCAUUGCCAUUGUUGUGAAAAUAAUGACUUAUAAUUUCUAAUUAUAGUAUAAGAGAGCCUCUGCAUGUUUAAAACUGAAUGCAUAAUAAGGCUCAUAUAGUGCAAACUUAAGCAAGAAUGAGUUAAUAACGGAAAAUUUUGAAGUUUCUAGUGAUUGAAAAUCCUAUCAAUUACUGAAAUGAUUUGUACAAACUGAUGUCUUUGACCCUUACACAUAGUCAAUUGUAUCCUUCUGUGGUUUCUACUUAAAUGGCUGGAUAAGCAUUUCAGGUUAUAUGUUAUAUCUUUUGUCAUUCAACUUUCAUGGUUGCUUGAUUUGUAUUCUUGGACAUGAUAGAUGCAGAUAGGUUAUAUUUGGAUUAUGUAUGAAUCAGGCCAAAUAUCAAUCUUUCUCUUGGGUGUGUGUGUGUGGGUGUCUGUUCUUAGUUGCAUGAUAGCAGGAGGCUCCUGGUGUAUUAUCUCCAGCCUAGAUGAUGGCAAUCCAUAAAUACAUUCUUAACCUGUUUAUUAACUGAUAAAUGUUAUUCUCUCUCAUGUAUUAAUGGGUGUGUUGAACCUUCCUUUUCAGCAAUAAAGCAAAAGUAAGUUAGCAGGCUUUGCCUGCUGGAUAUUCAAUGCCUUCAUCACCUAUCUUUAUAAAGAUUCUUAUUCUGUUUCAGAAGCUUUGAAGUCAAUUGAUCGUCUGAUUUUUGUAACCUACUUUUCUUAACCCCUUCCAAGUUUCUGAGAUAAUUCCUUGUAAAGAUUUUGGUGUUUUAUCUUGAUAAAGCUCCUUGAUUUGUGGAAGUUAGACAUAUCUACUCUUUUAUGUUCUCUGUUCUUUUUCAGGGAUCUCCAAGGAUAAAAAAUAUUAGCUCUCCUUUAACAAUUACUGCAGGAGCCACAUCCGAGCUGUUGAUGUUAGCUCUGUGUGUGUUCGGCAAUUUUAUCUUUGAAGACUGAUUGCUCACUUAUUGUAACUGUAGCGAUGAUUUUGAGGUGGUUUUUAUGUGUUGUCUCUGUAAUAUUCUUAUUUCUUUCAAUGCUCUUCUAAAGAGCUAAAAUGGAAAAUGGGUUGGGUUAUCUUUGUUUUCUAGUUUGAAAAGUCAUCUAGGUGAUUAGGGUUUGGGGUAAGUGAAAUGAGUAAUGGAUUAUGCAAAACCUUUUCUUCUUCCUAAUAUUUUAGGGUCUGUUUGGAAAGUGUUCUUGGAAAUAGUUUUUUGUUCUUUAAAUAUAAAACAGUUUUCCAACUUCAAAAAUACGUUUGACAAACUGUAGAUUGUUUUUUGAGAAUUUGUUAUGAAAAUAAAGUAGAACAAAUCUGAAGUGUUCUUAGGUUUUUUUUUUUUUUUUUUGUAGAUUGUUCUAAAGAGACAAUUGGAAAUACAAAGAAUAGGUUGGGAAUUUUUGCAUUAUAUAUAAGUACAAAAUGCCUUCAUGGAAAAUGGCUCGAGAAAAUUAUUUUUCAUAUUUGAGUUUCUAAACAAUUUAUUCCUCAAAACAAUUAAGGAUUGCUUUGAAGAAUUGUUCUCAAAAAUUGAUUUUUGAAUGUUGUUUUAGAAAUGUUGCCCUCUUUUCCUAUUUUCUGUUUCGCUCUUUCCAAUAUUCUGUUCCCAUGGUCUCCACUCCUCACAGCUCCUGCAUAUCCCACUGCAUGAUGCUGCCAGAUUUUGAGGAAAGUGACGGUUCAUAAAUUUUAUGUUGGUUGACUUGGCCAAAGCUGUGGAGUUCUGGUACAAAAUUCUACUUGUCGUCUUUUGAUGUAACAAAGGAAAUGACCUUCAGAUUACGUAGAUGUGGCUAUGCUUCCUUUAGUUUGAAUAGUGGGGUAAAAUGUCUCUGCCUUUAUAAUCUAGUCCUAUACCAUGCGAAUAGUGGUGUCAUUUAUUGCAGUUGAUAGGGGAAUUCUGAAUGGAACUGGAUAGGCAUGUUCUCAUGAGUGCUUUGUUUUGCCCAUUGGAUUUUGAAGUCGUGUUUGUUUUAAUGCCUAGGUGCUUCAAGUAAAUCUACAAUGGAUGGCACAUGAUUAUUGAUCCAGUUAGUUGCACGGAAGGAGAGAUUUUUUCCCUUUACUUCUAACUUUGAGAAGCCCUAGGUUUUACUCUUACUCUUAGAAAUUCUACAAAAUUUUCAUUUGUGAUAGGCGUCCUUUUUCUAGUUGGAAAGUAGGAGGGAAAAAUAUUUGGUCUAUUUUGGCUUCCCUCCAACAAUGGAUUUAAGAGUGUUGUGGGAAGGACUAAGAGAAAGAGGCCUGGAUGUUGGGUGAACUAAAAAAGCUCUUAGCCAAGAUGAAGAAAGGAAGCAUUUUGCACCCAAGAAUAGUUUUGUAAGUGUUAGUGGGUCUGAAAAUGACAGGGAAAUAUGACUAUUUGCUAGGCAGAUUAGAUUGUUCGAUAUAAUAAAAAACAAGGAAAGCUGCAGAUUAUGGGAGAAGGACUUUAUAAAUCAGUGGUUAUUUAUCCCCACUUUGGGGUAGGUAGCCACAAUCCUAAUGGGGUUACACACUGAGUGUUGCUGGUGAAUAAUACUUCAAAUGUGCCAACAGUAUUCCACUAUUUUAUUUUGUAGCAUCCAUGAGCAAUGGAUAGGGAUGACCGUACCCUGCAAGUGGCUACUUUUUUAAUUUCUUUUGGGUGGACAAGUUGAUCCUUAUUACAUCCAACAAGGUCUUGGCAACAGGUAAAGUGAUGUUUUGUCCAUUAAUUAAAUAGUGAACUUUUGUUGCUUGUCUAGUAGAGUGAAUUUUAGCACCCUAUUUUGUCAGUUUGUAUGGGGCGUGUUCUAUGCUUUGGGAUAUCUAAAGCAGUAUUUUACAAAUGGUUGCAUCACCUAGCAGAGCUACAAGAAGGUGUACAUGAUGUUCUUAGCUCCUCCUAGGUUUGCCUCUUAACCGACUGAGAAUCACAUCAUCACAGCUAAAUGUAAAUUCUUUAGCAUGUGUCUCCCAUCCUAUCAGGAAUGUAUUAAAAUAGAUUUAGGAUUUGCCAAGAUUGAAAGAUAAGCUUUUAGGACCUGAAUUGUAUAUUGCUGAAGAAGAAGAAGAAAUUUUGUUCCUGAAACUAGAUGGGACACAGUAAGAUGAGACAGUGUAAAGUUUUUACUAUCCAGAGUAAGAAACUUGGAAGAGCUAGCAUGGAUUUUACUGGCUAUCUUAAGGACUAGGAACAGCCAACCUUUUUUAAUUUACUAGAGAAUAGCCAGAAAGACUAAAACUUGGAAGAGCUUCUAGUAGAAUCUUUAGAUUUUGAGGCAUGAAAAUUUCAGAUUCUGGUACACAUCUCUGUGCGUUUAUUAGACCCAACCCUCACUCUUUGGGUGAAUGCUGGAUGCAGAACUGCAAUUGCCAUCUUGAAAUGCAAAUUAAUAUUCACAUUCUGCCUGUUUUAGUUAUGGUUGUGGAAACUUCUAGAUCCUUGGUUAUGACUCUUAUGAGAGAUUUAAUAUAAAGCUUAAUCAAAGUUCAAUGGCUGAGGCAAGGGGAACCUCUUCUCUCUAUUUAUUUGUUUUGCUGAUGGAAACUCUCAGUUGUCUUCUAAAAAGAGCUAGGGAAGGGGUUUCAUCCCGGGUGUCAUUGUUUGCCAAUGAUACUUGUAUCUUUUGAGGGACAUGCAAAGAUGAAAUGUUCUAUCUCAAUUGGACUUUAAUGUGGUUUGAAGCAAUUUUUAGCUGAAAAUUAAGUUAGAAAGAGUGAGUUAAUUUCAAUUGGGGCUGUUACUAAUGUGGAGGAGCUGGUGGUUGUCUUGGGGUGUAGAGUAGCUAGUGGAGCUUCCUUCCAAGAAUGUGGGUCUGCCUUUAGGAGCUCCCUACAAAUUGUUGGUCAUUUAGAAUGUGGUGGAAGAUUUAGAGAAGGUUUGCAAUGUGGAGCAACAAGGGCGGGGGGGUGGGUGGGGGGUUUAUUCUGGGUUGGCUCUUGGUGAAAUUCUUGACCGAUUGUUUGUGUAAAAGAGAGGAGGGUUGGGUAUUCAUAAUCUAACUGUUCCCAAAAGACGGAAUUGGAGGUUUGUGUCAGAAAGGAACCUCUAUGGAAGUAGGGUAUUAUUGAUAAAUUUGGAGAAGAAGGGGAUGGUGUUCUUUAGAGGUGAGGGGAUGGAUUUGGGGUAGAGUAAUGGAAUGCAAUUAUAGGAGGGUGGGGAGUUUUUGAGAGUAAAAUCAGUUUUAGUGCGGACAAUGGAAGGGAAUGAAAUUUUGAAAGGGUAUAUGUUGUGGUGAUCAUCUUUUUUAACCUUCUUUAUAUGCUCUAGCUACUUCAAAGGAUACUUGGGCAGUAGAUGUGUGAGAACAUGCUAAUGACGGGGCAUUGGGCUCUCGGGUUUCUUAAGACAGCUCCAUGAUUUGAAGUUGGAUAGUGUUCCAAGUGUUCCUAUUGAGGUUGGAAGGAAGAUCAGUAUAUAGGGGUAAAGGAGAUAGGGUGGUGUAGGUGAUAUUGGAACCUUUUCUUGUGGAUGAUAUUUUUGGGAUCCAUGGGUUCCAAUGAAAGUGGGUGUUUUUCUUUCCUAGGAAGCAGGUUGGAAAAAAUUCUUGACUUUGGAUCGGUUAAAAGGAAGAGAAUGGACUUUGGUGAAUGGAUGUUUUAUGUAUGAAGAUAAGAAACAAUCUGUGGAGCACAUCCUCUUCAUCGUGUUAAGCAAGAAUUUUAUUGUAGUUAGUAUUCUCCUUGUUUAUAGUAUUGAGUGUUGAAUUCUUUAUAUUGAACCUUCUAAUUUGGGCGUUGAUCCCUCGUCGGAAAGAAAUGGAAGAUGGCAUGGGAAAGUAACUCCUCUAUGCUUGUUUUGAACUACUUGGAAGGAAAGAAAUUACAAAUCAGGUGACGACAUGGAACAUGUUGAUCAAGAACUUAAAAACAUCUUUCAUAUAUAAUUUUUUGGAAUGGGUAUGAUAGACUAUGGGGAUUAGUCAGAUUGAAAAGGGGGGGAAAGUGGUUUUUUCUUUCUCCUUUUAUAUUCUUCUCUUUUUUGGCUCUUGCAUUCGUGAGCCAUUUUGACAGAUGGUUUAAAUAUAUUUGGUUACGCCUAAAACCGGAAACAAGGGCCAAAAAUACAUCGUGAUUGCAGUUGAGGGAGGAAUGAAGCAGUUAUUAUUUGAAUCUCCCAAAGUACAGAGAAGAUGGAAGAUGACUGUCGUAACCAAAACAAAACGCCUCGAUAUUAGGCUACUAACAAAUAGUCACCUUACUAAGUGUGCUUAAAACAAAAUAUCUUUGAUAUGUUUUCAUGUUAAAUACUAUGUUAGCAGCAUCAGUACUGCAAUAUCUAAGCUGAAUGUCAGUCUCCCAUUUAUGAGAUUGAUAAAAGCAUCCACAAAAUUUGAAGUUCCCCAACUUUUCCCCUUACCUCAACUUUUACAAAGUUUUUCCGAUUUAAGGAUCUUCCACGAGUGCUGCACAUUGUAUUCAUUCAGAUUCAACCUGAUCUUCUAAACCCAUCUUGCCACUCAAUUGCUCUCAAAUCCAAAUGUUCCCAGCAGAAACAACCUACUACAUCAAAGAAGCUGUCGGAUAGAAAAUAAGUUGGAGUUCAGCACUGGAAGCUUCAAUGUGGUGAGGAGAUAUGAAUGCAUCCAGCAUGAGGCAUGAGGAUGGUCCGCUAGGCGCUUCAUACUUAUUUCUGAUCUGCGCCAAGAAUUCUGGGAAACCCUCAAGCUAUGUUUGUCUCAGACAGCCUCUAUCCAACUGCACCCGGGAAAUUUACCGAACUUUCUUUGCUUCAUCAUCUUCUUCAUCUUUGCUGCAUUCCCCCAACGACCAGCAUCAGCAUAUAAAUUUGAUAACAACAAACUGCUUCCAGGACUCUCAGGUUCAAGCUCAAACAGAUGCUCAGCGGCUACUUCUGCAAGUUCUAUGUUCCCAUGAUUCCUGCAAGCCCCUAAUAAUGCUCCCCACACAAACUUAUCAGGCUCAACAGGCAUUGCCUUGAUCAAAUCAUAAGCCUCAGAAAGCUUUCCCGCUCGGCCAAGAAGAUCCACCAUGCAUGCAUAAUGCUCUAGUCUCGGCUCAAUCCGGUAUUUUUCUUGCAUCUUCCGGAACAGACUUUCUCCAAGUUCGACCAUUCCAGCAUGACUACAAGCAUUGAGGACUGCUGUGAAGGUCAGGUGAUCAAGUUUUGUAUCACUCUCCUCCAUCUGAUUAAAAAGCUCAAUUGCUUCAUUGCAGUAUCCAUGAUUUGCAUAUCCAAAAAUCAAGGAAUUCCAAGUGACUGUGUUCCUCUCCGGCAUCAUAUAAAAUAAGAUCUUUGCUUCUGAUAUAUAACCGCAUUUUGCAUACAUGUCUACAAGAGCACUCCUAACAUACACAUCUUUCUCAACUCCGAUCACCAUGGCAUACCCAUGAAUUUCCUUCCCAUGCCUCAGGUUUGCAACAUUUGUACAAGCAGGCAGCAGACUACUGAUGGUUACCGAACUGGGGCAGAACCCUUGAUCCAGCAUCUCUUUAAAUGCAUCAAAACCCUCAUGGUUGUGGAAGUUCUGCACAAACCCAGAUAUUACUGAAGUCCAAGAUACCACAUCAGGCUCAACCCCAUUGGCAGUCAUCAAACGAAAAACUUCAGAGACCAUUGAUUUGUCCCCCACCUGCGAAAAUCCUGCGAUUAAGGUAUUCCAUGAUACUACAUUGGGCUUAACCCCUGCUUGUUGCAUUUUCUGCACCAAGUUCAGUGCUUCGUGCACAAAUCCAUGUUGGGCAUAGCCUGAAACCAUGGCAUUCAUCACCACCAAAUCUUUGUCAACUAUCCAAUCAAAUACCCGGCACGCCUUUUCAACAUGCCCACAUUUUGAGUACAUAUAAAUCAAUGCACUGAUGAUAUAAGCGUCAGAUUCAAAUGAAUUCUUCAGGAUUACAGUAUGCAUAUUCUCUCCAGUUCGUCGAUCAGAGAGAUGUCCACAGGCUUUGAGAAUGCUGGGAAGAACAAACUGGUUCGGUCUCAGGCCUUCUUUCUGCAUUUCUGAGAAAGCGCUCAAAGCCUCCUCAUAAAAGCCGCGACGAGCGCAGGCCCCAGUCAGGACAAUCCAACGACGAAUAUUCGUGUUGGGAAUUUUAUCGAACAGUUUCCGGGCGUUAGAUAAUUGCCCGCACUCAGUGUAGAAAGACAUGAGCUUGGCGGCAAAAUAGGUCAACCGAGCCAACCCAAUGAUGACCAGAUGAGCAUGCAGUGCUCGGCCACGGUACAACGCUCGAUCACGAGCGUACAUGUCGAUGGCCUUUGCAUAGGUAUCAGAAGAUGAUUGAAAUGUGCGGUGGGUGCUGAUAUUCCGAUAGACCCUAUAGACAUUUGCUCUGUUGAUGAGACUCUGCAUUGCAGCAGCAGCAGCCAAUGGCGUCGGCUCGAUUCAAUUUCAGCUAAGAUAUGAAAUAUAUAAUGUACCCUCCUCAAAUGAUGGGUUCCACUCAGGGAGAUGUCUACAACCAAUCUGAUAAGGGAAUAGCACAAAUGGGAAGAGCAUAUCACCAGUAAUCCCCACAAGAACAGCAGCCCUGCUUGAAGUGGUGAAACCUAUAAUUGUCCUUCAAUACUAUAUAGCGGUCUGUAAUUCUUGAGAUAUACUUCAUAGUUGAAUAGCAAUCCAAGCAGACACGAAGGUUCUUCAAAACACGAAUUGGUUUUCCAGGAGGCAAGCUUAAAAGGCCAAAACAAACUGCAAGCUUUUCGCUGUGAUAUAAGAUCAGUUGCUCCUUUGGCUGUCUUGAUUCCGGGUGAAGGACUGUUGUUGUAGGAGGGGAAUACCCAAUGUCUUGUAUCUGUCUCACUAGCUGCUUCAGCUUCUCAUAUACUUUUGGCAUUUCAGGGUGUGCUUUAUCAUGGGAAAAGAAUUUGUACAUCUUGUUGUUUACUUCAAUCCAGCUACAUCCCGGUUCUUUUGAAAUUUCCUUCUGUUCCAUUAACCUUCUCUGAUUCUCAGCAUCAGCCCAUCUCCCUACUUCAGCAUACAUGUUUGAAAGGGUGACAUAAACGGUUGCAUCAUUUGGUUCUAAGUCUAGUAUCUUCUCAGCCACAUAUUCUGCCAUUUGAAGGUUACUGUUGUAUCGGCAAGCUGCAAGCAAGGGUCUCCAUAUUGAAGCAGUAGGCUUCAUUGUCAAUUUCUUGAUGAAGUCUAGUGCAUUUUCUAGUUGCCCAGCUCUACCCAGUAUGUCAACCAUGCAGCUGCAGUGCGUCUCCUCUGGUUGGAUGCUGUAAUCUUGCACCAUGGAUUUAAAGAACUCUUGGCCCUCUUGAACUAAGCCAGAGUGGCUACAGGCAGAAAGAACUGUGAGGAAAGUUGCACUGGUAGGCUUGUUUCCUUCUUCAAUCAUCUUCCUGAGCAAGAAUAUAGCUUUCCAUGGAUCCCCAUUUUGUGAGUAGGCUUUAAUAAUUGAAUUCCAGGAUACCACAUCUGCAUCUGAGAUCUGAGUGAAAACCUGCACUGCAUUUUCUAAACUGCCACACUGUGUAUAUGCUUCUAUUAAUGAGCUUGCCACAUGCAAGUUCGACUCAACGUUGGAUUUUAUUAGCCGAGAAUGGAUCUGCACAGUAGUUGCAAGUGAUGGAAAAGAAGAACAAGCCUUAAAGAUAUUUGAAUAGGUGAAUUCAUUACAUGCAACAUCUUCUUUAACCAUUCUGCAAAAUGCUUCCAUUGCCUUCUCGAUCUUUUCAUUGAGGACGUACCCUGCUAUUAGAGCAUUCCAUGACACAUUAGAUGCUGCCCUCCCCAUCUGUUUGAACUGGUUCUCUGCUUCAUCCAUUUCCCCAAGUCCUGAAUACAUGUCUAUAAUGGCAGUCCCCACAAAGACACCAGAUGCCAUGCCCUUUUUAAUGACUUGGGUAUGAAACAUACGGCCAUCAAUGAAAUCCUUCACACAACCACAAGAUGCUAGAACAAUUGAAAAAGUGAACUCAUUUGGCUCAAUCCCACUUUCUCUCAUCAUGCUGAACUGCUUCAGUGCCUUCUUGAAGUCACCAUGCUGGUAAAACCCAUUUAUGCUUGCAGUCCAAGAGAUAAUAUUCCUUUGCCCAAGAUUCUCAAACACAAUCUCAGCCUCUUCCAUCAUCCCACACUUGCUAUACAGUGUCAAAAGUGCAUUGCCCACUGCUGUUUCAGAUAAAUACUGCAUCUUCACAACAUGGGCAUGAAGCUGUUUUCCUUCUUGGAUCGCUGAAAUAGUCCCACAAACUGCUAGCAUGGUUGAAUACGUGUAAUGGUUUGGCCGAGUACCCAUAUUCCCAAUUUGCAUGAAGACUUGAAAAGCUUGAACAAAGAAACCAUUCCUUGCAUAAGCAGAAAUCAAGCAAUUACAUGUAGCAGCAUCCAAACUAGUCAUCUUAUCAUAUACUCUCACCGCACUGUCCACUUCUCCGCAUUUGGCAUACAUGUCAAUAAGACUAGUACACACAAACUCAUCACUACCAAGUCCAAUUUUCACCACAAAACAAUGCCAUCUUCUGCCAAGUUCAACACACCCUUCACGGCCACAAAAGCUUAAAGCACUAAACACAUAUUGCCUAUGUGGAAAACCACCACCAAACUCAACAUGGGGAGUCUCAUUUCUUGUGAAAAAACCAGCUUCUUUCACACCCUCUUCAGGAUCAUCCGUACACCCACUGCGAUGGGACUCAGUAAUUGAAACACCUAUCCGUUUGGGAGUUUUUUCAAACAGUAUACAAGCAUUGUUUAAAUCCACCCAUCCUCCGACAACAUUCCCCUUCGACAUACACCCUUUAUAAGGACCUGACGCAGAGAUUAUUGGGUUGAUGUUCUUUUGAAGAUCAACAGCGAUACAGCCAGGAAGUAAAGAACAGGUAGGCCAGCUGCUGCUAUAACACUUCAGUGGUGAAGCCAUGCCACCCACCUGAUCAAACCAGUAGUCUUUUGCGAGAAAAAUGGAACUCUCUUAAUAGGUUGCAAAUUUUGCUUGGAAAAAUUUACCAAAUUUUCUUCUUCCACUGCCCUUUAGAAUUUUUGGGCCGUUGCCGUUUGGCCAUGUAUCACUUUAUGUGGCGAAAAAUUGUAUAAAAAUAUAAUUAUAUUCAAAAAAAAAAUUAUGCCAAAUGAAGUUUGAUUUAAUUUUCUAAUAUUUUUAAAUAUUAUAAUUUUUAUACUAAGAAGUUUUGAGUUUUGAUUUUUUUUAAAAUAAUAAUAAAUUUUAUUUAUUCAUUUGAAAUUUAUUUGCUUAAUAAAAAAAAAUUUAAAAUAAACAUGUAUAAUUUUUUUUAAAAAAAUCAGAUUUAAAAUUUUAUAUUUUAUAAUUAUAAAUUUUUUUCUUUUGUUUUUCAAAAUUAUUGAAAACAACUGAAAAUAAAAAAAAAAAUCGUAUGUUGUUAUGAAUUUUUUAAAAUAAUUUUUUAUUUUUAAAAACAAAAAUUUGUUUUUAAAUUAUAAAACAGAUUGUACCUUUUUGUUUUUUGGUUUUAAAAAUGAUAAAUAAAACUAGGCCUUUUUCCUUUUUCUUUUUUUUUUCUUUUUUUCUAAAAAGCUAUUUUAUUUUAUGGCAUUUUCAAAUAAUUAUUUAAUUAUUUUGUACUUAAUUUUAAUUUAUAAAACACUGCUAACUGUAAAAGACCGUGGAGUUGGGAACCGCAAUAUGCUAUGUAAAAGCACAGCCACUCGUGGGAAGAAGAUGGAGAAGACGGAGAAGAAGAAACCAGAAACGUAAUCCAAACGCCAUGAAAUGAGAUUAUAAAACACCACCUCAUGAACAUGCAUGGAAUCACUCUUCCCUUAGCCCUGCAGCUCCAUUUUUCUCCUCCUCUUUUCUACCUACAAAAUCUACCCAAAUCUUCAUUACCCAUUUCCAGAAUUGCCUCUGCACCCCAUUUCAAUCCUCUCUUUUUCACUCCAAAUCGCAGAAACAAUGGUAAGAAUAAGAGGAGGAAUAGUACUCUUUUGAAGGCGAGUCGCAGAGAGUCUCCGUAUGAGGUGUUGGGGGUUUCUCCUUCUGCUAGUCCUGAUCAGAUCAAGAGGGCUUAUCGGAAACUCGCUUUGAAGUAUCAUCCCGAUGUCAAUAAAGAGGUAUUCUUUUGAUACAAAUUAGAGAAAUUUGAUAUGGGUGUUUCUUGUUUUUAACUUACGGUUCGUUUUCUUGAAUUAUAAUGAAACCAAUUUGGAUCUUCCAGCUUUUCAUGUCUGCAGAAGUGAGUUACAUUUUUGGAUCGUGUGAAAUCCAGUGACGUUUUUUUAACUCUGAUUGAUUCCAUCAACCCUCAAUAGCAGUGAAAAACUUGAGGAAAAUUAAAGGAAAUCAUCUAUAAUUAGGAUGAACUCCAAUUUUGUGUUUGUGGUAUGUGGAGAGGGUUAGAGCUGUGGGUACCCAAAAAUGGGUAAUCUACUAUUUCAUUGGGGACCGGAUAAUAUUGAAAAUACAUGCCUUUCCAUGACCCAGUAUAACCAACUGAAAUUCUCUCAAACAAAUUAAAAGAAACUCAAAUUCGUUGAUUUGCUGCAAUCAUUGCCUAGAUCACAUUUUCUUUUAUAGCUUCCUUAUUUCUCUGGAACAUUCUUCUUUGUUUUCUAGCUUGCCAGGAAUUUGUAGCAUAAUUGAUGGGCAUGUACCUCAUUCACAAGGGUUGUUCUUUAUGUGGCUAAUCUUCAAUCUUUAUGUUCUUUAGGCAGCCACCUGGGGAAAGCAAUCUUGCUUUCCAUAGUGAUUACUUAUAUCCUACUCAAAGUUCCUUCUUUCUUUUUGUUGUGAUUGUGUAAAGCUCAAAGGUUCUACAUGCCUCGGUUCAUGUGGUGUUCCUGACCUAACAGCAUGUUAGUAUGUAGUAUACUAGUAUGUCAAGCAAAGCACCUGUAAUGAAGUUGCAUCCCUAAUGGAGUUCUUAGCACCCAUGCAUGUAAGAACCAUGAGCCCAUCUUUGCAAGAAGGGAAAACAUAUUGAUUUUUCUUUACAGUGAACAUACAUGAGAAAUUUAAUGGAUGAAACAAAAGUUCCAAGUGCAGUUUUAUCAAUUUUCUUAUCAUGUGUUUGAUGCAAAGGCUCGAUGCACUUCACUUUGUAUGCUAUACUUGCUAUAUCUGGGAUCUGUUUAUUCCUUUCCAAGGCCUUCUUCAUAGCUUGUGUGAACAAAUGGUAGAAUGAAAUCAAUAUUGCAUAACCUGAAUCUGUUUCUUCCCUGUUUUCCUUUCUGAAUCUCAGGGCUUUAGUUUUCUGUAAAUGUUUUGAGUAUCUCAAAGUUUUUGGUUUACAGGCAAAUGCACAGGAGAAAUUUAUGAGGAUAAAGCAUGCAUACAAUGCAUUGAUGAACUCUGAAUCUCGGAGGAAAUAUGACUCUGGAAGUCGUGCAUCCAACUAUACCUAUUCUAAUGCCGAAAGAAACCAAAGCAGGGAUACCCAAGAAGAAGAGUUCUAUGGAUUUGGUAAAAACUUUUGCCCCUGAAAUCCAUUUGUUCUUAUAUUCUUAUUGUAUUUAUGCCUUUACAUGUGAUGGGUGUCCAUCUACUUCAAUGCUUACUCCUUUAAAUAGUAUAUUGAUGAUUUUAAGGUAGCUGCCUUUAGACGAGAAUUGCUUCCUGCCAAAUCGACAGAGAGCAUGGGACUGACAUGCUUUUAGUUGUGUAGUUAAAUAAAAACAUCUAUGGCUCAGUGACCAAGUAGAUUCUGCUAACUAUGCUACAAAUCAUUUCCAUUUGGAAUACUGAUAACAGUGCCUGGAAGAACCUGAAAUGUUUGGAUGACCAAAUCAGACCAAUUUAUCACAAAGGAAAAUUCCCAGAUCAAAUCAAUUGACUGGGUAGUUGCGUCCUUCUAUGUUAAAUGCACAUUCAAAUGGUUCAUUGUUAGGCUCUGGUGUCUAUGGCAUUGGUAGCUUUAGUUUUCCCAUUGCUCAUUCAUAUUCCAACUGUGUAUUUAUCCCCAAAUAUGCUGAUGGAGAGAUUCUUUCCUCAUUCUUCAGUGCAUCUUACCCUUGCUUAUGAGUGAGGUAUUUUUGUAUGUUCUUAUACUUAACCCCUUUAUGCUGCAGGUAAUUUUGUGAGGGAUGUUCAAAUGACAGUAGGUAGAUAUGUCCUCCCAUGAUACAAUGCAAGAGCAAUUAAGUUGCAUCAUUUCAAAUCUUUACAGGCGCUGUUUUGUUUUUCUUUUUUUCAUACGGAGAUCACUACCUGCUCUGUUCUAGUGCUUAAGCAUGGCUUUGAUGUUACAGAGGACUUCUUUAGGGAUCUUCAAGAAGAAUUCCGGAACUGGGAAGCCAGUGCUGCUUCACAAGGGAAGCCAAAGAGCCUGUGGGAGGAAUUAGCGGUGAGAUGUUAAUGUCUUUUAUCGUUUCACUUUAUAUGAAACCAAAUAAUUAUGUGCAAGUGUUUUGGUUUGUUUUGAAACUCACAAGGGAAAGGAUUUGAGGAUAAAACCACCUCACUUGUAAAAUCUGCAUUUUAACAGGAAAUUGGUGAAGAGUUUGUGGAAUUUUUAGAGAAAGAGCUCAACAUCACUGACUCGGAAGUUGAAGCAGAGGAAUAUGGAGGGUCUCAGAAGGCAAAUCCAUUUACAAGUUCUGAAACAGGGACGACAGGAGGUGGUGGUCAAAGUAAAGGCGGUCAAGGGAGCAGCAUUGAAGAAAAUAUUGAUGAGAUCGAAGCUACUCUUGCUAAGUUGAAAAAGGAAUUGGGCCUAUAGGAGGAAAUGCAGCUGCAUUAAAUCCUUAGAAGAUAUAAAUCCGAAAGACAAGUUCUUUGUCGUGUUGGAAUGAGUAGAAAAAUGGCUGAUUAGUGGAAAUCCAGCUUACAUAACUAUAGUCCAAUUCUUUGAAGGCCUCAUUCAUCACAGAGAAGAGUUAUGAAUGAAGGUUCUCUCAGCUGUAAGUCAUUGAAGCACAAAAGCAUGAAGUAAUCAUCACUUAAGAUAUGGGCUUAUACAUCUGUUUUCCUCUGUAAACAAAGCUCUCCAUCACCUACGAUUGAAUCCUUGACGAUUUCCAUUGGGGUCUCUGUCCUUUCAAGCAUCAGUCUUUCUGCGAACAAUGUCGACGAAUUCUCUGUGCAGCACUCUGAUGAUCUGUAUUGAAUUAUUCAUCCUUUCCUACCAAUAAAUGGCUUGAGCUUGGUUCCAAACUUUUCGGUUUACCUGGUAUUUUCAUUCCUUUUUGUUGUCACUUGCAAUGAGGCCCGGAUUCAUGCAGGAGCAAGAAUUUCCAGUAACACUCCUCUGCAUUUUCUCCUCUACUUCUGCUACACACUGAGAGCUAUCAAAAUAAUUGGUUCUGGCCCUUCCCGAGGAAUAUGGAUCUCCAUUUUUACUUGAGCUAUCUGCCUGCCGAGAGCUGGGUUUGCCUCCCGUUAGGGGUCCUAGGCAUCAGGAAAAUGUAUGCGUAUUUUUAUGGAUUUAAUCUAUCUCUUCGUUUUGCCUUUCAAGAAAAAGCUUUAUGAGAAAAAUAAGAAUCUAGGGGGGGAAAGAAAUGGAUAAUGCUCACAGGCAGUGUGACUUUUUCAUACCAAAUGAGGUGCAAAUAAUAACAAAGUAAAAUGAAGAAGUUAUAAUUUCCUGACUAACAGAAAGGUUACAGAAAUUUCUAAUUUCCAUCACACAGAAUUUGAGUUUCACUAAUGAAAAUAAAGGCUUUCUUACACAAAAUAUAACAGGUUGGAUCAUCCCGAAUCACAAUCCCCCAUAAAAUCUAGUCCUUACAGAGCCAGAAAAUAAUGUAACACAACAUAUAGAAAAUAUUAUUUCCCUAGAAUUAGAACAAAUAACUAGUUCUAAUUUCUAAGUAACUCAAAAAAACACAAGAUCCAGGAAAACCCCAAGAGUUAUUCCGAUGCCUAAUGGCGUUAAUACACUAAGCAUUAACGUACUAGGCAAAGCAUUGAACCUACAAAUCUUUCAAAAUCUCUCUCCAAACCGGAAAAAUACUGCACCAGUACCAGAGUUAUGAUCAACAGCAUACUCAGCUCGUACAAGACCUAGCUUGGCACCAACACCAUAAGAGGAACCAUAACCCAUUCUCCGGUAGACUUCAGUUGGGUUCCCCUUUACAUCCUUUGAACUUCCUAGAUCAUUUCCGUGUUCUGCAAACGCAUACACGUGUGUAUUUCUUACAGGUAUUCGUAGCUCAGCUGCCACCUGCAUAUGGCAUUGGAAACAGGGUGUCAAAUGUUUAUUCUACAGCAACAAAAUCAUAAGCAUGACCAUCUUGAUGAAAUGUUAGCAUAUUUGCAACAACCCUAGCUUUUGCAAUGUUCAUUGAAUGUGAUGCUCAUCUCCAGUAAGUCCUACCUCAAGGAUAUUUCUAGCAGCACCCAAUUCACCCAUAUUGUAACCUCUCACAGAAUAAGGCCCUCCAAGUGCAAAAGCAUCAUAGCUUGGAAGGUCACCAACACAACCACCAUAGUGGCCAUGAAGCACUAGCACUGGUGGUGGUGGUUUACCAGCACCUUCCUCUACUUGCUUCAACUGGAUAAAUCGGGUCAAUGUAAGCUGGUGGCGAUUGAAAAAUGGGAAGUUGCUCCCUACACCGAGGCCUUGGUCCACCUGCAAUUUAUUUUUAUGUAAAUAAGCACAUUACUGGGGAGAAAUCAUGUUUUGCUGCAUGUGAAGGUCACAUUAAAUGAAAGACACCAUAAGUUCUCUUAUAUGAUGGAGAAAGGAGCUGUUUUUCAAAUUGUCAGUUUAAACAUUGCCACCUCCAUAAAGCUGGGGAUUUCAACAUACAAAUUAUAAAACUGUAUUUUAUCCAUUAAACACAGGAAGAUAGCUCAUGCGCAUCAGAAAACUUAAUAACUAUUUUACUCUAUCUAGUCCCUAUAAGGGGUCAAAAAUGCUCAAUAUGUGAAAGAGAUCUAUAAUAAAAGCACUGUGCAGUGGAAAAUGUGAAGGAAAACAGCAACACUAGGACUUUUUGUGUACACAAAAGCAUGGUGACAUUUGAAAUGCUUUUCCACAAGCUUGUAGUCCUGGAUUGAUAACAAAUACAGCAGCUAUUUACACUGCAGUUAUUCAGUUCCUAAUUCUAGAACUUCUAGCAAAUACAGCACAUCCAAGCUGUACAAUCACCAAAGAAAUGACAUGAAAGGAGAAAAAAUAAAUGAGCAAAUGGAACUCACCUGAAAUACAUUCCUCUCACCAACUAUAGCUCCAUUUACAAACUUGGUGUUAUCCCGAGUGAUAUUUGCCUGUGCAAAUGCCAUUCGGUCAAUGCCAGUGCCACUGAGGGUUGUUGGAGGUCCAUCUGCACUGAUACCUCCACUGGGCAAUACCCUUUGUCCAUUGGGAGAAAUGUGACUACUUUCAUCACGUGUUGUUAUCUCUUCCAUAACGAGUCCAUAAGUGAAUUUGCUCUGGCGAGUGAAGUUCUGCGAGGCAAGCAAUCAAUCAGGAUAGAGAAGUAUAAACCAUUAUAUUAGAAACCAUAUAUUAAAAACUUCUAUAUUACAAACCACAAAGCAUCAUAUAUGAUAACCAAUGUAGUCUACCUCUGUAAUAUUGGCUUUGAUGCCAGCACGGUCAACCCAUAUAGGAGGAACUUCAUCCACUCCAGGCCCACCGGUGAAGACUGGACUUAGUUUUCGGCUGUUGAAGCAGCUUGCACGGAGGGUACGAUUGCGAGCAUUAUAUACACCAUCCAGAUAUGGAUGCACAUACUCGAGCUUAAAAGCAAGGUCAUCCUGAGGAAAACAUUUGCUUGAAUGUUACUAUGAUGCAAAAUUUCAAAAUACCAGAUAUAAAAGGGAAAAGUGUGUUUCCAUACACUCAUUUGAAAAAAACCACAAAAUAGGAACUCAAGUUUAUAAAAUACAAAUUUCAAGCACCUAUCUAAAAAUAAUUAGCAUUUCAUGCACUUUUUUUAUCAAAGGCACUACCUUUGACCAUUCAGGUACCACCUUUGACCAUUUAGAUACUACCUUUUAAUAAUAUAUGUACUACCUUUGACUAUGCAUGAAACUUGAAUUAUUUUUAGAGGGUCCUUAUUUUGUAAUUAAUUUUACACAAGUGUGUGGAAACUCACUUUUUUCUUUUUAAAAAUAUUUAAAUAAGAUAAGAAUAAACCCCAUUUGACUGCUGAGAAAGUUGAGAAAACAGAAAAGAAAAAAAAAUGUUGCAUUUUAUGUUUUAUGUUCUUUGGCUCUCAGCAACCAAACCAAGCAGAGCAUCACAUGGCAAAUUUACCUGGGGAUUGAGGAAGUUGCUAGUAGUUACUGAACCGAGAAUAGAUCUGUUGAGCCCUUUAAUAUUACGAUGCUCAAAACUAACAGUUCCACCGGGCUGGAUUGAUGCCUGAAAAGACAUUUUACAUUACAUUAACUAGCUUUGAAUUUCCUUUUAAGCAAAUAUAAAACUUCUUUAUUUUGUAGGAAUUAACUAGACAUUACCAUCAAAACCCCAAAAUGCAUAAUGUUUGACAAAUAAAUUAGACAUAGAUGAUCGGGCAUAUACAUACCAAUGUGGGACGUCCUCCACGUCCAGGAACAAUACUCCACUCUGAACUCACUUCAGCUGUCUUCUGUUCUAGUUCUUUAAGCUUUAUUUCCACAAUGAUCCCACCCUCAUUCUUCUCAUCAGGCCGUGGGUUAACUUCAAUGUUAGAGAAUAAAGCAAGAGAGUUUAUAUUCCUCAAAGCUUGUUUCCCAGCUUCUAUGUUAAAAACAUGGCCUUGUCGAAGCUGUAUACCAAAAUUUCAAAGGCACAUCAGAUAGAUAAAGAAGUCAACAAUCACUCUUGUAUGAAAUAGAAUUACUUUUUUCAAGAAAAAUAGAAUUAUAAUUUAUAUAAUAUAGUCAUAUAAUAGUUUGAUAUGAUAUAUUGAUAUAAUGAAAGAGUUUCUUAUCAGAUGUUCUAAAAGAAACAUAUACUUAACAAAGCAAAACCCAUCAGCAUUUUGGGAAAUUCACUCUUUCAUCUUAUAAGUAAACAGUAGACAAUAAACAGUCAACCUCCCAUUGAUUUUGAUGAAUAAUCACCCAUUGGAAGUAAAGAAUAUAAGAUAUAAAUUAACAAAGCAAAACCCUCUACCGGCUUGAGCAAUUCAUUCAUUCAGCCCAUAUAUAAACAGCAAAGGAAUCAUCCAAUUCAAAGCUUUUGAUCUUUUCUUUCCUUUUGAUGCCACCUAUUGAAAAUUUGAAACUAACAAUAUAUAACCCAACAGAGUGAAAUCAUUUACCUGUUUGGGCAAUUCUCGCCUUACAACUGGAAAUUGGGUGUUCCCCUCAACCACAUUUCCAAGCUUAUCUUGAAAUUGUAUGACCAAUUGUGUAAUGUCCCCUUCAACCACCUCACAAACAACCUCUCUCGUAUUCAAAUUCCCGAAAUUUACAACCUGGGCACAGGCGUACCCCUCAUCAUGAUACCAUUUCUGGACGCGGUCCCUUAUCUUCUGCAGCAACCUCGCACUCACCUUUCCCUGAUCCCUUAGCAUCUGCAGAAUCUCCCGGUAAACCGGCAUUGGCAACAAGCAGGGCCUAGAUUUGUCAAUUCUCCUCUUGUAAUCUUUUUCUUGAUUCCGGAAAUACUCCAUCUUCUCUUUGUCUGUCAUGUCAGCGUCCAUUUCAAUAGGCUUCGUCUGCGGCAUCAACCCCACAUUGAUGCACCUGAAUUUAUCUGCAGAUUGCCAUGUACUUUCAAGAAACGAUAUCGUCACCCCUACUGUCCCAUCUGGAUUGGUCUUCCCUUCGAGAUCAACCUUCUCAAACAUUCCACAAGUUGCUAGAUUUUCAAGCUCUUUCUGAAGCUGGGCUUUGUUGUAGAUACCUCCCGGCCGGAUGGUGACCAUCUCGAAGAAGGAAUCUUCGGUGCCGACGACGCUCCCGCGACGACGAUCAUAGAAAAGAAUUUCCGAGAUCUUGUACUUCUUAAAUCCACUAAGUUUGUUAAGCUGAACGACAAUGUUGGCCGGUAGGCCAUGAGAGUCCCAUUCCUGAGAUUCCUCGUCCUUCGCAACAGCAGCUGGAGAGAAAAUUCUAGACCAAAACCCACCAUCCCCACCCCCACCACCACCAUCCCCAGUGCCUCCUACACCUCCGCCGCCGGAGAAAUCGCCACUAUCGACAAGGGGAGUGACGGGAGAAAAGCGGAGGAGAAUACCGGCGGCUCCAGCGGAGAAGGCUAGGGCCUGGGCGAGGGAGAAAAAGGGUUUUUUCGGUGUCAAGGAUUCAGGGUUUUGCGAGGAGGAGGAGGAGGAGGAGAGAUCGCAUUUGAUGGUGCUGGCAGGCGUGGAAGAGCCUGCUUUCAAGAUGGGGGUGGAGGAAGCCAAUCUACGGCGGGGGCGAAGAGAUGGGGUAAGAGGGGGAGAGAAAAGCUGACCCUGGGCGCCGAAGGACGCCAUUGCUGGGCAAAAGAGGAGGGAUAAGGCGAAGAGGAUGAUGAAGACUAAGAAGGGUUUGGUGAGAGGUUUAUGAGUGAGAAGUGAUGGCUGAUAACCAAGGCUAGGGUUUUUGGGCUUGGAACUUGUGAGCCCUGGUUCCACCCUCAGAAUUUGGGCGACAUCUGCAAUGUGGGAUUAGACCUAUUGCAUUCGAUAUAUAUUUAUCAAUUGGGCUCCCAAAUUCCCUAUCAAAUACAAUUAUAAAAAAUAAAAAUAAAAAUUGAAUUAUCAACUAUUACAUUAAUUGAUUGGUACUUUUCUUGUUACCCAAGCAAUGGAGCCAAAAAGGAAAAUAACUUUGCAAAAUCAACAGCAGGAAUCCAAUUUUAUUACCAAAAAAAAAGUAUUAUUGUUUUUGGGAGUAUAUAUUUCAAAUGUAAAAAUUAACGGUAAAAAAUAAUAUUUUAAAAUAUUUAGGUAUUUAAGAUAUUGAAUAAAUAAAUAAAGAGACCAAUACUUUGUCCAUGAAAAUAUUUUUUAAAUAUUAAAAUUAUUUUUGUUUUGAAUCAAAGCAAUUUUAAAAUGGAUUAGCAUGUAAGUAAUUAUUUAUGUAGAAACUGGGCCAGGUCCAGUUUCUAACAGUGGUUGUAGCCCUUUACUUUAAAAGCCCAAGCCCAAAACGACGCGUUUUACUUCCCGGGAGGUAGCUACAAAACCAAUUGCAGCGAAAAACAUUUGUGGAAAUGGCGAAAAAUGAGCUUUCGCCUUCCUAGUUAUCUCCUGCGACGCACCCUACCUGAAGUGUGUAAAACAACCUACCAGUUACGUUCCCGCGCUGUAACGACUCAAACCAACCGCCUUGCUCUUUUCCCGGGGAACGAUUUCUUCUCUUGUAACAGCCACAUCGCUUGUGACACCGACGAAAAACAGAGUUCAGUCGAUUUGAAGCUCUUGGCUCAGUUGCAGCAACAUGGGUCUGCACCUACCGCUCACAUUCUCAACAGAAUGGUCUCCUCGUGCGCGAAAUCUGGGUCUGUCUUUGUGGGAAUUCAGCUUCAUUCCACCAUAAUCAAGGUGGGUUUUGAUUCAAAUGUCUAUAUUUGCAGUGCUCUUGUGGAUAUGUAUGGUAAAUGUGGUGCGGUUUCAAGUGCUCAGCGGCUAUUCGAUGAAAUGCCCCAUCGGAACGUGGUCACUUGGAAUUCAUUAAUAUCUGGUUAUUUGCAUGUGGGUUGCCCAGAAAUUGCAAUCGAAUUGUUUUUGGAGAUGGUCAAAGUGGGUAUAGACCCGACUCCUUUCAGUGUUUCGGCUGUUUUAGUGGGUUGUUGGCGAAUGGAAGACACAAAACUUGGGAUUCAGGUGCAUGGUUUGUCUAUGAAGUGUGGGUUUUGCUAUAAUAUUGUUGUUGGAACGUGCUUAAUAGAUUUGUACUCAAAGGGUUGGAAUAUUGAUGCUUCGAGACUAAUGUUUGAUCUCAUGCCAGAAAGAAAUAUUAUUACUUGGACUUCAAUGGUUGCUGGCUAUGCUCAUUGUCAGCAACCUGUUGCUGCGAUGGUUUUAGUUAGAGACAUGCAGCGGUUGGGUAUCAGGUUGAAUUAUGUGACUUAUAAUUGUCUAUUGAGCUCUUUUUCUAGUUCAAAUGAUUUGGAUCAUUGUAAGCAAGUUCACUGUAGGAUAAUUCGUGAGGGUUUGGAGUCUAAUUCAUAUUUGGAAGUUACCCUUGUGACAGUAUAUUCAGAAUGUAGCAGCAGUAGUUUGGAGGACUUUAAUAAGGUCUGCUCAGGUGUUACAAGAUGGGAUCAAAUCUCCUGGAAUGCAGUCAUUGGUGGUUUAUCAAAUUUAGGAAAUGGUGAAGCAGCCCUCAAAUGCUUCUCUAAAAUGAGGCAGGCAGGCAUUGAUAUGGACCUCUUUACAUUUACAAGUGUCUUAAGAGCAAUAGGAAUGAUUUCAACCCUUGAUGAGGGAAAGCAAAUUCAUGCUCUGGUUUUGAAAGCGGGCUAUGGCUCAAAUCUUAAUGUUCAAAAUGGCCUUGUUUCCAUGUAUGCAAGAUGUGGCUCAAUUAAUGAUGCAAAGAGGGUUUUCUCAUUGAUGGACAGACAUGAUGUGAUCUCAUGGAAUUCAUUGCUAUCCGGGUGUGCUUAUCAUGGGUAUGGUAGAGAAGCUGUUGAAUUGUUUGAACAGAUGAGAAGAAGUGGGGUCAAACCAGAUAAUACCACCUUUCUUGUUGUGCUCUCUGCUUGUAGGCAUGUUGGGUUGCUGGACAAGGGUCUUGAGUAUUUUGAUUUGAUGAGAAAUGAUUAUUCACUAGAAUCUCCCACAACAGAGCAUUAUUCUAGUAUGGUUGAUCUUUUUAGUCGAGCUGGAUAUUUAUCAGAAGCGGAAGACUUUAUCAAUACCAUGCCAAUAGAGCCAGGACCCUCCGUCUACAAAGCUCUGUUAAGUGCUUGUCAAGUUCAUGGAAAUGUGGAAAUUGCAGUACGAUGCGCAAAAAAACUUCUCCAGAUGUGCCCCAAUGAUCCUGUGAUUUAUGUGCUGUUGUCAAAUGUACAGGCAACAGUUGGUUAUUGGGAUAAUGUAGCAAGCAUAAGAAAGGUCAUGUGUGAUAGAGGAGUGAGGAAGGAACCUGGUUACAGUUGGAUUUAAGUUAACAAAGAGGAGUGAAACAAGGACAGGAAAGCUUGUCAAUGGAAAAUGAGAGCACCAUAUUUAUAUGGAAGGUAAGCUUGUCAAUGGAAAAUGAGAGCACCAUAUUUAUAUGGAAGGUGUGCCAGGAUUUGAAGAUCAUGCGGUGCUCACCAGAAUGGGAAUUUUGUUUUAGUCAAUGAUGGAGAUUGGAGUGGCUCAAAUGUUCAGAUCUACUCUGUUGAUGUCAUUACAAUUGAAUUAAAACAAAUAAUCUUCAAAACUGAUGUUUCGAUGCUUCUUUGAUGACAGUUACACUGUCACUGUGGCUGAUUGGAAUUAGUUACCAUCAACUAUUGUUGAUAUCAGUGGUCAAUGGUAUUCAGCAUCAAGUGUUUAUAGGGCCAUAGACAGGUUAACCAAGAAACCCAUGAUCUAGUGUGGUGGGUCUGUAUUUAUCGGAUCUCUCAUAGUUGGAGGGUAUGUAUGAGUUUGCACAUAAAAAUCUCAGAUCUUUUCUGCUUCAUAUCAGUAAAAUCUUUUCUUUGUCCGACAAAAAUUAGAUUGUCUUAGGGUUGAGAGAGUAUGAAGUGUUGUAUUCUGUGCCAGUCUUAUGUACCAUGAAACAGGUUCAAAUGAAGACAACUUUAUGCCAAAUGCAUUCUUUUGUAGAGCUGGAUUAAUACAUCCCUUGAAAUGCAUGGGAAUGAUUAAUGUCUCGAGGUUACAAACAAUACUUGAGAUACUUUUAUGGUGUGAACAAGAGUCCAAGAUGAUUCAUUAAUAUUAUGCAAACAAUGGAUGGAGAGGCGAUGCAUAAUACAGGUUCCUGCAGCAGUUCUUUCAUGAAAUACAGGUUUAGUCAUAUUCAUACCUAGCUUAAAGGUGUGAUUCUUAUGGUUAAGAUGAACUGCAAGGCAGAGGACAACUAGUUGGAUCCAAUAUUAUAUACUCGCCAAGUUAAGCAAGUAAAGAUGAUCAGGUCGGGCACCCAAUCUUAAGUCUCGUGAGUUCCCUCUACUAUUUUUAGUAUGUUAGACUAAACUACACAAGGUCUUUUUUCAUGUGAGCUAGGUCAAUCGGGAUCUCACGAAAAGCCUAACUAUCGCGACCCCAUCAGCACCUGGCACUGGAGGGCAUGGGAAGAGCGGUGACCAAAUAUUGGAUAAAGGGGUUCAGUAGAAGAGUAUUUGAUGUAGGACAACCCUAGGAUGGUUGCCUACACUCAAGGGUAGGUAGGUUAGGGUUUUAUUUUUUAGGGUGCAAGGAGAGGAACAAAGAAUAAAUUUUAUGGUAGAGAAAAUUAUAAGAUAAGAAAUAGAGAGAAAGAAGAAACAAUGAAGAAAAUAUAGAAAACCUUAGAGUCUCACUAAGGACUUCUAGGAGUCUCAAUUAGAAGAAAAUCAAUGGAGUCUCACCAUUGAGAGUUGCAACCUUGCAAUGAAAGAAAAUAUAAUAUUAUUCAUAUCAAUUCAUCUCUUUGAUUUACAUUGAUUAGUUUAUUUAUAAGCUUCUCUAAGAAAACCAAAGUCUACUAGGACUCUAAUAACCUAUCAUCUCAAAUUCUAAUUAUAUUAUAACUCAACUAGCUAAUCCUAAUUAGACUCCAAUAAAUACCAAUCUCAAUUCAAUUCUAAUUAAUAUUAAUCAUACUUAAAGUUUACUUAGGUCUUCUCUUUCUUCCUUGAAUAAACUUUAAAAGGAUUUCCCCCAUCAAUUAUCCUCAGCUUGCAAAAACUCGGUUUCGACGAGUUAGAUGCUUGAUACAAUUCAUAGAGAUCGGGGUUAAGCUUUUGAAAAUCCGUUGUUGUAAUCCAUGUAUUUUCAGAGUAUGGUUUGCCUUGCCAUUUCACCAAAAAAAUUUGGUAUCCACUUUGUCGAGUGGACACAAGUUGAUCAUCAAGAACAUAUUUGAUCUCAGGACAUGGGCUAAGAGUAGGUGGUAAUUGAAGAUCCAACUCUUCACUUACAUCAUUGUGAUGGUCAUGGUAGAUAUACAAAUCUUCCACAUUAAAUAUUGGACUAAAAUGCAAGUCUCAAGGGAGUUCUAACAAAUAAGCAUUCUCAUCCAACCACUUUAGUACUCGAAAUGGACCUAUCUUCUUAGCUUGAAGCUUUUGAUAUGUGCUCGAAUGAAAUCUUUCUGGUCGUAGACGAACCAUCACUAGAUCACCUUCUUGAAAUUGAAUAUAUCUUCGAUGUGCAUUUGCUGCCUCUUUAUAGUUCUCAUUACUGAUUUUGAUUUUUUGUCGUACAUUUUCAUGUAUAUCUAGUUUAUGACAUGCAAAUGCAUCACCAUCUUGGCUGGCGCGGACAGAAGUAGGCAAUGGUAUAAGAUCAACAGGUUGCUUAGGUUUCAACCCAUAUGUCACUUCAAAAGGUGAGUACCCAGUAGUACGAUUAGUAGAGCUGUUGAAAGCAAAUUUAGCUUGUGGUAAGACAUUGUCCCAAUUUCUUAAUUGAUCUCUCACAAUGCAUCUCAAAAUAUUACCAAGGCUGCGAUUGACAACUUUUGUUUGUCCAUUAGUUUGAAGAUGAAAAGAACUUGAAAAUUUUAAUUCAGUACCUAGCUUGGCCCACAAAGUUUUCCAAAAAUAGCUCAUAAACUUGACAUCGCGAUCAGAAACAAUUGAUUGUGGUAAUCCAUGCAAUCGAACUACUUCUUUAAAGAACAAGGCAACAACAUAAGAAACAUCUGAAGCCUUCUUACAUGGAAUAAAAUGUGUCAUUUUGGAAAAUCUGUCAACCACAACAAAUAUAGAAUCAAAGUCCCGUUGUGUCCUUGGUAAUCCAAGUACAAAAUCCAUGCUUAAGUUUUCCCAAGGUUUGGAUGGAAUUGGUAAUGGGUGUAUAUAACCCUGUAUUUUGCUUUGAACAUUUUCCUACUUGAUAUGCUCGACAUUGUUUGAUAACCUUCCAAACAUCCUUCUUUAAACUAGGCCAAAAGAAGCGAUCUUCCACCAAAGCAAUGGUCUUAUCUCGUUCAAAAUGUCCACCCAUUCUGCCUCCAUGAAGUUCUCAUAUGACAUGAUCACGUAGGGAAGUCCUUGGUAAGUAGAAACGAUUUUUAUAAAACAAAUACUCUUCUAAAAUCUAGAAAUCAAUAUAUGUUGUUUUUUAACCACUCAAAAGAGAGGAAUAAACAUCUCCAAAAUCAACAUCAUUGUCAUAGCAAUGCUUUAAUUCUUCAAAUCCAAUUGUAGUGGCUGACAUGUUUACUAAGAGAAAGGCAUUCCUACUAAGGGCAUCAGCUACUUUAUUUUCAAUUCCUGCACAAUGUUUUAAAUUAAAGGUAAACAACUGAAGAAAACUACUCUAUUUUGCAUGUCGAGAGUUAAGCUUCUUUUGAGAAUUAAGAUAUCACAAGACUUCAUGAUCCGAAUACAAAACAAAUUCCUUGUAACUGAGAUAAUAUUGACAAUGCCUAAUUGCUUGCACCACCGCAUAGAAUUCAAGAUCAUAUGUGGAGUAUUUUUUUUUUUGCCCCAUUGAGCUUCUCACUAAAGAAAGCUACAAGAUGUCCCUCUUAGCUAAGAACUGCUCCAAUUCCCAUAUGGGAAGCAUCACAGGCCACCUCAAAUACUUUCUCAAAGUCUGGUAGACAUAGGAUAGGAGGGUUCACCAUCUUGGAUUUGAUUUCUUCAAAUGCCUUGUUGGUCGCCUUGGUCCAAAUAAAUAAACCAAGUUUCAUGCAUUCAAUAAUUGAGGUCAUAAUAGAGCUGAAAUUUCAAAUAAAUCAUCGAUAGAAUGUAGUCAUUCCAUGGAAGCUUCGCACCUCAUGGAUAUUUUUUGGUAUUGGUCAAUCAACAAUAGCUUUAAUAUUCUCCGGAUCUGUUUCAACACCCUUAGAAUACACAACAAAGUCAAGAAAUACAACACUAGGGCUCAUGAAAGUACAUUUUUUCAAAUUAAUGUAAAAAUUUUCAGUCCUAAGAGUGCGUUUUACUUGUUUCAAAUGUUCUUCAUGAUCUUCACAAGAUCGACUAUAGAUAAGAAUAUCAUCAACCAACCGUCCAAUAAAAGGUUUCAAUACCUGCAUCAUAACCCGCAUGAAGGUACUUGGAACAUUGGUUAGUCCAAACGACAUGACUAACCACUCAUACAAUCCAUCCUUGGUUUUGAAAGAUGUCUUCCAUUCAUCCUCUGGUCUAAUACAUAUUUGAUGAUAUCCACUUUUUAGAUCAAUCUUUGAGAAGAUUAAUGAUCCAACCAUCAUAUCUAGCAUGUCAUCAAGUCUUGGAAUUGGAAAUCGAUACUUGAUUGUGAUUUUGUUGAUUGCACGACUAUCCACACACAUCCGCCAUGAUCCAUCCUUAUUUGGUGUUAGUAGGGCAAGAACUCCACAAGGACUUAGGCUUUCACGAAUAAAACCUUUAGUAAGUAAUUCAUCAACUUGUCUUUUCAAUUCAACAUGCUCUAUUGGAUUCAUUCGGUAAGCUGGUAAAUUUGGUAAUGAUGCACCGGGAAUCAAAUCAAUGGCAUGUUGUACGUCACGCAGAGGAGAGAGUUGAUUAGGUAACUCUGCAAGCCACAAGUCAGAAAAGUCAUCAAGGAUUUUACGUACGUUUGUUGGAUAUUUCUUAUCUUGUUCUUUAAAUUCUUCCACUUUCCAAGCCAUUAAAGUACAAAUAACUUUAGUUUCUUUGCUCUCAUUUUCAAAUACAUAGUAAGUACCUUUUUUGGUUGUGCCUCAUCCUCUGACUUCUUAAUUGGAGAGACUUCUUUCAUUGGACGAAGGAUCUUUUUAUGUCUAUUGUGUAUGAGAGCAUAUGUAUUUUCAUAGUCGUCAUGUUGAACUCUUCUAUCAAAGAGCCAAGGUCUUCCAAGUAAAAUAUGAUUUACUUUAAUGGGUAAGACCUCACACCAUACAGACUCUUUAAAGUCCUUACCGCAAAGGAAUGUUACUAAGCAGCGAAAACUUAUCGGGAUAGAGGUGUCAUUAACCCAUGCUACUCAAAAUGGAUUUGGAUGUCUAUCUGUUUUAAGGUUUAGCUUCUUAACAAGUUCUUGCGAAGAUAUGUUCAAAUUGCUACCUCCAUCAAUGAUUAUGGUGCAUAAUCUCCCUUGGAAAGAAAUACGUGUCUGGAAAAUGCUAGUACGUCGCCAAUCUUCUUCUCCUUUUACCUCGAGAGAACUAAUAAAGGUCAUACUACAAGACUAUGUCAUUCCGUCAUACCAUCAUAGUAGUCACAUUUUUCACUAACUUCAUCUUCAUUGUAGGUCUCUUCUUCCUUUGGGUAACUUUCCAAUUCAGAUUCUGGUUCUUCAACACAAAAGUGUAAACCUUUGGUUGGGCACACAACAACAUAAUGACCAUGUCCACCACACUUAAAGCAUAAAAGAGUCAUGUCUACUUUUCUAUCUCCAAUACUCAUUGAAGUUUUACCUUUAUUACCAUUCUUAUGAACCCCAUUCGAAGUUUGUUGAGUGUUGCCUCCACCAUUCACAUGAUUAGAAGUUCUCAAGCUUGAUGUGCUUAAAGGUUUGCUUGUUGUCCUAUUAGAGAAAGUGAUCCUAAUUUGUGAACUUGGACACCUAGAAACUCGAAAUUUGAGGCAUUCUUCUAUUUUGACGGCUAGUUGAUAAACAUCAUCAACGGUAUAAGUGUGUGCAACUAUCAUCUCAAGUUGAAUCUCCAUUUGAAGUCCAGCUUUGUAGCGGGCUGCAAGUUAAGCAUCACUUUCCCGCACUUGAUUUCGAAUGCUCAAUUCAUGGAAUUCUUCUGUAUAUUCUUCAACGGACUUGGUACCUUGUUUAAGGGAAAACAAUUUUGUAUACAUAAGUUGUUCAUAAUCAAUUGGGAGAAAGUGUUCCUUCAUCUUCAACUUCAUCUCAUCCCAUGUGUCAAUAGGUGGUUGGCCAGUUCUAUGAACUUGAUUCUCAAUAUUAUGUCACCAUAGACGUGUUGCUCCUUUCAACUUUGCCUUCACAAAACAAACUUUUCUAUUUUAGGCAUUGCAUACCAAUCAAAGUAAUCUUCCAUUGACAUAAUCCAAUCAAGAAAAGCUAUUAGAUUUAGUUUUCCAUAAAAUUCAGCAACUUCAAGACGUACAUUUUUUGUCACAUCAUCAUCUAGCUCAAAAAUUUUAGCUUUUCUUUGACUUCCCAUCAUAAAAUUGUCUUGUUCUUUGCGUGAUCGAUUUGGCGAUUGUUUAAAUUGAUGACUUACAAUCUCCUCUUCAAUUGGUCGUUUUUCUUGACUUUUUUCAAAUAACUUCAUAAUGUCAUCAAGUUGUUAUUUAGUUGUAUUAUAGCAUCUUGAUGGGAUUGUUGUGUGACUAAAAUUUCCUCCAAGCGUAUUGUAGCAGCAUCUUGAUUGCUAGAAGUUUUUUUGGAACUCAUGCUUGCAUAAGUUGCUCUGCUCUUUAAUUGCAUAUGCCUUCAAGCCAAAAACUUUGGCUCUGAUACCAAAAUUGAUGUAGGACAACCCUAGGAUGGUUGCCUACACUCAAGGGUCGGUGGGUUAGGGUUUUAUUUUUUAAGCUGCAAUGAGAGGAACAAAGAAUAAAUUUUAUGGUAAAGAAAAUUAUAAGAUAAGAAAUAGAGAGAAAAAAGAAACAAUAAAGAAAAGAAGGAAAAUUUUAGAGUCUCUCACUAAGGACUUUUAGGAGUCUUACCUAGAAGAAAAUCAAUGGAGUCUCACCAUUGAAUUAAAGUUGCAACCUUGCAAUAAAAGAAAAUAUAAUAUUAUUCAUAUCAAUUCAUCUUUUUGACUUACAUUGAUUAAUAGCUUCUCUAAGAAAUCCAAAGUCUACUAGAACUCUAAUAACUUAUUAUGAUUCUAAUUCUAAUUAUAACAUUCAAAGUCUACUAGAACUUUAAUAACCUAUCAUGACUCAAAUUAUAAUUAUAUUAUAACUCAACUAACUAAUCAUAAUUAGACUACAACAAAUAUCAAUCCUAUUCAAUUCUAUUAAUAUUAAUUCCACUUAAAGUUUACUUAGGUCUUCCUUUUCUUCCUUGAAUAAACUUUAAAAGGCUUCCCCCGUCAAUAUCUCAUGUACAAGCUUGAGCCUGGGGAGAGGAGAGAGCUCUUUCUCAAGUUAUCUACAGGGCAAACAGUUCAAGGAAAACUCCUGGUGAAAUGGGUGUGGUAGAGAAUGUUGAAGAGGCUGUAACUUUGUUGCUUCGGAAUGAAGAGUCCUCCCCAUCAACAGCUGCCCCAACUACAAAAUAAUCAUCAAACAUUCCCAUCUCUACCAAAUUGGCAUCACAAAUUCCCACUACCACCAAUUCAGCAUCUCAGGUUCCCCCUCUCUACCCAGCCUGCAUAAAAAAUUUAUCUGUACCGAUUCAGCAUCACACAUUCUAUCAUGUGCCAGGGGAUUAUUGACAUAUUAGACUGUAAUAACUAUUAAACUGCAGUCCUGGUUCUGCUCUAAGUUCUGUAUUUAUGGCUUAGCUGCCACAGCUGUGACAUAAUCAUUUUGGAUUUUAUUAAAUUCUAACAGUUCCUUCUGCAUUGAAGAAAAUCAUGGAAGGAUACUCCAGAGUCCAGACCAACUGAGGGAGAAACAAGAAAUGGGUUUUCUGUAUUCAGUGUACUAGUUUGAUGUAUCGCUAAAUAGUAAGCCUACCUUUAUUUGUAGGCUCCAUUCAUGAAACAAGCGUGUCACACGUCCAAACCGUGUCACACACCUCUCUCUCGAUUCAUUUUUUGAAAAAAAUCGUCCCUUCAUGUGGACAUCCCUUUCAUGUCCAUAUUUAUUGAACUUGUUUAAAGAUAUUGUAUGUACGAAAACCAUAAACAUUCACGUGGACAUACAGUAGGCAAAAAGUUGUAUAGGGCGUGUUUAACCCUUGGAAUUUUUUAUUGGAUGCAAAGGAUCGAAGAAAAAGUGGCCAACUUUUUAAUUUAGUCUUGGCCUCCAAUACUAACAUAAAUAGAGAAUAUGGCAUUGAUUGCGAAAUGAUAUUUUCUGCCAACUUGAGAGAGAGAGAUUAAAUCAGAGCCUCUGGGCAAUGAUUUGCCAUGUGAAAUCAACUUUUCUGAUUGAAAAUUUGUGGCAAUGUAAACUAGAUUUAGCCAUCUUAAUUGAUGGCAAGUGGUCCAAUAAUGUAAUCUACUCCUCCCAUGUGAAGAUUCAAAACAAAGAAAAUUCCCAAGAAAAGUAGCCUCCAAAGAAAUGGAAAACUGCAGAAACAGAUUUAGCCAUCUUAUUUGAUGGCAACUGGUCCAAUAAUGUAAUCUUGAAAACUUGGUCCUACUCCUACCAUGUGAAGAUUCAAAGCAAAGAAAUGGAAAGCUGCAGAAACAGUGGCCCUUCCAUUACCCAAAAUCCAAACAUGAUUUUCCGCCAACCACAGUUCUGUUUCAAACGAUAGUGGGAACCCACCCAUUUCUGAUGGUAUCAUAUCAUCUAUUAGGUGAAGAACCAUGAGAAAAACAUGGACUAUUCUACAUCAUGCCUUGGAGUUUAUCUAAAGCAUUAGGUGAAUUUUGUACCCAUAUUCUUUCAUUUGAGUUAACAAUUCAAACGUUGCAUGCCUUGAAAUAUCAGGCGUUUCAGAGGAAGGACUAAUCAUAGCGGGAUUUGACUUCUUCCUCUGAAAGCAGUAGCAGCCAUGACAAUUGCUUUGAAACUGAGGCACAAUGACAGUUAAGACUGGUGGAAUUCUAGAAUCAGAUUCAAAAUUCAAAAAACCAUCACUUUCAUUUAAUUUUGGAAGGAAAUUUCCGUAAUUGGAACAGUUUUUUGGGAGUAGUGAAUUUGAUGACUGCUGACCUGAUCCUUAUCCAAACCUAUCGGUUUCUUUCUGAAUUUUGGGUCAAAAUGGUCCAUUUAAAAAAAAAAAAAAAAAUGUAACAUUUAGUCAUUUUUUGAAAGACCCCAUUGGUGUCACAUAGACGCCGUAUCAUAAAAAAAAAAAAAAAAAAAUUAUUAUUUUAGUUAAAACCACAGUUGGUAAAUACGAUUUCAUAUUUGAACUAAAGUCAUAAUUGACAAAUGCAGUUUCAUUUUUGAACUAAAGACUCAGUUGCCAACUGCGGCUUUAGUUAAUUUUUUUUUAAAAUUAAAAAUUAUUAAAUUACAAUUUAUGAUUGAAAUUUAAAAAAUAUACUUAAAUAAUAAAUUAUUUAUAUUUAAAUUUAAAAAUCUAGUAUUACUUCAAUAAAUAUAAAUUGAUAAAUAAAAGAUAUUAUAAAUGAAUAUUUUAUUUGUUAAUAAAUUAAUAAUCUUAAAAUAAUAAACUUAUAUAACAUAUACAUAAUAUAUAAAAUUGUAUAAUUUAUUAAUUUAAAAUAUUUAAUUUGUUGUUUUUUAAUAUAUUAAUUUAUUUAUAUUAUGAUAAAUUUAUCUUUAUCAAAAUAAUAGUAUACUUUUAAGUCGUAGUUGGUAACUGAGAUUUCAAUUAUAAUUUUUUUUUUACUUUCAAAUUUAAUUAAAAACUAUUAAAUUAUAAUUUAUUAUUGAAAUUAAAAAUAUAUACUUUAAUAAUAAAUUAUUUAUAUUUAAACUUAAGAAUUUAGUAUUAGUUCAAUAAACAUAAAUUAAUAAAUAGAAGAUAUUAUAAUUGAAUGUUUUAUUUAUUAAUAAAUUAAUAAUCUUAAAAUAAUAAACUUAUAUAACAUAUAAAUAAUAUAUAAAAUUUUAUAAUUUUUAAUUUAAAAUAUUUAAUUUGUUGUUUUUUAAAAUAUUAAUUUAUUUGUAUUAUGACAAAUUUAUCUUUAUCAAAAUAAUAAUAUACUCUUAAGCCGUAGUUGUCAUAUAUAGAUUUUUUUACAAAAUUAGUUAAUGUAAUUUUUAAUAGUUUAAUUAAAAUCACAAAAAAUAUUCACUAAACAUUAAUAUAGUGGAAAAUAAAAAACAUAUAUAAUCUUACAUUUUUAAAAAAAAAUGGGUCAUUUUGACCCAAAACUGCUGGUUUCUAGUAUUAACUAAUACUUUCCCAAACUAUAAUGAAUGAUAUGCAAAAGGAGAAACUUUAUUUUUAUUGAAAGAUAUGUUCAUUUGGAGAGAUGAUUCGAUGACAGAGAUGGUUUCAUGGAAGCCCAUCAUUUGGGGAGUUUAAAUCCAAAAUAAUCCAUUUAUUGAAAAAAAAAAAUUGGUAAGAAUAAUUCUCAUCUCAAAAUAUUUGUCAAACUAACCUUUUUAUCUACAUAAGCAUCCACAUAGUUUUUUUUUAAGUGUAAAAAACCAUCGUUGGUGACUGGAUUUAAAAGUUUCAGAAAUAUCCUUAAAACCACAGUCAUAUACUGUGGUUUUACAAUUUUUUUUAAAAUCAUAAUUAGUAACUGUGAUUUCAAAAUUAUUUUUAAUUCAUGUCCGUUUUAAUAGUAUUGUGAUUUUAAUAUUAUUUUUAAAAUAUUCUUUAUCAUAAUCACAAUAAAAAAAAAAAAAAAAUUUGUCAUGAUAAUCAUAAAACAACAGUUAGUAACUGUGGUUUUAAAAAUAUCAUAAAAACCACAGUCAUAGACGGUGGUUUUACAAUUUUCUUUAAAACCACAAUUAGAGGGAAACUCAUGUAACCAUAACUAAAAAAAAUAUGAAAUUUUAGAACUUUACUUUUUUAUUUUUUAUUUUAGUAUAAAUUAUGGAUGUACCAAAAUUUCUUAACGAUGUAUCAAAUUUCCUUAAAGUUCGUUUCUUACAAAUUUCCUUACAUAAAUAUUUUAUUUAACAUAAAUAUAUAAAUUUUUAUGGGAAUGCAUGUAGGCCAAAUUAUUUUCUCAAAUUUUCAAGGAAAAUAUAAAAAAAUAAAGAUAUAUAUAUAUAAUUUUAAAACAGUCGUAACGAAAAAUUUUAUUAAGGAUAAUUUGUACAAAAAAAUAAUUUUAAACUGACAAUGGAAAAUUGUAAGAAAUUUUCCCCACUCUGAAACAAACUUUUUUACAAUGAAAAAUUUAAAACAAUUUGUGACUAUAGUUUUAAGAAAAUUGUAAAACCACGUCUGUUACUGUGGUUUUUUUGAUAUUUUUAAAACCACAAUUACUAACUGUGGUUUUAUGGUUAUUAUGACAAAAAAAUAUUUUUUAUGGUUAUUAUGAUAAAGAAUCUUUUAAAAAUAAUAUUAAAAUCAUAAUACUAUUAAAAAUGAUGUGAAUUAAAAAUAAUUUUGAAACAACAGUUAUUAAUUAUGAUUUUAAGAAAAAUUGUAAAACCACAGUAUGUGAUUGUAGUUUUAAGGAUAUUUCUAAAACUUUUAAAAUCACAGUCACUAAUGGUGGUUUUUUACACUUAAAAAAAAAAAUAGAGAGAGAGAGAGAGAGAGAGAGAGAGAGAGAGAGAGAGAGAGAGAGAGAGAGAGAGAGAGAGAGAGAGAGAGAGAGAGAGAGAGAGAGAGAGAGAGAGAGAGAGAGAGAGAGAGAGAGAGAGAGAGAGAUGUUUAGUGGAUAGAAAAUAUUAGUUUGACAAAUAUUUUUAUAUGGGUAUUAUUCUUACCAUUUUUUUGGAAAAAUGGAUUAUUUUGGAAUUAAACUCUCAUUUUGGGACCUUUGAUUAUUCUUCGAUGAACUCGGGAGUCAAAUUUGGAGCAUGUAUCUUCUUCGAAAGGUGGAAGGCAUCAUUAUCCUUUUCAUGGCCCACGUUUGAGAUUGGGUCCCAAUGAAAAGGGGAAGAGAGAUUCCUAAAUUUCAACAUAGAGGUCCUGGACACCUAGCUCAAAAAGCUCUGCAGAGAAGAACCAGUCAUGUGAAUUGAUCCUGUAAAGCCCAUCUGUCUUUGCAAAAAAGAAAUCUUUUGCAACCUCUUUCAAUGGCUACAACAGUUACAUCGCUUCACUUUUUGAUCAUUCUCUUCACAUCUGUCAAACUCUUGGCCUUGGCAGAAGAAGAAGCCCAGUUCAUCCACAAUGGCUUCCAAGGAGCGAGUCUGCAUCUUGGUGGAAUCGCGAAGAUCCACCCAAACGGUCUAUUGCAGCUGACCAACACUUCAAAGCAACAAAUUGGCCGCGCUUUCUUCCCACUUCCUCUGAAGUUCAACACAUCUUCUGGUGAUUCCAGGUCUCUCUCAUUUUCUACCAUUUUUGCAUUUGCAAUAGUUCCUGAAUGGCAGGCUCUUGGUGGCCAUGGUAUUGUCUUCACCAUUGCGCCAUCCAUGGACUUCCCUGGAGCUGUGGCAAGCCAAUAUUUGGGACUCUUCAAUGUUACAAACAACGGUAAUUCUUCCAAUCAUGUGUUUGCAGUUGAGCUAGAUACAAUUUUAAGCCCAGACUUGAAAGACACAGAUGGAAAUCAUGUGGGAGUUGAUGUGAAUAGCCUUGACUCUGAAGUAUCAGCUCCAGUGACCUAUUUUUCCAACAAAGAAGGGAAGAAUAAGAGCUUAGAGCUCAUAAGCGGGAAGGCUAUGCAGGUUUGGAUAGAUUAUGAUGAUGUGCAGAAGCUAAUCAAUGUGACAGUAGCUCCCCUCAAAAGCCCAAAACCAAGCAUGCCUCUAUUGUCAACACCCAUUAAUCUUUCUUCUAUUUUCUUGGAGUCUAUGUAUGUUGGUUUCUCUUCAGCCACUGGUGCAAUGGCAAGUGAUCACUAUAUUCUUGGGUGGAGCUUCAACAGAAGUGGGGAAGCACAAAGCCUUGAAAUUUCAGAGCUUCCUUCCCUACCCCCAAGGAAGAAAGAAAGGAAGACACUAGUUGUAAUUGUUUUGCUGUCACUGACAACAUUAGUAAUUGUUCUGGUUGUGCUCAUGGGAGCCGGUUACAUUAUAAGAAAAUUGAAAUUUGAAGAACUACGGGAAGAGUGGGAAGGGGAAUAUGGUCCUCAAAGAUUCUCCUAUAAGGAUCUCUACAAAGCAACCAAAGGUUUCAAAGACAAAGAGCUUCUUGGAGCAGGGGGUUUUGGGAAGGUUUAUAGAGGAAGACUUCCUUCUUCAAACUUAGAAAUUGCAGUCAAGAAAGUGUCUCAUGAUUCAAAGCAAGGGAUGAGGGAAUUUGUGGCUGAAAUUGCAAGCAUGGGAAGACUUAGGCAUAGGAACUUAGUCCAGCUCCUUGGAUAUUGUCGGCGAAGAGGGGAACUGCUCUUGGUCUAUGAUCAUAUGCCUAAUGGCAGCCUUGACAAGUUCCUAUUUAGCGAUGAAAAUCCGAUCCUUACUUGGCCUCAACGGUACCAUAUCCUCAGAGGAGUAGCAUCUAGUCUUUUAUAUCUGCAUGAAGAGUGGGAACAAGUUGUUCUCCAUAGAGAUGUGAAGGCUAGCAAUGUUCUCCUAGACGCCAAUCUGAAUGGCCGGCUAGGAGACUUUGGGCUUGCUAAAUUAUAUGAUCAUGAUACCAACCCUCAAACUACUCAUGUAGUUGGGACCGUGGGAUAUCUGGCACCAGAGCUUACUAGAACAGGGAAGGCAACUAGUAGCACUGAUGUGUUUGCUUUUGGGGCUUUCAUGCUUGAAACGGCUUGUGGCAGGAGGCCUGUGGAGCUACAAGGAUAUCCUGAAGGGGGGGUUCUGCUUGAUUGGGUUCUUGAAUGCUGGAAAAGAGGAGCUAUUCUUCUGACUAGUGAUCCUAGAUUGGAAGGUCAUUACGUUGCAGAGGAAAUGGAAUUGGUUUUGAAACUAGGCCUGCUUUGUUCAAGCCCUAUACCCGCAGUUCGGCCUAGCAUGAGGCAAGUGAUGCAGUACUUGAAUGGAGAUGCUCCUUUGCCAGAGAUACCACGUAACUUUUCCAGUAUGGGAACAUUUGGAGCAAAUGGUGAAGAAUCAGCUGAGGUUAUCACGUCAUUCCCUUCAUCAUCUGGGACGACUACUAUCCGUUCAUUCUCUAGCUCUGAUUCAAUCCUCAACCAAGGUCGAUGAAUAAUGAAGCAGCAGUAUUUCAUGCUGCGCAUAGACCCGAUCACGAGUCAGACCAAUCAGGCACAUGGCAGGGUUAUGCUUGGAGAUGGGAAUGAAAAAUAGAAGUUAUUUAUUGUAUAAAAUACGAUACAUCAGUUUCUGAAACUGAUAAAACGAUACUCUAAUGAUAUAUUUUGUAUUCUAAUUAGACUCCCAUGUAAAGGUUACAAUUAGUGCAUACAUGGAUUUAGUUUUGAGACUAGACUUGCCUUGUUCAGACUUCAAGCCAGCAGCAAAACAUAGUGAGGCAGGUGAUGCAAUUUCUGGAUGGGAAUAAUGUUUUGCUAGUGAAAACCAUGAUGAUUCAGAUUAUAUUAGCAUCCAUUCCUUUCUAGUUGAAUUCACCAAAAAAAAAAAUGUUUUCAAUCACAAGAAACACAAUUGAAGAAAAAGAUUUCGGAGUGUCAAUCUAUUAGUGACUUCCAAAUUAAGAGCAACUUGUUAUCUUUAUGCACCUUGGAGAGGUACAGAAAGAUCGAAAGCUGCAGUUGCUUCAUUAAGUAGUUUUUCCAGGAUGGAGGAUGUGGUAUAUAUUUCUUUAUGCUCCAGACCAAGUUGAUCAACUAUUGUCUGGCAUAUAGUAAAGCAAGGGGUUUUGAUCUAUCUGAUCUCUAUUUUUAGUUUGGGGAGUGUGGUUGAGGAUGAGUUUAGGAUGCAUAUAAUGUAUGGUUAUAGUUUGUGUACUGCAGAUAUCAGUUCAAGGGCCCAACUAAUACUGACAAUGAAAGAAAUGCUGCAGCCAAAUCAGUAGUUUGAAAGAAAAACAAAGCACCCAUUGGAAUUUAAACAGAGGGAAUAUCAUAACACAAAAUUACAUGAUAUUAAUCCAUGAAAGUAGAGGUGGCAAUAUGACCAAUUCCUCAUUCCCCAGAAAGGGUUUAUCCUUCCUGAGAUGGUCCAAUAUAAAGGGAAGAAUAAAAGAGGUAGGCUUCAGUACUGGCAGCUCCCAUUAUCACUCCUAGCUGUUGGAUCAAAGUUUGCUGCAGAUGGAUCAGUGCAACCUUCAGGAACAGGAACACCAACUUGUUGGGCUGCCUUGCCUGCAUCCAAAAAAAGGGACAAUAGCUUGAACAUGUUCUUAUAUAUUUCUUCCAUUUAUAACAAAUUCAGAGAGCAGAUUAAAACUUCUUACUAAAGCCUCUAGAAUCAGGGUUGCUGACCAUAAAAGGUUCCUCUCUCGAUGGAAUCCACGUUCGCAUCUCCAAGAGCUGCCUCGCUUAAGUACUUGUCAG